CUAGAAAGACCCCCCUCCAUGGCCCAUUAGCCCUCAAUUGUAGUCUCUACUGGGGCCUCGAAGGGAUUAUUGCACUUUUGUUCCUUGUGUCUAAAGAUUGUGUAGGGUGUGGCUGGAGGCGGUGCAUGGAGGUGGGACAAGGGUGGCGCUUGCUGCAGAGUAUGGGUGGGGCCUGUAAGGGGGCCCUUGAUUUAUUUUGCCAGGGGGCCCUGAGGGUUCUCAGUCUGCCCCUGUUGGCACCCUUUUCAUUUUUACAAUUUUUUUUCAAAUAUCAAAACAUAUAUGUCAUAUAUAUAUAUAUAAAAAAACAAUAGUGAAUCAAGGUCUUAGGUAACUAAAAAGUUAUAAGAGCAGGAAGGAUCAAGAGACGUUAUUUGGGUUAAAUGUUUCAGAGUAAGAAAAAAGUGUAAGGAAAGUGAUAAAUAAAAAUAGAUGCUGACACACUACUGAUAGCGGGUGCUGGUAUCGAGGCUACCCACCUAAAAGAGCAAACAAACAAAAUACAAAAAUAUAAAGAAUUGUACCGCACUCAAAAAUUGUAGUAGAUCAAAAGAGAAACAAAUCGUAUAGAGACCUGACCUCUAUUCAUAAAUAUAUUGCCACAAGAUUGGAUAAAAGUGCAAAUGCUUCAUGUUAAAGAUGUCACACUGUUUCAACAAUUUUCUUAGACAAAAGUGCAAAUGCCAGUUAAACCUCAACCCUCAUCUGGUGAGCAUACACAAAUAACUAAAUAUGAAUAAAAAAAUAAAUAAUAAAAACAUGUAGAAAACAGGCUAGUACCCCUCUGCACAGUGGUAAUAACAUAUGGCAGACAUAUGGGUUAUUGCUUAAAUUAAGAAGAACAUAAGCUUGUGUUAGCUGGAAAAACCACCAACUGGUUUGCAAUCUUAAACAUGUGAUUGUUCACAUUUGUCAAUAAGAAUUGUCCCUUCUCAUUUGGAGUAGCUUUAGGCAUUACUGACACAAGCUUAUUGAAAAUACUUGAUGUACAUACAUAAUUUAAGCAAGAACCAAAUGUCUGCUAUAUAUUACUGGUGUAUGCUCACUAGGUGACGGUUGAGGUUUCGCUGGCACAAUUGUUGAAACAAAGUUUGACUUAAUUGAUUAGAACUCUUUACUUAAAGCGGCACUGUCAUGCCGAAUUUACCUUUCCUCAAUCUCUUCCUCUUCUCCCCCUCUCUCAGGAUCUGUUCUUCUUUUCUUCCUGUCUUCUUUAGUUUUCUUUAAAAUCAUAAGACAAAGUAGGGACUCUUUGCCUUAUGGAGGUUUCCUCCGCUUGACCAGCUGGUCAGAGCAAUUUUCCCAUAAUUCUUACCUUUCCUCUGUGAUCUCGCGAUGCUUACUGUCAUUUUAGACGAAACCGCCGAAUUGCGUUCUAACUGAAUGAGAACAGUAUGUUCGUUUGUUUUAGAACUCAAUUUGGCACUUUGUUCGUAUCGGAAUUUCAUUCGAAUGAAUGAAACUCAGAUUCAAUUUGUGCUGCGGCAGCAUCUUGCAGCCGCUUAGUAGAUAACUCCCUAAUUCCCAUGGUAUUAGGGAGUUAUCUUCCAAAAGGCUGAAAGACCAAUUUUAGUAAAUAUUACUUAGUAUUAGUAAAUGAUUAGUAAAUGACCUGCCCCUACUCGCUAUACCGCAAGUAGGGGCAUGUCUAGUAAACAGUGAGCAGCAGGGGCCAUAAAGAUAAUGAGGGGGGAGCCUACAGUCCUCUCCCCAGCCCCCAUCCCUGGGUGAUGGGUGAGGGCCAUAAAGAUAAUGAGGGGGGAUCCUACUGUCCUCCCUCCACCGGCCCCCACCCCUGCGCGGUGGGUGAGGGCCAUAAAUUACAAUGGAGGGGAGACCUUCUGUCCUCCCCCCUAGCCCCCACCCCUGUGCGGUGGGUGGGGGCCAUAAAUUACAAUGGGGGGACCUACUGUCCUCCACCCCGGCCCCCACCCCUGGGCGGUGGGUGAGGGCCAUAAAGAUAAUGAGGGGGGGACCUACUGUCCUUCCCCCCCGGCCCCCACCCCUGGGCGGCGGGUGGGGGCCCUAAGACAAAUCCCCCCCCCCAUCAAAGGUGACUAGGAGUCCCCAAGCCCCUAGUCACCCACUCCCCCACCCAAAAAAAAGUUACUCCCUACCUACCCCCUCACCCUAAAAAAUAGUGAGGGGGGAAUAAAAUAACUAACCUGUAAAGAAAAAUGUAGCUUAACCAUUUGAUGUCUUCUUUUUUCUAAAAUCUUCACUUUUCAUCCCCAAAAAAGGCCAAAUAAAAAACCAUCAUACCCGUCGAACUUAAACUAAAAUAAAAAACGAGCGCCAAAAAAAAAAACUGACGAAAAAGAAAAAACCUGAGCGCAAAAAAAAAAUCCAUCUUCACCCAUGGAGGGCUCAGCGCAGACUGAGCUCUGCAGGGCGGGGGAAGGCUUAUAAAGCCUUGCCCCGCCCUGCAAUUAGGCUAAGAACACUCUGAUUGGCUGGUUUAAGCCAAUCAGAGUGCUCUUUGUCAUUUUACACAGUGUGGGAAAAUUCCAAAGAACUUUCCCACGCUGUGUAAAAUGACACAGAGCACUCUGAUUGGGUGGCAUGAAAUCCAUCUAGUCAGAGUGCUUUGUGUCAUUAGUCGCUGUUACUGAGACAUGGUACAAUGAGAAAAAUGACUGGGACAUAGCAAUACCAGGGUACUCUUUAUAUAGGAAAGAUAGGGAAGGCAAGAAAGGAGGAGGGGUGGCCUUGUAUGUGAAGGAUAGCAUAAAAUCUAGCCUAAUAAAAGUUAGUAAGGCAAACAUAGAGUCCGUUUGGGCUACGUUAGAAUUUGGUAAUCACACAGUAACUCGUGUAGGUGUGAUUUAUAGGCCCCCAGGACAAAUUGAAGAGUUAGAUAAUCUACUAGUUGAGGAAAUAGCUAACAUGACAAUGAAGGGGGACAUUAUCAUCAUGGGUGACUUUAAUCUUCCUGAUGUAAAUUGGAAAACAAAAUUAGCUACUUGUGCCAGGAACACACAUAUUCUAAACUCCCUACUGGGAUUGUCUCUAAAACAAGUUGUUGAAGAGCCAACUCGUAAAGAGGCCAUACUAGAUUUAGUGUUAACAAAUGGAGAUUUGGUAUCAGAUAUUACUGUAGGUGAAAGUUUAGGAUCCAGUGAUCAUCAGUCAGUGUGGUUUAAUAUAAGAACAGUGACUGAGUCACACCACACAAAAACAAAAGUUUUAGACUUUAGAAAAACAGACUUUUCUAAAAUUAGAAUAUGGGUAGAGGAGUCAUUAUCAGACUGGAGCAAUUUAAAUGGAGUCCAAGAGAAAUGGGAUUAUUUAAAAGUUGCACUAUUGAAGGCAACAGAAAAUUGCAUUAGGCUUGUCAGUAAAAGCAAAAAAUUAAAGAAACCACUGUGGUACUCCGCAGAUGUGGCCAAAAUAGUUAAAAGCAAAAAGUUAGCAUUUAGGAAUUAUAAAAAAAACCAGAGUGAGGAAGACAAAAUGAUCUAUAAGAUUAGGCAGAAAGAGGCUAAGCAAGUUAUAAGAGCUUCCAAAUCACACACAGAAGAGAAAAUAGCACAGUCAGUAAAAAAGGGGAUAAAACAUUUUUUAGAUACAUAAAUGAGAAAAGAAAAGUAAAACAAGGAUUAGUUAGAUUAAAACCAAAAGAAGGAAGGUAUGUAGAAGAGGAUAAAGGUCUAGCUGACUGCCUCAAUGAAUAUUUUUGUUCUGUAUUUACAGAUGAAAAUGAAGAAAGGGACCUCAGUUGAGAAAAAGGAUAAAUGAGUCAUUUAUUACACGUGAGUUUACAGAGGAAGAGGUUCUAUUUCAACUGUCAAAAGUAAAGACAAAUAAGUCAAUGGGACCUGAUGGAAUACACCCAAAGCUAUUAAAAGAGCUUAGUGGUGUACUAGCAAAACGAUUAACAGAUUUAUUUAACCAAUCAUUGUUAACAGGAGUAGUCCCAGAAGAUUGGAAGUUAGCGAAUGUUGUGCCCAUUUACAAGAAAGGUAAUAGGGAGGAGUCGAGCAACUAUAGGCCAGAAGCCUUACUUCAGUAGUGGGGAAAGUGAUGGAAACCAUGUUAAAGGAUAGGAUUGAUGAACAUCUAAAAACAUGGAUUUCAAGAUCAGCGACAACAUGGGUUUACUUCAGGGAGAUCAUGCCAAACUAAUCUUAUUGAUUUUUUUGAUUGGGUAACUAAAAUUAUAGAUCAGGGUGGUGCAGUAGACAUUGCUUACCUAGAUUUCAGUAAGGCUUUUGACACUGUUGCACAUAGAAGGCUUAUCAAUAAACUGCAAUCUUUAAGUUUGCAUUCAAAUAUUGUUGAAUGGGACAGGCAACAGAGGGUUGUAGUUAAUGGAAUAUAUUCGAAUCUUGGACUUGUCACCAGUGGGGUACCUCAGGGAUCUGUACUUGGACCCAUUCUCUUUAAUAUUUUUAUUAGUGAUAUUGCAGAAGGUCUUGAUGGUAAGGUAUGUCUUUUUUGCUGAUGAUACUAAGAUAUGUAACAGGGUUGAUGUUCCAGGAGGGAUAAGCCAAAUUACUAAUGAUUUAGGUAAACUAGAAAAAUGGUCAGAAUUGGGGCAACUGACAUUUAAUGUGGAUAAGUGCAAGAUAAUGCAUCUUGGACGUAAAAACCCAAGGGCAGAGUACAGAAUAUUUGAUAGAGUCCUAACCUCAACAUAUGAGGAAAGGGAUUUAGGGGUGAUUAUUUCUGAUGACUUAAAGGUAGGCAGACAAUGUAAUAGAGCAGCAGGAAAUGCUAGCAGAAUGCUUGGUUGUAUAGGGAGAGGUAUUAGCAGUAGAAAGAGGGAAGUGCUCAUGCCACUGUACAGAACACUGGUGAGACCUCACAUGGAGUAUUGUACACAGUACUGGAGACCGUAUCUUCAGAAGGAUAUUGAUACCUUAGAGAGGGUUCAGAGAAGGGCUACUAAACUGGUUCAUGGAUUGCGGGCUAAAACUUACCAGGAAAGGUUAAAGGAUCUUAACAUGUAUAGCUUGGAGGAAAGACGAGACAGGGGGGAUAUGAUAGAAACAUUUAAAUAUUUAAAGGGAAUCAACACAGUAAAGGAGGAGAUUAUAUUUAAAAGAAGAAAAACUACCACAACAAGAGGACAUAGUCUUAAAUUAGAGGGACAAAGGUUUAAAAAUAAUAUCAGGAAGUAUUACUUUACUGAGAGGGUAGUGGAUGCAUGGCAUAGCCUUCCAGCUGAAGUGGUAGAGGUUAACACAGUAAAGGAGUUUAAGCAUGCGUGGGAUAGGCAUAAAGCUAUCCUAACUAUAAGAUAAGACUAGGGAGUAAUGAAAGUAUUUAGAAAAUUGGGCAGACUAGAUGGGCCGAAUGGUUCUUAUCUGCCGUCACAUUCUAUGUUUCUAUGAUUGGUUAGAUUCCAAGCCCACCUAUCAGAGUGUUAUGAGUCAAAUUACACAGCGUGGGAAAAUUCCAAAGAACUUUCCCACGCUGUGUAAAAUGACACAAAGCACUCUGAUUGGCUUAAACCAACCAAUCAGAGUGUUCUUAGCCUAAUUGCAGGGCGGGGCAAGGCUUUAUAAGCCUUCCCCCGCCCUGCAGAGCUCAGUCUGCGCGAAGCCCUCCAUGGGUGAAGAUGGAUUAUUUUUUUUGCGCUCUGGUUUUUUCUUUUUCGUCUGUUUUUUUUGCGCUCUGAUUUUUUAUUUUAUUUUAAGUUCGACAGGUAUGACGGUUUUUUAUUUGGCCUUUUUUUGGGCUGAAAAAUGAAGAUUUUAGAAAAAAGAAGAUGUCAAAUGGUAAGUUUAAUUUUUCUUUACAGGUUAGUUAUUUUAUUCCCCCCUCACUAUUUUUUAGGGUGAGGGGGGCAUGUAUGUGAUAACUUUUUUUGGGGGUAGAGGGGUGGGGAACUAUUGUACUCCGCCCGGUCCCCAACCCCUUCGCGGUGGGUGGGGGACAUAAAUUACAAUGGGGGGGGGGGCCUAAAUCUGCAAUAGCUACAAGCAUAAAUAAAUGCACACAUGUAAUCAUUGUGGGGUAUAUCUACUAAAUAGUGCUUUUUUUUUUUUUAACUAAAAUGUAUUUCCACUUUGGAGUGUUCUUUAAGAAAGGGUUUUCCUUUACAACAGGGGUGUCCAAACUUUUUUCCAAAGAGGGCCAGAUUUGAUGAAGUGAACAUGCGUGAGGGCCGACCAUUUUGCCUGACAUUCUUUGAACCAUUAAAAUUAAAUGCAAAUUAACUAUUUUAUGCAAAGUUUAUUGCAAACAGCAUACUUUUUAUUUCAUCUCUUUAUUCUGUCUCUUUAUUCUGCCCCUUCUCUCUUUAUUCUGUCCCUUCUCUCUUUAUUCUGUCUCUCUUUAUUCUGUCCCUUCUCUCUUUAUUCUGCCUCCUCUCUCUUUAAUUCCUUCUCUCUUUAUUCUGUCUCUUCUCUCUCAAAUUAUGUCUCUCUUUAUUCUAUCCAUUCUCUCUUUAAUUCUGUCUCUCUUUAUUCUGUCCCUCUUUAUUUCAUUAUGUCUCUCUUUAUUCUGUCCCUCUUUAUUUCAUUAUGUCUCUCUUUAUUAUGUCCCUUCAUUCUGUCUCUCUUUAUUCUGUCUCUCUCUAUUCUGUCCCUUCUCUCUUUAAUUCUGUCUCUUUUUAUUCUGCCCCUUAAUUCUGUCUCUCUUUAUUCUGUCCCUUUAUUCUGUCUCUUUAUUCUGUCCCUCUUUAUUCUCUAUCUCUUUAUUUUCUGUCUCUUUAUUCUGUGCCUCUUUAUUCUGUGUCUCCAGGUACAAGGAACCAUACACCGCGACGUUGACGUCCAAGAGAUCCCGCUACGUCCAAGAGAUCGCGAGAACACAGACUGCAAGUCCGUCUGCGUUCUCACAAUCUCUUGGCCCCCAGUGAAUCCCCCUGUUCCGCUCAGGACUGCGGCAUUCAAAGAUCCAGGGAUCCUGAGCAACGCUCGGGGAUUCACUGGAAGCCACAACAAAUAGAUUAGCCAAAUUACCUGUGGGGCUGUAUUAAACUGAAACGCAGGCCGCAAUUAACCUGCGGGCCGUAAUUUGGACAUGACUGCUUUACAACAUCUUGAUACAUGUUUCUCUAAUGAGUUCAUGUUGUUUGUUACCCAGUUUUUAAUUCCUUGAUGCUUAGAUUAAAUUUCUCAUAUCUAAAGCCACCACCAAUGUCAAUAGCUAAUGCUAUAUUAUUUCUCCCAAAAAGGAGAGGUGGCAGUGAGCUACCAGUUUUGCAGCAUACAGUAUGGAGAGUCUGCUGAUUUACUGCCACUGAGGAAGGAAGAAAUUACGCCAUGACCCCCAGCCCAUCACUUUACAGAAGGGGGGCAACCAUAUGAAGCCAUGCCAACUUAAAUUAUCCCAUUUGCCCUGUGCACCCUAUGGUGACUACAUGCCUGCAUACAAACAUGCAUAGAUAGAUACAUAUAUCCAUCUAAUUGGUGUUCAUAUAGUCCUUUAUUUUAGAAGUAAUUCUAUUGACUAAGCCUAACGCAGAGUCUUCAUAUUGGAAAUUCAAAUGUAAUAUGUAAACGUCCUAUAUUUUCUAUAUAGUGCCAUCAGGAAUUUAUUUAUAAAAAACAUUUCGGAUGGAAAUAGAAGUUGUUAUCUUGCAAAUUGGUGGCACGUUCCUCUGAAUUGCUGCUCUUUAGAACUUUUGUUCAUGGUACCCCAGAUAAUCUGACUGCCAAACAUAACAGCAAAUGCAAUUUAUAUCACUGAUGCUUGAAUUGGCAAAUACCUACACACACAAACACACAUAGACAAGUGCCUUAUGUUACAUGACAUUGAUGGUGUUUAUUCAGCAGUAUAUGUGCUUUAGCUGACAUGGUCCUACCUCUUACGGAGCGUCAGCAUGGGACACAAUGAGCCAAGUUGCGCUCUAAUUCACCCUCUGGGUUUUGCGUUUGCAUCAAAGUAAAAUGACUGUAACUGUUCCAAUUUUCUGAUGAAAUUGCUGGCACCAUUCUUCCAAGAGAGAUUUUUUUUUUAGCUUAUUAGCAUCCAGACGCAGUGCUUGCGAACCUUGGAAAAUCUCAAACACAACAAGAAAGGAAUAAUGUAGCAAGCAAUUUAUAUCAAAGUCACAGUCUAAUUGAUACCAGCGGACUCAUAACGAGCAAGGGAAAUAUAACAGAAAUACCAGGCCUGCUUUUCCGUUUGCAUGAACCAUCCCCCCUCGCUGUGUCAAUCCUAUCUUUUCUGUUCUUCCGCUUUGUUUCAGGACAAUUCUUUCAUCUCGUUUGAUAUGUUCACCCUUGGCUCUCAUUUUCCAUUUCCUAUCACUUGUCUUCAGUUGUUUCACUGACGCUUCUGAGAAAUUGAUUUUUUUUUUUCAAUUUUAUAACGCUACUUAAUUAUAUACAAAAUGGUCUAAUUCGUUCUUUGUCAAAUAUAUUUUUUUAAUAAUAGCUCAGUGUAACAUUUCCACCUUCUAUUAUCUUCCAGAUAGAUCCAGUUAAUACUUUAAGUGGACAGAGAAUCAGAGAGCAUUGCUAGAAAUCAUUUAUUCAAUUCUUAGUGCAAGAAUGGGCCUUUUAUUUAAUUAUUUAUUUAUUUUAUUUUUUAUUUAUUUUUUUCAUUGCAAGAAUACAAAAAUAUAAAAGUCCAGCUACUUUUCACAUAGGGGCUAUUUUUAAGUCCUUUUAUGUUAUACCUGCAGAUAAAUAAGGGUAUAGGAGAAAACAGUUUUGCUCUUUUUUUAUGUAAUGCAUUAAAUCUGUAUUUUUUGUUUGUUUCUUUUUAGCUCACACUGUUGUCUCACUUUUCUUUUUUCUGUCACUCAAAAUUUGAUGGACUUUAGGUAGAAAAAUGCUGACAUUUCUUAACAAGUCAAAGCAAACGAAUGCUGGCCUUGGAUAUCAGGCACCUUAGUGCCUCUAAAAACAACAUCAGACCUCCUGCAAUGUGGACAAAACAGCUCUUUUUGUUCUUGAAGGGAGGCUCACCACAUGCAAAUAUAAAUGAUGCACAGACGCAAAGUGCAUAGGUCAAUGGUUCCCAACUCAGUCCUCAAGUACCCCCUAACAGUCCAGGAUUUAAGGAUUACCCUGUGUGUCUAAGGUGUUUGAAGAAAGAAGGAAAACCAAAAACACAUUAGACACAACAGGGUAAUCUCUAAAUCCUGGACUGGUAGGGGGUACUUGAGGACUGGGUUGGGAACCCCUGACAUAAAUGAUAAUCUAUUUAUCUGGAAGCAUAACUGAUUGAGGAUUUUUCCAGUUUGGCUCUUUUGAACAUAAAUUUGAAAUUCACUUUGAAUUCUCACUUUUGUGAAUAAUCCUGAUGAUGUAAUGUAUCUGAAAUACAUUCUUGUGGUAUAGAACCUCGUUCUCAGUCUCUAUGUGUAAUUGUCUUAGUGCCAGUAUGGGAGGCACUAAUCCUGCAAAUAGAUUGCAACAAGUCAGACAUUGUUUCACAGGAAAAUAGUAAACUAGGCUAAUUCAUUAAGUCAAAUAUUUAUAAAUAAUAAAUAAAAAAAACACCAAAUAAAAGGAAAUAAAAACUAUAAGAAAAUAGAAAUAACCCUCUCAUGUCUCCAAUGUCUAUACAUCAAAUCCUUAUCAGAGAAUUUCUGCCCAUGGUCCCUUGUGUUUUCAAUUGAUGUGCUGUUGUUGUGCAGAAAUUCCAUUUGGAAAACCCUGUUAGUUCUCUAUUAACAAGAUAAAGGUAAUUAAAGGAAAAAGUGUCUUCAUUUUGUUUUAUUGAAAUAAAAGAUUACAUAUAAUACAGUUUCCUUGUCUAUUACUUUUGCAAUAACACACGCAGGAUAGGUAAAUAUCUCUUUUUAGAGAAUCUCCUGGCUUUCACUUGCUCCACUGUAGAAGCCAUUUGAUGUCCCCUUUGGUUAGAUGCGCCACUUAUCUGAUGCAAGUAAUUUGGGUGAAUAAAACCAUUUUAAGUUGCUUGUCACUUGCUCAUGAUGUGUAGAUUUGGGAACAUGAUCUAGCUCCUUGUUACUUGCAUGGCUUUUGUUAAAAUAAGUGGUGCAUCUGCUGAAAAAAAAAAGAGAAUUAAAGAUGGCUGUCCACGCAGAGUAAGCCAUAAGUGAAAACAUGAGGCCAAAAGAAGUGUUAAAAAAUAAAAUAAAAAUUAUAUAUAUAUAUAUAUAUAUAUGUAUAUAUAUAUAUAUAUAUAUAUAUAUAUAUAUAUAUAUAUAUCAGAUAAUUAUUUGUAGUAUAGAAAAUCACAAAUUUCACAAUGUUUCUAUGAUCAUGAACCCAUGUGCUUUAAUAAGCUCUGCAAAAUCUACAUUGAAAGAAAGACUAUAGGUUUCCCAUGACAAAUUAAAACCAAAAGGUAGGGGUUUUGAAUCAAGUCAAUGCAGUAACAAAAUUCAAGCUCCCAAUAUUUUAUUAAAGGUAGAUGGUGGGCAACAAUAUAACUUUUAUACAUUGUAUUGCUUUUGAACAAAAUAAUUAGCUGUAUUUUCACAUUGCCCAGAAAGUCCCCAAAUACUCUGCUCUUUACGGAAAUGAAGGUUUGCACAGAGAACUUUUCCACUUUUAUUAUUUUGAAUUGGUUGUUUUUCCAUGUUUUUUUAUUAUCUGUAUAAUGCAGUGAAAAGAAUGGGUCAGUUCAAGCCUGGAGUUUAGUUGAAGCUUGGUUUCUAUAGUGCAGGCCUGUGGAAAGGUUUUACUGUUUAUGAUUAUUUUACGCCAACAACAAAAAAGUAAUGCUAAUAUUAUGGUUGGUAAUUAUGAUAUAUUCCAUGUUGACGUUAGAAAAUAUUAAAUGAAUAAAUGGCUUUUUAUAAUUAAUUUCGCAUACUCCUUGACUUUUAUAUAAUUUCUAGAGUUCGUAUUACCUAAAUUCACAAAGAAAAAGGGCAAGAAAAUCCUGUUACGAUGAAUUAGGUGAUAGUUGAGCAUAAAGUUGUUAACAACCAAGACACGUCUCUGCUACCUCUCUGCUUCAGUGUUCCUGGAGAUCCAUUUAGAAAGAAGAUGCCUAAGUGUUCCAAGACCUGCAAUUUUCUUGCCAUAUUAUUAGCGUGCUCUCAAUUUAGUGUAGUAGUUUAGAGCUUUUCCAAACACAACCGCAUCACUAUUGCGACCCAAUCUCGUUUAGCAAAGAGUCAGCUUCAAGUGGCCAUUUCAGUGAAGGAUAUCAGUGCUCAGAAUAAAAACAACAAAACACAGUUAUCUCAUUUUACAUCCUGUACAACCCUGCCUUAAAGGCUUCUAUAAUUACCAGGCAUUCCACUUAGCUUAUUAUAAUAUUAAUUAUAACAAUUUGCUGCUUUUGAGAAGCCCAGUCAACCAUCCUCGAAGAAGAAGGAAAUGCAUUUUUAAAGGUUUUAAUAGGUUGUGGUAAUCACUAUGUAGAACACUUUACAUAAGACGUACUUCAGACAUACUUAUUGGUACAUGAGUAACAAAUAAUCUUCCAUGGACAAAUUCCAUUGUGCCCCCUGCCCAAUCGAUAAUACCUUGUUACAUGCCUCAUCCAAUCAACAUACUGGUAUAUCACAUACAUUUUCCCAGCUACAACCCUAUUCUAUUCCUCACAGUAGCUUCAUUCUACCUCCAUGUCCCUAUUUCUCCAUUUACUCAGGUGAUUCAGGGUGACUAAACUGAUGUUACUACUCCUUAUUGGUAAUUUUCUUAAAAAAAUAGAACCUGGUAACCUAAAUUUGGCCUGUGAAGGUUGUGUUGUACUUCUAAGCAUUUUAUUAUGGACUUUGAAAAAAGAACCAUGUCAUCAAACCUGCAUGAAUGUGAUGAAAAUCAUCCCUGCUGCACACACGCAGCACUUGAAGGGGCUAUUUACAGAGUGCUAAAGGAAAAACCAUUUGAACCACAAGCUCUUAAGAGGUGAGUGUGAAUGGAGGUACUGUAUUUUAUUAUUUUUCACAAGGCUAUACAGGAGCAGUGACAUAGGCUGUGCAGAUAGAAUGUGUAGUUUUCUUUAACAGAGCUCACAGCUAAUAGCACCACAUGCACUACCACAAUUAUUAGUAUUUUUGCAUAUAUAUAUAUAUAUAUGUGGUUCACUGGUUUUGCAUCUUUUCCUAAAUUGUGUUCCAGCAGUUGUAUACUGCAAACAGAGAUUAAAAGGAAUCCAUGUUUAAAAUGGAAUGAGGCAAAAAUGUGAUUCUUUGUUAAACUAAUUUGCAUAUACCCACCCAGAAUCCUUUGCGUUUGUAACAUCACUGUAGAUUUGGGAUUUCUGUGGGAAAAGCAAGUCUUAUGGCUUGACUGGUAUGCAGAUUUUUGUUUAACAUUGUAUUAACUAUCCACAGACUUCAGGUGGAAGGGGUUUUCAAUCACAAUUUUUCCCCACCAUAACCUCUUUGGAUUUUGCUUCCCAAGCACUACCAAGCCUCAAUAAGCAAACCAGUAACCAACCUUAUGCUGAAGAGUUGCAUUAACAACGAAACAGCUGUCCAUGAGUGGUUCACUGGUUUUGCAUCUUUUCCUAAAUUGUGUUCCAAGCAGUUGUAUACUGCAAACACAGAUGAACAGGAAUCCAUGUUUAACCCCUUAAGGACUGGACUGUUUUUGCGAUGUUGUACAUUUGCGACCAGGAAUAUUUUUACACUUUUGUGGUGUUUGUGUUUGGCUGUAAUUUUCCGCUUUCUCAUUUACUGUUCCCAUACAAAUUAUAUAUUGUUUUUUUCAGGACAAAAUGGGCUUUCUUUACAUACCAUUAUUUAUAUAAUCUCAUGUAUUUUAAUUUAAAAAAAUAAAAAAAUAUGAUGAAAAAUUGAAAAAAAUACAUGUUUUUUGACUUUUACUUGAAAAAUCUUUUACUCAUCUACAAAAGCGAAUGAAAAAAACUGCUAAAUAGAUUCAAAAUUUUGUCCUGAGUUUAAAAAUACCUAGUGUUUACGUGCUUUUUUGCUUUUUUUUGCAUGUUAUAGGGCUAUAGGUACAAGUAGGAUAUUGCGGUUUAAAAACAUACAUUUUUAAAAUUUAUCAAUAGUGACAUUGUAACACUAUUAUCUGUCAUAAAUCUCUGAAUAACACCCCACAUGUACAUAUUUUUUUUAAAGUAGACAACCCAGGGUAUUCAAUAUGGGGUAUGUCCAGUCUUUUUUAGUAGCCACUUAGUCGAAAACACUGGCCAAAGUAAGCAUUCAUAUUUGUUUGUGUGUGAAAAAAGUAAAAAAACUAAAUUGAACGCUAAUUUUGGCCAGUGUUUGUGACCAAGUGGUUACUAAAAAAGACUGGACAUACCCCAUUUGCAAUACCUUGGGUUGUCUUCUUUGCAAAUGGUAUGCCAUCAUGGGGGUAAUUCUCAUUCCUGGGCUACCAUACGCUCUCAAAGGCAACGUAACCAACCUGGCCAUUUUCAAUGUAAAAAUAUUUGACCCAUAUAUUUGACCUUGUAACUUUCAAAAAUGCUAUAAAACCUGUACAUGGGGGGUACUGUUUUACUUGGGAGACAUCGCUGAACACAAAUAUUAGUGUUUAAAAACUGGAAAACGUAUCACAACAAUUAUAUCAUCAGUAAAAGUGCUGUUUGUGUGUGAAAAAUGCAAAAAAAGUAACUUUCACUGACAAUAUCAUCGCUGUGAUAUGUUUUACUGUUGUGAAUCACUAAUAUUUGUGUUCAGCGAAGUCUCCCGAGUAAAACAGUACCCCCCAUGUACAGGUUUUAGGGUGUCGUAGAACGUUACAGGGUAAAAUACAGUGCUAGCAAAUUAAAUUCUCUGGAAUUUCGGCCUGGGUUGGCAGGCAGGUCCCUCAAAUUGCAAUCAAUAAAAUUACUGAAUUAUGUAAAAAUAUUACAUAAAUACGCACGUAGAAUUUAAAUAUAUAUGCAUAUUUAUAUAUUUGAAGUCUACGUGUAUUUAUAUAAUUAUUUAUGUAAUUUUGUAUAUGGACGUAUGUAUAUUUCUAUAUUUUUAUUUAUUUUUAUAUACAUAGAUAUAUAUACAAAUUCAUUCUAAGUGUAUUUUGAUAUAUAAUAUAUAUAUAUUAAUUUUAAAAUACAGUUAGAAUAAAAUUUCAUAUAGCUAUAUAAUUUUUUUUUAAAUUUUUUAUUAUUAUUUUUAAAAAAAUUAUUUAAUUUAAAUUACUUAUUAGUUAUAUUUUAUAAUAAUAUAUAUAUACAAUAUAUAUAGUUAUUAUAUAUAUUAUAUAUAUACGUGUGUAAUUUAAUUAUAAGUGUAUUUUUAUAUUAAUAUAAGUACAUAUUAAUAUAAAAAUACACUUAGUAUGACAUUAUAUAUAUAUGAUAUAUAGACAUAUAUUAUAUAGAUAUAAUAUAUGUCUAUAUAUCAUAUUUAUACAUAUAUAAUUAUUAUUAUUUUUUUUAUUACCAUUAACUUUAAUUUUUUUUUUGAUUUUACAGUUGCAGGGAGACUGCCUGUCAGCACAGGCAGUCCCCCUGCAGGCAGCACUAUGGACACCUAUUGUGACCAUGUGAUCGCUGUGUUAAGCGAUCACAUGGCCACAGGGGUCCUAAUCUGCCGUGGGGAGACUGUCUGGGCUGCAGGCAGUCUCCCCACAACCGGAGGAACACUGAUCGCCGCCGGGGGAACGACGGCGAUCAGGUAAGUAGCCCCAGACCGUUUGGACGGUUCAGGACCGUCAUCGGUCCUCAAGGCAAAAAUGCCGAUGACGGUCCUGAACCGUCCUCGGUCCUUAAGGGGUUAAAAUGUAAUGAGGCAAAAUUCUUUGUUUAACUAAUUUGCAUAUGCCCACCCAGAAUCCUUUGCGGUUGUAACAUCACUGUAGAUUUAGGAUUUCUGUGGGAAAAGCAAGUCUUAUGGCUUGACUGGUGUGCAGAGUUUUGUUUAACAUUGUAUUAACUAUAUAUAUAUAUAUAUAUAUAUAUAUAUAUAUAUAUAAAAAUUUAUUGUAUUAUUUUAUAUCUUGAGCUUCAGACUCAGACACAAGACAAGGAGCAAGUUGUUUUUCCUAUUCCCCACAAACUGCAGUCAAUGUUUAGUGCAAUUUAAAUGAGCACUGUUUUAUUGGAGUUUGCAUUCAGUAUAAUGUUUACAAAAUGGUGGGCAGACUAUACAAAUAGAGUAUGCUUGUUAUGGAGCAUUGGAGGGAGAGCAACUGAGCCUCUUUGCGUCAGUCUUAAAACCCUCCCUCAGAACAAUAGAAAUUUUCUUUUGUUGAAAGAAAAUGAUAGCCUGGCACACAGUGGAACUUCCACUAGGUCAAUCAACUAGUUGUGAUUUAUUGGAAUUGGACAAACAGAGAGAUCAAUUCUUACACUUUAUAAACCAGGACUGUGAAAAUCAUAUUAUCCACUUUGAAGAAUCUUGUCACAGUAAAAUACAAAGCACUUGUGAAACAAUUCGAAGAGAAAGUUAACUGGUGUAACAAGUCUGCUGUCAGCAGACAGCAGAAAUUACAGAAAUUAAUUUGUCAAAGUAGCAUAAUGGUCUGCUUGCAUUCAAUGAUUAUAGUGAAGCACUAGUGGGUUAAAGGGUUGCUCAAACCACCAUGACCACUUCAGUGAUUUGAAGUGGUUAUGGUGGUAGGAGUAUGUAUGUGCAGUGCUUCUGCUUGAAACACUGAGAUAUUUUUAAUUAAGUGCCGUGGACUCUGUUCCGCACUGCCAACGUCAAUUGUGUGCAUACAAAACAUCUGUGGUCAGUACACACUGCUGACAGAUGUAAACAUUUCCCCCUCGCAGGCUUUGCACCUGCAUAGGGAAGAUUUCUAUCCCCUUUCACCCUCCCACCCACUUUGCGCUCCCUACUGCCUCACUUCAUUGUACAUUGUACAUGUUUUUGUUGUUUUCCUUAAAAACCCUCCCUUUUCUCCACUACCUCGCCGGCCUAGAGCACGCACAGGCUCUCUGAGCUGGCAAAAUUGUCCAUUCACAAGGUUUUCUAAAAGUGGUUCUCCAUAGUGCCCAAUGGGGCAUUUUACACAGGAAAGGUCAACCCCUAAAAUGGGUUGGAGUAACCCUUUAUGUUUACAGAUAAUCCCUUUCUAAGCAAAGCAAUGUUUGUGAAUUGCCUUGUAUACAGAGUAUUCACCAUUUUACUCUGUAUGUGUUUUUAAUGUGCUUAUUUUGAUUAAAUGUUUGGCAUUAUUGCAUUAUUGGUCACCGUGGUAUAAUGAUUGUCCUAAAAAUGAUGUCCUCUGGACUCUGAUGUCGGGCACACUGAGCACUAUAUACAGAGCUGGGUGAUAGCUGUGCAUUAUGUGAGUAAUCAGUUUUGAGCCUUUUUUGGUGUAAUUUAUUAAAUCUGUUUAGAAUUGUAAUGAAUUUAUCUAUCUUUCGGUCACAAUCACUGCUAGAAAAGUGUUUUGGAAUUUGACAGUCCAUUCUCAAAUUGAUAUUUCUGCAAAUAAUGGUGGGAUUUAUGCAGAGAGAAGCUGACAAUUUGUAUCAACUCAAAGCUAACUAAUCCUGGCCUUGGAUCCUGGUCCAGAGACCUUAGUGCCUCUAAAAAACAACACCAGAGCUCCUCCAAUGUAGUUAUAACUGCUUUUUUUUGUUCUUGAAGUGUGGCUCACCAUAUACAAAUAUAAUUGAUACACUGAUGCAAAGUGCAAAAAUGAUCUAUCUAUCUGUCUGUCUGUCUAUCUAUCUAUUGAAUGUUCCUUCCUUUUUUUUUGUAAUCAAAUGAGCAACAAACGACCGUCUGGCAAGAGUGACAUUUCAUCCAACAAGCAAUUUGGUCAUUAUUUUUUCGUUGUGUCUUGCAUUCGGCCAUUUGUCAUUCUGAAGAAUAGCGAAAUUACUCGAAUUUAGGAUGAAUACAUAUUCGUCCAUAAAAGAAAGCCCGAGUACUGUUUUCAUCACAUAAUGACUUUUGCAGACCACAAAGGAGAAAAAACAUUUUUCUUGUUUCUUUUUCUCUUUCAUGCUGUACCAUUUUGACUUAUCUAUUUUCUUUGGAACAAAUUUAUAGCUGGAUGUUUCAAAGAAGGAAAUGGAUUUAAGUUGAUUGGAGUUUCACCUUGACAUACUUGUGGAGCUAUAUCGCCACUUUCCUGCCGGAUUGCUGUGUUAAUAAGGAUUGAAGUUUUAAUAUAAACUUUUGAUCAUAUACUCUAAGGGAGGAAAUAGGAUAGUUGAUAUGUUAGGUAAUUUAUUAAAAAUUGGGGUAUCUGAGCAAAGCUCUGCUCGGCAUGUGAUUGACUUAAUCGAGCUGUGAAAGUUUAAAAUAUAUUAGGAGCUUAAGAGAUUAUUCUUUCAGACAAUUUAUCCAGUGUGAUUAUAAAUAAGCUUUUUGACUAGCUCAGUAGACAUAACAAAUGUAAUGCCUUAAACAAUCAUGGCCAGUAGUAAAACAUAUUAGAGAAACCAAACCACCAUGAGUGACACUCAUUUGAACCGCACAAUUAAGGGGGUGUAAAAUCACUCAUUAAAGGUACACUAAGCACAAAAAUAUCUCUAUCCUAUUGCAGUGGUACUGAUACAAUAAGUUAUAGGGUACCGUUCUCUACUUUGGGUCAACAGCUACUGAGCAGUUUUACAAAACCAGGGCACACCUGACACCUGAAAAAAUAUGAACAUUAAUUUUGGAUAAACCCCUACAGAAGUGGAAAAGCUAGCCGCUGAAUACAAAAUAUACUGGACAUAACUUAGAAUAUAUAAUAAUUAACUUUACUCAAUACUCAAUACUAUUAAAGUUCAAAGUUAGAAUUUGAUAUCAUACAUUGGUGCAUAGAUGCUGAAAGUCAUCCUUACUUUUAAAGAUUCUUAAGUAAAAUGUUUAAAACAACAUAAAGUUGAGAUUAUUAAAGCAGCAUUGUCAUUUUUUAUUUCUUUUUUUUUUUUGUUCCUUAUGCCCUUUGUAUCUUUAUGAUUAUAUUCCACCUGUGUAGAAUAUUGCAUAUUCUAUGUUUCUAUUGAUUAUAUAUAUAUAUGGAUGUGUGGAUUGACAUAAGUAACAGAUGGUAUCAAUAAGUCACAAGGCUUUCUUUGUCCGAGAGCUCUGGAAUGUGGGUGUGGGGGUCUUGUCCUUAUAUGGCUAGAGUUAUAUGCUGACGUUAGUAUUAGCACAUCUAUAUAGUAACAGAGGGACACGAGGUCGCUCUCAGUCUCGGUCUUGGCUUGGCUCUGUACAACGAUGUAACUCUCCCAUCAGAAGUCCAGCAAUUACCAUCUGCUGUUGAAUGUCCAUUAUCCUGUAACAUCCUUUGUUGUUUUAUUAUGUAUCCGUAACAAAGAAUAAACCUGAAGAAACCGUAAGUCAGAUUGCGUAUUAGUACUUUUCAAUAAUAUAGACAUAUAUUAUUGUGGCGAGCAUUUGGCCCAAGAAUAUAUAUACAAAAGACGUAUAUAUAUCAAUCAGCUGAAGACAAGAAGAAAUUAAGAAGAUUCCACAUGAACAUCCAUUCAUCUACAUUUUUUACAACCUGCCUUGCCACUUUAAUUAUAUUUAUAAAUUUAUAUUAAAUUAUAUAAAUUAUAUUUUGUUCUCCUCUGUCCAUGAUGUCUAUUCUUUGCAUGUGAAAUUCUUUUAACUUAUGGAUUGUGAGCAAAUUUGAUUGGUAACUGAAACAUAACCUUGCUUACGUUCCGUCCUUUUUUUGUCAACUUGACUGAGAUACAUAAGGAAAUGUCCCUAUUUUCUGAAAACUAGAAUACUCUGAUUCAGACACAGGGAGCUAUAUAGUAAUAGUAUGUUAACCUAGAGAUAUCUGCUGUUUUUGAGUCGGAAAUCUGCCAUUUUAAACACAUUCCUUUUCUUUCCAGAAAUAUAUAAAUAAAGAUAAUUUAUGUAAAAAAAAUAGCUUGGGUUAUUUCAUGCCAAGGAAGAUUGAUUCUUUUUACACAGAAAUGUAUUCAGAUCUAGAAAUGAUUGUCAAAAACAGGUCCUUUAAUCUCCCCCUAAAAAAAUAAACAACAUUAAAUUGAAAGCUCAGUAAUUUGUGAUAUGAUGUUUUGAUCUGGUGAACUGAAAACAUUUAUUAAAUAGUUCAUUAAAAAAACCAAAAAGAAACAGCAAGAAAAAAAUUAUCUCAAAAACAUUAAAAGGAGAUUUCUGUGCAAUAAGUAGAUGCAUUUUGCUGGUGGGAUGGUAGGUGGGAUAGAAUGAAAAAUCAAGGGCAGUAGAUUGACGUGUUGUCAUGGGAACUGCUCAACCUGAAUGCAUGGGUACACAGAGAGGCAUGGCAGGUGCCUUUAAUGGUUUGGAGGAGGCAAAAAAUUACAUUUCCAUGACAGUUACAGAUUAGCUGAGCAAAAAGGAUUUUCCAAGAUGAUAUUUUUUUUUUCCCUACUAACUUUUGUUUUUAACACUUUUUGUGCCAAGAAUAAUUAAAUAUGAACCCUUUUUGGGCUACAGAUGUGUAAAACAUUCUAUGCACUGAAAACCUAAUUACAUAAUUUAGAGUAAACUAGGUACUGUAGAAUAAUGCGUGAACCAUUCAUUAGUGACACAUUCAAAAGAUAUUUUCAACAGGCUAGCGACAAUUUAGCCCCGCAGCAAACAUGCAGUGAAUACUUUCUGCAUUAUUUUCUGAAUCAAAUAAUUUUAGUAAAUUGUAUCUCAACUGCAAAAUUUGAGCACAAAUAGCUUUUUUGGAAACUUUCACCAGCUCAUCUUUAUUCAAAGAUUGGCAAUUUUAGCCACAAUUUUACAAUUCACAUUUAAAUGGACACUACAGUUAGCAAAGCAACUUUAGCUUAAUGAAGAUCUCACUACUCAUUUCUCUGCCCUUUAGGAGUUAAAUCACUAUUGUUUCUAUCCAUGCAACCCUAGUCGCAACUCCCCUGGCUGUGACCCACAUUUUAAAUCAGAUGUUAACUUACUUUUUUAUCUCAUGUUCUGUAAAUUUAACUUUAAUCACAUACAGGACGCUCUUGCAAGUCUAGCCAGCUAUUAACAGUGCAGGUGAUAUGAAAUUCUAAAUCAAACAGAAUUUGCAAUAAAGGAAGUUUAAUCAUUAGAUCUCACUUUACAGGAAAUGUUUAGGAAGGCUGUGCACGUUACUUGCAGGGAGGUGUGACUAGGGCUACAUAAACAAAGUGAUUUAAACUCCUAAAGGAAAAGAAUUGAACAGUGAGACUCCAGGGGCAUGACCUAUACACCAUAUAAGCUUCAUUAAGCUAAAUUGGGUUUGGUGACUAUGGUGUUGACUACUUUGCUAGUAGCACAACACAAAACAUGCUAUGCAAAUAGCCAACAUAUUUUGGACUCUUGCAGGGAUCUACACUAAACUCCAGAUCUCAUCCGAAUGGACAAAAUUGGACAUAAUUUGGGUGAAUUUUAACCAGAAUGGCAAUUCUAUUAUGAACUUAUAUUUACUAAAACCAAUUCUGGUGCAAAUUCGGUUGAUCUAGAGCAGGGGCGGCUCAAGACUUUGUGAGGCCUUAGGCAAAACUCAAAAAUGAGACCCCCAUUAACACCAUUAGUGAAACAAAUAUGGGUUGCCUUGUGUGUUUAUAAGGAGCUGUAGGUAUAUUGAAUGACGAGCUUGCAGCGUUGACUACAGAACUAGUCUCUGUAUUCAGAGGCUUGCAUUGUUGUGGCUCUCUAUGCCGCUGCGUUGUGAGCUAUCGGACUGUAGUUAUUGCAUAAUUUACAAUAAACAAAUUUAUCGUAUUUAUUGGCGUAUAACAGGAGAAAUUGUGGGUGCGUGUUUAAAUUGUGGGUGCCCUUUAAAUACUGCAGCCGCCUGAGCGCUCUGUCAAGAGCGCUCAGGCGGCUGCAGUUGGUUCUCACCUCCCCUGUAGCGUGGCUACAGGGGAGGGGGAUAAGAAGGGGGUAAAUAGAUGGGGAGGAGGGUAAGAAGAGGGGAGGGAUUAAGAAGGGGGGGGUAAGAAGAGGGGAGGGGGGAGCAAGAAGAGGGGAGGGGGGGUAAGAGGGGGAGUAAGAAAGGGGAAGAGGGGGGAAGGGGAGCAAGCAGGGGCAGAGGGGAGGGAACAAAAGAGGGGGGGGAAGUAAGAAGAGGGAGGGGAGCAAGAAAGGGGGGUAAGAAGAGGGGGAGUAAGAAGGGGGUAAGAGGGGGAGGGGGAAGUAAGAAAGGGAGUAAGAAGAGGGGGAGGGGAGUAAGAAGGGGGUAAGAGGGGGAAGGGGAAGUAAGAAGAGGGGGAGGGGGGAGUAAGAAAGGGGGGUAAGAAGUUCUUUAUUUGAAAUUUAAAGGACCACUCUAGGCACCCAGACCACUUCAGCUUUAUGAAGUGGUCUGGGUGCCAGGUCCCUCUAGGAUUAACCCUUUUUUUUAUAAACAUAGCUAUGUUUAUACUGAGGGUUAAUCCAGCCUCCAGAGCCUCUAGUGGCUGUCUCAUUGACAGCCGCUAGAGGCGCUUGCGUGCUUCUCACUGUGAAAAUCACAGUGAGAGCACGCGAGCGUCCAUAGGAAAGCAUUGUAAAUGCUUUCCUAUGCGACUGGCUGAAUGCGCGUGCGCAUUCAGCCGAUGACGCCGCGAGCAAGGAGGAGAGGAGGAGUACAGCUCCCCGCCCGGCGCUGGAGAAAGGUAAGUGUUUAACCCCUUCCUCUCUCCAGAGCCCGGCGGGAGGGUGUCCCUGAGGGUGGGGGCACCCUCAGGGCACUAUAGUGCCAGGAAAACGAGUAUGUUUUCCUGGCACUAUAGUGGUCCUUUAAGUUUUUUUCCCCUGAAAUUUCCUUCUCAAAAUGAGGUGCGUGUUAUACGCCGGUGCGUGUUAUACGCCGAUAAAUACGGUAAUUUGCAUGAUGCUAAUCCUUUAUACAUGAUUGCUGGGUAUGGUUGCAUAGCCUGGCCGCAGUGUAUACAUAAGUGCCAGGGUGAAGGGGAUAUUGGAAACAAAAAUGAACAUUUUGGUUGGGCUUUGAAAAAAUAAUUUACCAAAUAAUAAAGUUACAGAUAAGAAAACGAUGUUAUAGACAUUUUCCCCACAUAUUCUAUAAUCCUUUACAUGUAUAUUAUCAUAUGUUUAUUUCGCCAUGUAUAGGGAUGUAUGCAUAUAAUAUAUAUAUAUAUAUAAUAUAUAUGUUCCUUGCAACUUUAUCUUUGCAUUGCCUAUACCACCCUCACAUUGCAGACAUACACACACACACACACACUAAUACAUGCACACAUAUGAAUACUAAUAUACAAAUAAUACACAAAUACAUAUACAUACACACUGAUAUAUGCACAUGCAAACACACACAAGCACAUUGAUGCACAGAGAUAUAAAUAUUGACUAAUACAGACAUACAGUCACAAACUGUAUUUAUCUGUCUCUGUGUACUUCUGAGUGUGUCAGGAAUUUUCUACCUGUGACAAUGAGUAAGUAUCCUUGUAUGUGAAUAUAUGUGUCUGUGAGCAAGUGUAUGUUUGUGUCUGGGGCCGUAUGUGUGUGUGGUAGCUGCUUGCUAUGUUUUGUAUAUAUGGGGGGCUGCCUGUGGCCUUUGUGCACUUUGUUAAUGGUGGAGCUAUGUUUUAUAACUUUGUGUGUAUGAUGGUUGUCUUCAGAGGUGACUGUAACAUGGUGAGUAAAGGGGUAAUUGUGGCAGGAUGAGUGUGACAGGGUGAGGGGUGAAUGAGACAGGGUUGGGGGGUGAGUGUGGGAAUGAGGGAGAGCAAGUGUGAUAUGGUUGGAAGGGGUGUUACAGGGUGAGAUAAGGUAAGCGUGACAGGCUUAAAUUGUCAAAGGACCCCUAUAGGCACCUAGACCACUUUAUCUUAAUGAAGUGGUCUGGGUGCCAGGUCCAGCUAGGGUUAACCCUUUUUUCUAUAAAUAUGUCAGCCGCUAGAGGCGCUUGUGUGCUUCUCACUGUGAUUUUCACAGUGAGAAGAAGCCAGCGUCCAUAGGAAAACAUUGUAAAUGCUUUCCUAUGAGACUGGCUGAAUGCGCGACGAGUAUGUUUUCCUGGCACUAUAGUGGUCCUUUAAUGUGACAGGUAAAUGUGGCAUAGUUAGGGAGGUAUCACAAGAUUGGCUGGUAUAUGGCAUUAUUGGAGUGAGUGUGAUAGGGCAAGGGGAGGUGAAUGUGACAGGAUUAAGGGGGUUAAUUGACAGGGUGAGUGUGACAGAGUGAUGGGGGGGGGGGGUAACAGGAUUAGAGGUGUUAAUGCUAAAGGGUGAGUGUGGCAGGGUUAAGGGUGCCACAGGUUUGGGGGUGAGUUUGGCACAUUGGAGGAGGGAGUGUGACAGGAAGAGGAGUGGGAGUGUGACAGUGAGAGGGGAGGUGAGUGCAGUUUGGUUGCAGGAGGUGAGUGGGAUAGGAUCAGGAGGGGUUAAAGUGAGUGGCAGGGUUAAUGGGGUGAUGGUGUGUGUGUAAGGGUGACUAUGUGGGUGUAUGGUGACAGUGUGUGUGGGGAGUGGUGACCGGGUGUGCGGAGGGGGAGUGACAGUGUGUGGAGAAGGGUGACUGUAUGUCGAGAGGGGUGACAGUGUGUGUGUGUGCAUGGAGGGGAUUACAGAGUGUGAAAUUGGGUUGGCAGAGUGAGAGAGUGGAGACAGUGGGCAGUGUGAGGGAAGGAGGGGGUGACAGAUGGCAGAGUGAGGGGGAGACAGGGGAUGAGUGAGGGGGUGACAGGUGGCAGAGUGAGGGAGGGAGUGGCAGAGUGAGGGGAAAAGUAGGGACAGGUGGCAAAGUAAAGGGGUGAAAGGUGGCUGAGUGAGGGAUGACAGGAGGCAGGAGUGAGGGGGUAACUGGGGGGCACAGUGAGGGAAGGAGGGGGAAAAAGGGGGCUAAGUGAAGAGUGACACUCAGGGUGUCAGGGAGCUGAGUGAGGGUGUGACAGGGGCUACGUGAGGGGUGACAGGGGACUGAGUAAGGGGGUGACAGGGGGCUGAGUAAGGGGUAACAGGAGGCUGAUUACAGGAGGACAGGGGACUGAGUGAGGGGAUGACAGGGGCUGAGUAAGGGGUGACAGGAGGCUGAUUAAAGGGGGCUGAGUGAGGGGUGACAGGAGGCUGAGUGAGUGGGUGACUGGAGCCACAGUGAGGGAAGGAGAGGGGACAGGGGCUUAAGUGAGGGGUGACGGGGGACUGAGUGAUGGGGUGAAGGGGGACUGAGUAAGGGGAUGACAGGGGACUGAGGAGUGAGGAGUGAUGGGUGAUGUGACGAGACCAAUCUCGCCACAUUGCAUUGGAGAAGCCUGGUUGCUCGCCUGUUGCCUUUGGACUAUGGCCCCAUGUUAAAAGCCUUCUUUUCCCCUGCAGAAAAGGCUUAUUCGUGCCUUUCUGCCCGGCGGUCGGUAGAUUAAAUCUACCGAACUAACGCACGAAUGACUGGACCACCUGGGAGCUGGAGUGUUUCGGCAAUUUACCUCCCAGAAGCUGCGGUUAACCUCAGCUUAAUUGACGAAUGCUGGUUGGCCUUUGUUCGGUUGCCGAACACGUGGCGGCGGCCAUUUUAAAGUCCCGAACGGCCAGCGUUGUUCAGCGCCCAAACUAUGGAACUGUAAACGGACACUCAUUUGCGCGAACACGGCUGAGCCAUCAGCCUCCUUGCUUCUGCAUUCGGUCAUUUAACCGGAUACCUGUUCAUUUGGUAGUUUAAACCGUAUGAACAGCAUUACCCCAGAAAGCCAUCCCGUGGAGUCUAUUCAUAUGGAGAACAGACUUUGUGAACACUUUAACUCCACGGCGAUUGGACUGUGUGCAUAGGAUCUGAGCGCUAUUCGGUACUUUUGUGCGCUCAGAUCCCAGCUAUCUGGGGAUGGGUUACAUGUAUACAUUUUGUGUGACAAAUGUAAUAUUGUGUAUUUUAGUGUUUUAUUGUAACCAUGUGGGUAAUGGAGUUUUGCCUCUGUCCUUGGAGAUAAUUGGAUUACUUCCCAAUUAUCUCCAGGAUAGAGGGGAAGGAUUGUAAUGUAUUGGGGGAGUGUUUUAACCCUGUUUGCCUGUGAUUGGUCAUUGUACCAUUUGUGUCCCAGUCUUCCCUCUGGUCCCCUAGGGGAGUGUCCACCAGGUGGAAGACCUGCAUAAAUACUGGGCAGGUAGCCCUCAUUAAACCAGACCAUUGCUUGACCCUCAACACGGAGCUCUGUCUCGUUCUUGGGGGAUUUACUGUAUGCUGACAGAGACUGAUUGCUAGGAGUGUAAGCCACUUGGGUGCUCUUCCUAUUCGUCUGCUAGCAGCUAUUCGUGAGGUUCCAGUUCGGGAGUUUGGAGUGCUAUUUUGUAUACAGUUCGGGUGUUUGGAGCAUUCCCUUACAUACGGUUCAUGAGUUUGGUGUUCUACAGUAGCUGUGCCUGUGUCUCUGGAAGGGGAAGAUCUACUAAACUGCGGUUUAACCCUUUUUAUGCUGAGGGUGCUGUUACAGGUGACACUUAAGGUGACAGGGGGCUGAAUGAGGUGGUGACAAGGGACUGAGUAAGGAGAUGACAGGGGGCUAAGUGAAGGGUGACAGGGGGCUGAGUAAGGGGGUAAUUGUGGGAGGGAAGGUGAACAAAUACUUUUUUUCCCCUGUUGGUCCGGUGGGCUUCCUAUCCUGUCUGCAGCUCCACCGGGAGUGAGCUGCAGACCAUGUGAUAGAAGUCUUGCAAACUCCAGAAUUCGAGGCGUUGCCGUGGUAACCCGUGGGAACACUCUGAUUGGCUGGAGGUUGCGAGACACUUUACAGUCUGCAGGUCAUUCGGCGUAGCUGCAGACUGUAAACGCUCCCCUCCCAGGGCAGACUGCUUGGAGGGGGCCUCGCAACAGGCGGCAUAAUGGGCAAGCCGCUGUGUCCACUCCCGAUGUUCACUCAACAUGUAAGUCUGCCCUAAUGUGAUUUUGGCGGCCGUGAGGCCCCUGCCAGCGCGAGGCCUUAGGCGGCCGCCUAAGUCGCCUAAUUAGAUAGCCACCUCUGAUCUAGAGUCAUUUGGUCAUAAGCAUUUGAUAUCAAGUUUAAUAUGCAUGCUUUUAGCAUCCGAACCCACUACAAAGUACAAGAUUCUGAAUAUGCAGAAUAUGAUAUACAAAUCACUGGUUUUAAACACAUUAGGGACAUAAGGGACUGAAAAUCCAGCAGGAUGAAAAUUAUUGUAUAAUUGUUUAUUAAAAUGAAUAGGGGGAACUGUAAGGGCAAAGUUUCUUCCCUGGGGAAUCUUAAUGGCUGCAGUUCGUCCUUGGAAUUCUAAUUAGCACACCACACCUACGAGCUCAGAGAAUUGACUGACACACAACACAAAUAGUGAUGGUUCAAAUCAACUUUGAAUUUAUUGGCAUAACUUAACAAUUUAUAUCGGUGUCUUAUCACAUGGUAUUUUAUCCCAUUUUUACAGUAAUCAGCAUCAGAAAACAUCUUGGACAGUUGUCAAAAAUAAUUAAUUACCGCAAGACAGACACAGUAGUCAUUUUAAGAUAAAAAAGUAUCAAUGACAAUAGAAUACAUUGAGUACAAGGGUCAACCUGACCACAUUUUGGUUUUGCAAUGUUGUAUUUUCCCUAAACUAUCUGCUAAACAGGAAGCAUCAGUUGGGAGAAAAUGUAAGCACAAGGUCACUUGUGCAAGCGAGUUAGUGUUGAAAUAUAUAUUUAUACUGUCAUGAUAUAAAUGAUAAUUUAAGCUGCUUUGAGCAGUAAACAACAAAAUGGACCCUGGAUACAAAAUGGCAUCUGAAUAUAAAUGACAAAAUGAUUACAAAAUGGCGAGUGAGUUAAAUAUUUUUUUUUUUUUUUUUUUUUAUUCUUUAUUUUUCUUGUGCAUAGAUUAACAACAAGCGUGCAGUGCCACAACAGCAUCUACAGGCAAUUGCAUGACAUUUCAAUGUGUGGCAUUUUAGACAGCACAAUUUUUCUUUUAUAAAUGCGAGGGUAACAGAUUAUUAGAUAGUAGCAUUUUAUAAUGUAACACGCUAGACUAGAUAUGCAUAUAUCAAAACUUGUUGUGCUUGAGAUUGUAUGUGCGUAGCUCGUGUUUGAUGUGGCGUAUAGGCAUUGAAAGUAGUGUGACAGGUUAUUAUACCAACAGAUGUGUCUUCAUAUUGUGUGAGACAAGCUAGUUGUUUAGUUGCGUACCUAUCUGAUGCCUAAGGUAGACCAGAGUGAAAGUAGUAGCUAGAUCACACCUAGUACUGUGUGCUGUUGUUUGCUACUUAACACCACAGUGGGAGAUAUUGGGUAAACACUUAAGAAUGUAAACAAUACAAAUAAAAAACACAUAUUAUUAGAAGAACACACUGCCGCCCCGCCAACUGACGUUUGAGCUCCAAUGUCUCUGGCAGUGGAGUGAGGCAGGAAUCUGCACACCCGGCGUGGCCCUCGGUGGUAUAUGGAGUCAUUGUUGUUCGGUGUCCGCUUUGUGAAGGCGGAGGGUUGGGGAGUGAUGUGCACCUCUGCUGGCGCCUUCUAGCUAUUUGAAUCCCUCCUGCUGCGGCUAGUAAGUGUUGCCAUGUGAGCGCUGUGGGCUUGUUCUGAAGGCUGAAGUGGUGUCGUGCCUCGUGUGCCGUUUGCCUGAGUUGGGCAGAGGGUUAGUUAGCCGGGUCUGGUGGGUUGGUGCUGCGUCGCUUGUAGCCCCUCCGUCCUCUGUGCCCUGUGCGGGUGCAAGAAUCACGAAGCCUAGGCUUGGCAUGUAACGUAGUGGUGUGGCUCUGUGUCCGCUCUGAUCAGGCUGCCAGUAAUAGGUACGUGGGGCCUGCCCUGUGUUUGUGGGGAUUGCAAUCCUCUGGGGGCGAUAGGUGGCAGGCUCCCUUAUGUGAGGUGGCAGGCUUUAUCUGGUCGCCUGGGUCUUGGGAUCUCCGUUUCGGAGGGGAUUGCAGGGUGUGGGCCGGGAUCACCCCCACCGGCCCAGGGGGGGGAGAUGGGGCCCGGACCGCCAAUCCGAGGAAGUCCGGCUGAUUAUCGUCGAGCAGGAUAGCGGGGCAGCGGCCGUCUGCCCCACUCACCGCCUGAGUAGGCCUCAUCCCAUGAGGACGACGUAUAUCUCUCAGAGGGACUGAAACAAAUUCUGCGAGCCUCUCCCCGGGUCCAGUGCUUCUCCGUGUGCCGGCCCAUCGCUCUUGGUCGGCUGGACGGAUCAGUAAGUCAGUUUUUGGGGCCCGAAAAGGCAGAAAGCUGUCGGAGCCGCCGUUCCAUGCGACCAGCCAGCAUGGCGGCCAGGCCCCGCCCCCAUGAGUUAAAUAUUUUAAUCCUUUUUUAAAUUAACUUAUAACCCCACCAGUCCCCACCCAUUGGUGGUGGGUUGUGGCUACUUAUUUAUUAACCAUGCAGAAAUAAAUUAUGUUUGUGAUGCUGAAAUUGGCCACAGUUAACCUGAUGAUCAUACUGCUAUCAACAAUAUAAAGGGAGACUCAAAGCACCCAUAUGACCUUAAAGAGUUUGAUAAAUAUUCCUGCCUCCUUAGCCAUGACCCUUCAUUCCAGAAAAAGACUCUAUAGCACUGAGUGAGCAUUUAAUUCACAGACAGGAAGUCAAACUACUGUAAUACAUCAGUAAUAUUCUCACUAUAUGUCUCUCUGGGUGUCUUCUCCUUCUAAUUGUAGUUGCUUUGUAGUUCAGAUCACUCGGUGAUGUUGAUUGCUGUGGUGUGUACAUACAUUUGAUAAGGAAGUGAAAGGGCAUGGGUAAGGAGGCAGGUUUAUGGUUGAACAAAAGCAAAAUAACAGUGCAGCGCUUAUUUAACACUGGGAUAAGCGAGAAUACCUGUGUACCUUCAAAUAUCUUUUUAAGUGUUCUAAACUCCAAUUUCAGUACCUUUGAACAAACAGCUAAAAAAUACCAAUGAUAGUGUAUAACUGUGUAAAUAUAUAUAAUAAAGCUUGUGAGAUAAUUUCACACUCACACUUUUAAGAGCUAUAUACAAUUAGCUCUAGUAGAAAACAGCUUUAGGGUCCGUAGAGGCGACCCGUCCCUUCUUUGUGCAGGAAGAGGUCCUAAAUAUGGACUCAAAAGAAAGGUAUAUAUGGAGUAGUACCGUCAAACGUUUAAAUCAUCUCUAAAUAUAAAGACAAAUGGGUACUCACAAGGAUGGAGCCAAUAUCAGGAUCUAUAGGCAGUGCAGUGUCUGGACUAAGGGCCACACUACCUUCUUAGUGAAGCAGGAACGAAGAUGGCAGAAUGUAGUAAGAACUAUAUAAGUAAUUUAUUCAUUAUAACCAUAAACAUUAAAACAUAUAUAUAAAAUAUAUAUAACUUUCUCUGUUACCUGGGGACACGUUUCACCACAAAUAGGGCUGCAUCAGCUAGGCAAUCCGUGGUGAAAGUUCUAGCGUGCUCCCUCCUGCUUAUAUACAUCCUUUUAAUAGGGGGACAAUAGUUAUCUGGUGUGAAGAAUGCGCGCUUUCUACCACUGCGCUGGGAGUGCGCUUGCGUUGCACGCCUUGUCCUCCUCCUAUCUGGAAGUUCUGUUCCGGUUUCCUUGUGCGUGUGACUUGCAUCACUUCUGCUUUUGUCAAUUCCGGUUGCUGUGAAGACUUGUGUGCGUAUCAGCGGCCACUGUCUUUGCGUUCCACUUAAAUGUCCGAUAGUGGAAGUGGUAUUUAGGGUAAUGGAUGGAUUCAUAAUCUCUUGUGGAAAUGUCCAUAUAUGUAAGAUCGAGAGAACACAAAGAAAAGAAACAAUAUUUACAUACAUGACAUUUUACAUUGUAGUGAUUAAAAUAAAGAUUUAUAUCCCAAACAUCCAAGAGUGAUUUGAAAUGAAAAACAAUCAAAGUGUAUUUCACUUUCCCCACAUAUGGAAAUACUUAAAAUAUUUAAAAACAUAAAUGUGCAUAAUUCACCUUACAUUAAUUUUCUUUAACUGCUGUAGCACCUUGUCUUGGGUCAUCCAAUCACAAGUUAUCUGCAAGCUUUUUGCAGCAGUCAUUUGCAUAUGUCUUAUCAUAGGAUUCUCAUUAAUAUAUACUGGAAAAAAAUUGUUAUUUAAAAUUUCUGCCUUUUCCUCGUCUUCAUUAACUAACACUCCCAUCUCUGUUUUCAAUGUACCUACACUUUCAUUUUUUGUUUUUUCAGCAUUGGUGUACUUUUUUGGGGUUGGUUUUGCAUUCUUUGGCUAUUCAUUUUCUAGUUUAGCCACUUUAAUUGCCUUUUUGCAAUCGUUAUUGGCUUCCUUAUAUCUUUUAUAAGAUGCCUCUGAUUUGUCCGAUUUAAAUGCUUUAAAUGCCCUUUUCUUAUUUUUAAUGUUUUAGUUUACUUUCCCACUAACACAUGUUUUUUUUUUUUUUUUUUAUAUUUAUUACCCAAUGGUACAUACUGAGAAAUGUACCUUUCUAAUAUUUGUUUGAAGAUAUUCUAUUUAUCCUCAGUGGUUUUUUUCACUAAGGAGUUUAUGCCAGUUGAUGUGUUGUAGAGCUGCCCUAAUCUUAUUGAAAUUGGCUUUUUUUUAAUUUUACGCUUUAGUAUACCCCACGUGCUUUUGACUUUUUGACCUUAUUUCAAAAGACACAAUAUUGUGAUCACUAUUUCCUAAAUGCUCCCCUAUUUGAAUGUUGUUCAAAAGAUCAAUAUUGUUUGUUAUAACCAGAACCAGACAAGCGUCCUUUCCAGUUGGUGCUUGUACCAGUUGUGACAUAAAGGUGUCAUUUAACAUGUUUAAAAACCUGAUUUCCCUUGCUGAACUACUAGUCCAUAUAUCCCAAUUUAUGUCUGGGUAAUUAAAAUCUCCAAUAAUUAAUGGGUUACCCAGAUGUGCAGUUUCCCAAUUUGCUCUAACAGCUGUUCUUUCUCAUUAAUAUGAACAUUAGGUGGACCGAUAAUUGAUUUCCCUUCUUUUCCCCAAGCAGAUAUCUACCCAGAAAUCUUCCACAUUUUCUUUGCCACACUCCACAUGCUUAAGAUAUUAUUGAGAGGGUAGUGGAUGCAUGGAACAGCCUUCCAGCUCAAGUGGUAGAGGUUAACACAGUACAGGAGUUUAAGCAUGCGUGGGAUAGGCAUAAGGCUAUCCUAACUAUAAGACUAAUUAAAGUAUUUUUAAAAAUUAGGCAGUCUAGAUGGGCCUGAAUGGUUCUUAUCUGUCAUCACAUUCUAUGUUUCUAUGUUAAGAUUUAUCUUGGUUGACAUACAAACAUACCCUUUCUUGUUUUUUCUAUCCUUUCUAAAUAACGUGUACCCAUUCAACUGCCCAGUCAUGUGUCUCAUCCCUCCAUGUUUCUGUUAAGCCUAUUAUGGCAUAUUGCUUAGUGUAUGAUAUUGCCUCUAGUUCUCUCAUUUUGUUAUUAAAUUCAGUUCAAACUGAGCUAACCAGAUUCUCCUACACGGGAAUGCAGAAGGAAGGUAGUGGCCACGGGCUCCUGGCUGGAGGACUGAGGUAAAAUGUUUUGACAAAUUACUAUGGAAAAUGCCAGUGAACUCCUGGCACCAGAACCACUACAUCUGCAAGAAAGUGCCAGUGCACUCCUAGAACCAUAAGGACUAUAAGAGACUAUACAAUACCAGUGGACUCUUAUCACUAUAACCACUACAUCAAGCCAGAAAGUGCCAGUGUACUAUAGCAGGAUGGAAAGUGCCAGUGCACUUGUGACACCAUUAAAACAUCAGUGGUCUUGAAAGUGCCAUUGGACUCCUGGCACCAUAAUCACUACACUGGAAUGUAGAGUUCCUUUAAUGCUAUACGGAAUAAGAAAAUGUUUUAAAAUUUAAUUUUUUUCAUUCAUUUAUUUAUUAGAUUUGUAAUUAUCUCACCAUUCACCUGGGUAAAGCUGUUCAUUGUAUUCUAUGGAAUACUGAAUGCAUAUAUUUAGCUCACUGUUAGCCCAAAAUCGCACACUGUUUUUCAUUUGUUCAAGUGAAUUUAGCAUCUGUAUGAUUAAUGACUCGGUAGGCAAAUAUAACAUAUGCAGAUUAGAAGGUUUAACAAAAAAGGGGGGUAUGGAAAAAUUAUUGUGCUGUACCAGAAUUUUUUAUUCCUUCCUUCCUUCAUUGCUGCUCAGCACUUCUGUCUUCAUCAUAGUCUCUCGCUAAGAAUUCCCUGUGGGUGUUAUCUGUCACUGACUCUAUCCUGUAUAUCAUUAAAUGAUAAUGAUUAAAUUAUAUCAUUUAUGCAUAUUAUGUAAAAUACAAGCCUUCUAUAACCUGCCCUAUUAAUUUGAUACACUUCUGGAAAAAAAACACCAUCCACUUCUGCAAAAAGAAAAUGUAUUUAAGACUAUGCAAAGGUAGAUUUUAUUUAAUUUCAAGUGUUUUUAGAUAGCUAUGCCUUGAAGUGUUCUACAAUAUAGUUUAGAUUUUAAGUCUGAUAUAGGUGCAUGGGUAUAUCCGUACAUGGUAUCAGUGUUUGAAUAUAGAGAUAUAUUCAUACAUUUACAUACACAACCACACACAAAUGCAUUCAGUUUCUUGGAAAAGUAUUCACCCCCCCUUGACCUUUUACCUAUUUAGUAAAAUUACAGCCUUAAGUUCAAUGUUUUAUUGAUCUGAAUUUAUGUGAUGGAUCAGAACACAAUAGUCUAAGUUGGUGAAGUGAAAUGACAAAAAUAUAUACAAAAAACUAUUUUUUUAGAAAUAGAAAACAGAAAAUUGGCAUGCGCAUAUGUAUUCACCCCCUUUGUUAUGAAGUCCAUAAAAAGAUUUGGUGUAACCAAUUACCUUGAGAAGUCACAUAAUUCGUGAAAUGAUGUCCACCUGUGUGCAAUCUAAGUGUCACAUGAUCUGUCAUUACAUAUACACACCUUUUUUGAAAGGCCCCAGAUGCUGCAACACCUAAGCAAGAGGCACCACUAACCAAACAUUGACAUGAAGACCAAUGAACUCUCCAAACAAGUAAGGGACAAUGGUGUUGAGAAGUACAACUCAGGGUUAGGUUAUAAAAAAAUAUCCAAAUCGUUGAUGAUCCCGAGGGGCACCAUCAAAUCUAUCAUAACCAAAGGGAAAGAACAUGGCACAACAGCAAACCUGCCAAGAGACGGCCACCCACCAAAACUCAUGGACCGGGCAAGGAGGGCAUUAAUCAGAGAGGCAAGACAGAGACCUAAGGUAACCUUGGAGGGGCUGCAGAGUUCAACAUCAGAGACUGGUGUAUCUGUACAUAGGACGUCAAUAAGUCGGACGCUCCAUAGAGUUGGGAUUUAUGGCAGAGUGGCCAGAAGAAAGCCAUUACUUUCAGCAAAAAACAAAAUGGCACAUUUUGAGUUUGCGAAAAGGCAUGUGGGAGAUUCCCAAAAUGUAUGGAGGAAGGUGCUCUGGUCUGAUGAGACUAAAAUUAAACUUUUUGGCCAUCAAAGAAAAUGCUAUGUCUGGCGCAAACCCAACACAUCACAUCACCCAAAGAACACCAUCCCCACAGUGAAAUAUGGUGGUGACAGCAUCAUGCUGUGGGGAUGUUUUUCAGCAGCCGGGACUGGGAAACUGGUCAGAGUUGAGGGAAAGAUACAUGGUGCUAAAUACAGGGAUAUUCUUGAUCAAAGCCUGUACCACUCUGUGCGUGAUGUGAGGCUAAGACGGAGGUUCACCUUCCAGCAGGACAAUGACCCCAAACACACCGCUAAAGUAACACUUGAGUGUUUUAAGGGGAAACAUGUAAAUGUGUUGGAAUGGCCUAGUCAAAGCCCAGACCUCAAUCCAAUAGAAAAUCUGUGGUCAGACUUAAAGAUUGCUGUUCACAAGCGCAAGCCAUCCACCAGUUUUGCAAGGAGGAAUGGGCAAAAAUCCCAGUGGUAAGAUAUGGCAAGCUCAUAGAGACUAAUCCAAAGCGACCUGGAGCUGUGAUUGCCGCAAAAAGUGGCUCUACAAAGUAUUGACUUUACUUUUUCUGUUAUUUUGUCCUAUUUGUUUUUUUUGCUUCACAAUAAAAAUAAAAAAUAAAACAUCUUCAAAGUUGUGGGCAUGUUCUGUAAAUUAAAUGAUGAAAAUCCUCAAACAACCCAUGUUAAUUCCAGGUUGUGAGGCAACAAAACAUGAAAAAUGCCAAGGGGGGUGAAUACUUUUGCAAGGUACUGUACCUCCACCCACACUGAUAUACACACCUGACACAUAGAUGCAUACCCUGACACACAAAUUUGACACUAAUACAGACAUAUUUGCUGACAUGCAUACACACGCACAUAGAUACACACUAUGAUGCUUAAAUUGUCACAUACAGACACACAUUCACUCACAAUGAUGGGCAGAUACAUAUAUUGGCACGGAUACACGGUGACACACCAUGCACAGAAACACACAAUAUCUUAAUAUAAAUACAAAUACACACAGAACUCACAAUAUCUUAAUAUAUACAUAUUUUUAGCCACCCUCUCAUUUCCAUGGUGGUUGGUUUCCCUGGGGUCCAGUGAAAGCCGGCUGGGGCUGAUUGGAGUGUGCUCUGGGUGGUCCAGGCUCUCUUUCUGCCUUCUCUUCCUCUUCCUCUUUUUACCCCCCCAUGACGUUUUGUGAUAGGAGAAAAGUAACUGCACAAUAGGGCAGCCUUGAUGGCGGCUCUUUCUGUAAGUGUCACAAAUAUAUAUACAUUAUUUUAUUUUUUUUCCUCUUUUUUUUUCCUUAUAAUUUAAUGUCAUCUAUAAUUCAUAUCAAUCAGGUAGGUUCUACCUGUAAAAGUAAACUCAGUGUAGACCAUGGGUCGUCAACCUGGUCCCUACCGCCCACUAGUAGGCGUUUCAGGAUUCCAGGUGGGCGGUAGGGAUUUUCAAAUUUUGAGAGAUUGGGUGGGCAGGCGGGCGCGAGCCGGCGGUACCCCUGCGACCGGGUACCACCACCACCACUUGCGGCCCCGGCCCGCGCGGCAAACCACCGGGGCCGCACAUGGAGGGGUUCAUCGGGGGGCCCAUGCUGUCAGGGCCACCUGAUGGAUGUGGAUUGUGAGGGGGCCCCUGUCAGCGCUGGGCGCUUUAACAAUGCGACCGGGCCCCCUGUGAUUACAUCACAGAGCUGGGAGGAAGUGACUGCACGUCACUCCUGCCAGCUAUCACACAGACCGCGCGGGAGGAAGGUGGAGGGAGUCAGAGUGGGAACUGGACCCCAGGGAAAGUCACCCUCCUGCACCUAAAAGGUAGGAAACAUCUUUUAAAGCGCCACAGCGCCUGACCGGGCCCCUGCUCACACAGGCCCACCGGGUGGCCCUAAGUGCAUGGGCCACCCGAUGGGCCCCCAUAGUUUGCGGGCAGAGGGCAAAAGGAGCAGCUGUCUUGGGCCCCUCAGCUGGGACAGGGCCCGGGGCAGCUGCCCCGUUUGCCCUGCGUUAAAGACGGCCCUGGUCUUGUGUGUGUGUCUGUAUGUAUGUAUGUGUGCCUGUCUGUUAUAGUGGGCUAUAGUAAGUAAUAGUAAGUGGGAUACCUAGCUCAGCCUUCCUAUUGGGCAUUGCUAUAAGGAAGGUUAAAAAAUGUAAAAAAAGGGGGAAAGGUGGGGAGGGGAAUUGAAGAGGGAGAGGAGGGAAGCUGACAAACAGAUGAGAAAUCAUAUUAUGCGCAAACAGAGAAGUCGUCUGAAUAUCACCAAAAGAGGAGACCUUCGUUUGUUCCUUACGAAAACCGAACCAGAUAUCAAAUAUUUAGUCUUGCAGCAUCAACCUCAAGGAUCUCAUUAAUAACUAGUAAAGGUAAUUUCAAUUUACUUUAUUGUUCUCUCAUUAAACUUUAUAAAGUUAAAAACAUUAUAAACAUGCAUUAAGUAGAAAUAAAAAGAAUAAUGUAAUUAUAAUAUAAUAAUUUUUUUUUAAAACACCCUCCUUUCGAAAAAAUAUUCUGCACUUGCGCAAAAACUGGUGGGCAGUAUGGAAAUGUUUUCAACCAAAAAGAUGUGGACCGGGGAGGAAACAGGAGGGUGACUAAAAUAUUUUGUGUGUGUUUGUUUGUGUAUGUGUCUUUGUAUGUAUGUCUUGUGUGUUUCUGUCUGUAUGUAUGUGUCUGUAUGUGUGUGUAUGUAAGUGUGUCUUAUGUAUGUGUUUUUGUAUGUAUGUGUGUGUCUUUGUAUGUGUCUUGUGUGUGUGUGUGUGUCUGUCUGUCUGUAUAUAUGUGUGUGUGUGUCUGUCUGUAUAUAUGUGUGUAUGUAUGUGUGUCUUGUCUUUGUAUGUAUGUGUUGUGUGUGUAUGUGUCUUUGUAUGUAUGUGUGUCUUGUGUCUGUCAGUAUGUGUGUAUGUGUCUUUGUAUGUAUGUCUUAUGUGUGUGUCUUUGUAUGUGUGUGUCUGUAUGCGUGCCUGUCUGUGUUUGUGUCUGUAUGUGUGUGUGUGCCUGUCUGUCUGUAUGUAUGUGUGUCUUGUGCAGGGCCGUCUUUAAUUCUGAUUGGACCCUGGGCAAGCAUUAACUUGGGCCCCCUGACUACAUAUAGAUACACACAAAUACAAAACCUGACACACAUGCAGAUACACACUGACCGCAUAUAGAUACACACAAGAACAUACAGAUACACACAGACUACAUAUAGAACACUGACACACAGAUAGACACAAACACAGAUACACAACCUGACAAACAUGCAGAUACACAGAUACAAACACUGAUACAUGCAGAUACACUGACACACAUACAGACACACAGAUACACAGAUACACAACCUGACACACAUGCAGAUAUACAUAUACAAACACGGACACAUACAGAUACACACUGACUAUAUAUAGAUACACACACAAACACAAACGGACAACAUACAGAUACAAAGGCACAUUCUGACAGACGUACUGACACAGAGACACACACAGACAGCCAUACUGAAACACACAUACACACAGACAUACAGAACCACAUGGACACUGACAGACUCACACAUAGACAUACUGACACACUGACAGACAUUAUGGCACACAUACACACAGACAGACAUACUGAAACACACAUACACACAGACACUGACAGGCGUACACACAUACAGACAUUUGAACACUCAUAGACAGCCAUACUGAAACACACAUACACACAGACACUGACAGACGUACACACAUACAGACAUUUUGACACUCACAGACAGCCAUACUGAAACACACAUACACACUGAACCACACAGACACUGACCGACUCACACACACACAGACAUACUGGCACAUAUACACACAGACGGACAUACUGAAACACACAUACACACAGACACUGACAGACAUAUUGACAAACACAGACAUACAGAACCACACAUACACUGACAGACUCACACACACAGACAUACUGACACACCGACAGACAUACUGGCACACUGACAGACAGACAGACAUACAUACAUACUCUCACACACACACACACAGACACUCAUGCAAAAUUUGAUAACCACCCUCCAGUUUCUUACCUUUUCCUGGAGGGUGGCUUCCCUGGGGUCCAGUGGGCUGGCUGGGGUGGCUGGGAGUUAAGCUCUCCCGGGCUGGCCCCCUCCGGAACAGCUCCUUCCUCCCGCGCGGCUCUUGCUUCUGUGGGAGCAAGUGACGCGCGGCUGUCACUUCCUCCCAGUGCUGCCGAAAAAGCAAGGGCCCGGUCGCGCUUUUAAAGCGCCACAGCGCCUGACCGGGCCCCUGCUCACACAGGCCCACCGGGUGGCCCUAAGUGCAUGGGCCACCCGAUGGGCCCCCAUAGUUUGAGGGCAGAGGGCAAAAGGAGCAGCUGUCUUGGGCCCCUCAGCUGGGACAGGGCCCGGGGCAGCUGCCCCGUUUGCCCUGCGUUAAAGACGGCCCUGGUCUUGUGUGUGUGUCUGUAUGUAUGUAUGUGUGCCUGUCUGUUAUAGUGGGCUAUAGUAAGUAAUAGUAAGUGGGAUACCUAGCUCAGCCUUCCUAUUGGGCAUUGCUAUAAGGAAGGUUAAAAAAUGUAAAAAAAAGGGGGGGGGAAAGGCGGGGAGGGGAAUUGAAGAGGGAGAGGAGGGAAGCUGACAAACAGAUGAGAAAUCAUAUUAUGCGCAAACAGAGAAGUCAUCUGAAUAUCACCAAAAGAGGAGACCUUCGUUUGUUCCUUACGAAAACUGAACCAGAUAUCAAAUAUUUAGUCUUGCAGCAUCAACCUCAAGGAUCUCAUUAAUAACUAGUAAAGGUAAUUUCAAUUUACUUUAUUGUUUUCUCAUUAAACUUUAUAAAGUUAAAAACAUUAUAAACAUGCAUUAAGUAGAAAUAAAAAGAAUAAUGUAAUUAUAAUAUAAUAAUUUUUUUUUAAAACACCCUCCUUUCGAAAAAAUAUUCUGCACUUGCGCAAAAACUGGUGGGCAGUAUGGAAAUGUUUUCAACCAAAAAGAUGCAUUAGUGGGCAGUAGGUAGAAAAAGGUUGACUACCACUGGUGUAGACCAAGAAUGUUAAAUUCAAAGGCUAACACGGGCCAAAUAAGGUUUAAGUUUAUGUGGGCCACAAAAAAAAAACUUCAGUUUUAAUAAAAAAAAGGUUUAUUUCAAAAAGUACAGUAUAAAAAAAGUUGCCUAACUAGCACUGGAUGACAUCAAGCUCGUAGGGCUUCAAAGCACUGGCGGAUCCGUUGCCCCGAGUUUCUCCCCUGCCAGCUAAUGCAGGGCUGGCAUUGUCCAAGUGCCAGCCUUGCAAUGUGCCUGUGGACCGGGGAGGGAGCCGGCAGGGGGAGGGAGCGAGAGAGGACCCGGGAGCUCAGCCUACAACUCCUCCGGGUCCUUCUCUCGCGAGCACGGAGCGUUGCCGCGGUUACCACGGCAACGCUCCAAAUCUCGCGAGAGUGAACUCUAUCCCUCGAGCUAGGGCUAGAGUUCACUCUCACCACUGGGACCACCAAGGAUUACCCACCGGACCACCAGGGAUGGAGAAAUGUCCCCCCUCCUCCUCAAUAAAGGUAAAAAGGGAGGGGGGACAUAAAUAUAUUUAUUUUAAUUAAAUUUAAAAAAGCCUCCCUACCCUCCUUCCCCCCAUACGCACACUGCCCCCAUACACACACUACACACACUGCCCCACAAACACUGCCCCCAUACACACACUACACACACUGCCCCACAAACACUACACCAUACACACACUACACACACAGCCCCACAAACAUUGCCCCCAUACACACACUGCACACACAGCCCCACAAACAUUGCCCCCAUACACACACUGACCCACAAACACUACUCCCCAUACACACACUACACACACUGCCCCCAUACACACACUACACACACUGCCCCACAAACACUGCCCACAUACACACACUACACACACAGCCCCACAAACACUGCCCCCAUACACACACUACACACACUGCCCCACAAACACUGUCCCCAUACACACACUGCCCGACACAUACACUGCCGCCUAACACACACACUGCAACCCUGACAUACACUGCUGCUCUUACGCACUCGCACACACACACUGCACCUUUCACACACACACUUCACCCCUAACACAUACCACUGCUCCUAUGCCCUAUAUCCCAGCAGACCCCAGGUAAGCUGUCAAACUGUUCUUAAGCGGUUUGACUACUUACUCUGGGAUGGGAUCCUGGCACUACUCGCGCCAUAACUACUACACUGAGCUGUAGUGGUUAUUGUGCCUGGAUUAUUUCUUUAAAUAAUCUACAAGUUCCCCUCCUGAGAUCAGGCUCUGAAUCCACCACUGUAUGCAAGGGAGGGCACUACAGUGCUAGGAAUACAACUUUGUAUUCCUAACACUAAACUUUUCCUUUAAAUGUAUUCAUCCCUGCAAAACAAAGUUUACUUCGUCCCAACUGUUAAUAUAUUAAAGUAAUGUUUGAUUUGAGUUGAGUUGAAUAUUAUUUAGCUAUAAAAGAAACCUUGGGGUUAAAACAACUCCAAGGGGUAAAAAACUGCGCUACAACUGUGGUGCUAAAAUCCAAUAAUCAAUUUAUAAACGAUGAUGCUAUCACAUGGAUAAGUCCUGAUGCUGCCUUCAAAUGGAGAUAUCCUUUAUACUCCUGCGUAUCUAAAAAACGAAUAAAAAGCAAAAGAAAGCGCAAAAGGCUAUAUAUCAUGUGAAUAUAUAAUAAAUUGUAUUGAUAAAUGUAAUUGAAAAAUAUAAUCAGUAUGUACUAUAAAUAAGUACUAAAUCCCCCAAAAAUGUAAUUAAAGUGGCAAAUAAAGUAAAAUAACAUAAAAAUGCAUAUGCAUAAAAUAAAAAAUAUAAAAUACCAGUGGUUAUCAGAAGGAUCAGAGAGAACUUCCACCUAAUAAAAUCUAAUGGGAAUUGAUAAAAAGUGAAAUGUCCAUUGCAGUAAAGAUGCUGAAAUCUAACCUGAAUCCCAUAGCUGAAGUGCACUCCUGCUUGGUCCGGACUAUCCUUGUCAAAAUGGGUUAAGGUGUCUCCAGUCCUCUCAUCUAUGUAGAUCCUAUAAGUGAUCUGCCGAUAUUCCUCACGAAAAGAUAAAAAGAUGAAUAUAAGAUCCUCUUUGGCCAAAAAGCUUAACGUGUAUCGAAAAUCGGAAUAUGAAGGUACGGAGGCUCCCAGGGUACACAGGACCCGAUUAUCUCGAUAUGGGAAUCCUACACGUUUCAUGAGUCUUGCGCUCACUUCCUCAGGGAUGAAUUACGAAUUACCGAGAUGGACGUGUGUGGCUUAAAUACGGGAAGGGAAUUACUUAUUUGAACCACAUGUGUGGUAAUUAGAUUACUAAAUAGAUUUGAGACUGCAUAUCUGCUAUCAAUACUAUACACUGUCUGGACAAAAAAAAAUAAAUCACCAGCUGGAUUUAACAAAGCAAAUGUCAGGGUACUAGUUGAUCCAGCACGCAUUAAUAGUAUUGCACCUAGGACUAAGGGUAACGUCUCUCCGGACCUUAGAAUGUCCGUAUUUAACGUACCCAAGAAUAGUCAAAAUACUUGCCGAGGUCAGGGAUACAGAAUGAGACAGAAUGAGACACAACGAUGAGGGGAAGCCAAAAGUCAAGGAUACCAGAAAUCAGGGAAGUCAAAAUGAAGCCAAAGUCAAAAACCAGAAUAGUAUGAUCAGGUACACACUCCCGGAACACCAGCAAAGGGAAAUCACAACAGGGCACUGAUCAAAAGGCAAUUUUAAAUAACCCUCCUAAAGCUGCAAUUGGCUGUAUGUGGCCUCUGACCCAAAAAGUGUAAGCACGAUCUUUAAUGUGGGUAAAGGCAAUUUCCCCAUCAAAACCAUAACUGCGGCGGCCGGCGUCACCAGGAACACCGCACACGCUGGGUACCGGAAUGGAAGGAGGUUGGGUAGUAGUCUGCUGCGAGCAAAGUAAGUAUGUAUUAUUUCUGUCGGCAUGACCACUGAGUUUCCGUGCGGCCACGCCAACAGAAUCCUGUGGCACUGUGACAGCAAAUAGUUAAGCCUCCUAUUGGAUAGUUUCUGCAUGGGCGAUUAUCUUUCAGCUGGCAAAAGUUAUUUAACCCCAGUUUAAGCAAUAAGUAGCUUCUCAUUUCUUAAACAACCAUGUCGAAAGACACAUCCCGUGGAAAAGAUGUUAGUCUGUUUGAGAAGGGUCAAAUCAUUGGCAUGCAUCAUGCAAUAAAAACAUCUACAAUUGGGUUAAGAACUGUCCAAUGCAUUAUUGAAAACUGGAAGGAUAGUGGGGAACCAUCGUCUUCAAGGAAGAAAUGUGGUCGGAAAAAAAUCACUGAUUUUGAUCGGUGAUAACUUAAACGUUUGGUGAAAUCAAAUCAUAGAAAAACAACAAUAGAACUCAGGGCUAUGUUUAAUAGUGAAAGUAAAAGCAUUUCCACACACACAAUGUGAAGGGAACUCAAAGAAUUGGGACUGAACAGCUGUGUAGCCUUAAGAAAACCACUAAUCGGUGAGGCUAAUUGGAAAAAAGGCUUUGGGAGAUUGGACUCUGAAGCAAUGGAAGAAGGUCAUGUGGUCUGAUGAGUCCAGAUUUACCCUGUUCCAGAGUGACGGGUGCAUCAGGGUAAGAAAAGAGGCAGAUAAAGUGAUGCACGCAUCAUGCCUAGUGCCUACUGUACAAGCCUGUGGGGGGAGUGCUAUGAUAAGCCUGUAGGGGGAGUACUAUGAUCAGGGCCGGUGCAAGGAUUUUUGCCGCCCUAGGCAAAAGUAAAGUUUGCCGCCCCCCCCCCAUGUGACAUCACAAUGCUCCACCCAUAUGAUCUGCCAUGUUAACUAACGCCAGUGCUGCAGUGCCGCCGUGUUUACAUUAUAAGGCAUGCAGGGACAGGCUAUAGACACCAGAACAACUACAUUAAGCUGCAGUGGUUCUGGGGACUAUAGUGUUUCUUUAAUGUGAGGUAAAUUAGAGAUUAGUGCCACGAAUAAUAUACUAGAUUGCCUACUUACAACGAGAUGAGGAUGAUGAUGGGCUCUAGCUGCAGUCUGGCUCCACUGGUCUGGUGUAGAACAGGCUCUCUGGAGGCUGUUUGUAACUGUGGUCACAAAAAUCAAUGUUCUGGGAGAACGGGAAGCAGCUCCAUUUUUUGGGGGGCCCUUUACACAGCUCAAGGUCUGGGUCCCAGGGUCCACCUUCAUGUUCCACCAAUGAGUUUGUUCACAGGGGGUGGAGUGUGUAGGGGAUGUCCUGAUAUGUGUGUAAGGAAUGCAUUGUGUGUUUUUGUGUGUGUAAGGGUUGCAUUGUUUGUGUGUGUGUGUGUGUGUCUGUGUGUGUAAUGCAUUGUGUGUUUUUCUGUGUGCAAGGGGUGCAUUGCAUGUGUGUGUGAUGGAUGUCACUCUCUCCCCCCUCCCUUGUCACUCUCUUCUCCCCUCCCCCUUCCCACUCUGAUUGCCCCUCCCUCUCCUGUCACUCUCACCCCCGUCAAUUUCUUCUCCCUCCCCACCAAUUUCUUCUUCUCCCCCUGUCAAUUUCUUCUUCUCCCCCCUCCCCUACCAAUUUAUUUUUCUCCCACCCUCCCCAUUUCUUCUCCCCCUCCCCUGCCAAUUUCUUUCUUCUCCCCCUAAUUUCUUCUCCCCCUCCUCUCCCAGUUUCUUCUCCCUCCCUCCCACCUUCUUCCCCAUUUCUUUCUUACAAUUUCUUCUACCCCCCUCCCAAUUUCUCCCCUCCCUGCCAAUUUCUUCUCCCCCUCCUCCCACUUCUCCCCUCCCCAUUCUUCUCCCUCCCUUCCAAUUUCUCCCACCCUCCCAUUUCUUCUUACCCCUCACAAUUUCUUCUCCCCCUCACAAUUUCUUUCUUACCCCUCCCUCCCUCCUCUUUUCUCCUCCCUCCCUCCCCAUUUUUCUCCCCUCCCUCCCAAAUUUCUUCUCCCCCCUCCCAAUUUCUUUCUCCUCCCCCCCACCUUUGUUGUAGCGUGGCCGAGCCCUGCAGCAUGAUGGUCUGACGGGUACAGGUAGCUUUUGUUUCCUGUACCCGGUCGGACUAACAGGAAGUGCACACUCAGUGCCUAACAGGUAGUGCCGGCCCUGACUAUGAUCUGGAGUUGCUGCAGUUGGUCAGGUGUAGGUUCUGCAACAUUAUGUGCCCAAAGAAUGAGGUUAGCUGACUACCUGAAUAUACUGAAUGGCCAGGUUAUUCCAUUAAUGGAUUUUUUUCUUUCCCUGAUCGCACGCGCAUAUUCCAAGAUGACAAUGCCAGGAUUCAUCAGGCUCAAAUUGUAAAAGAGUAGUUCAGAGAGCAUUUUCACACAUGGAUUGGCCACCACAGAGUCCAGACCUUAACCCUAUUGAGAAUAUUUGGAAUGUGCUGGAGAAGGCUUUGUGUAGUGGUCCGACUCUCCCAUCAUCAAUACAAGAUUUUGGUAAAAAAUUUAUGUAACACUGGAUGGAAAUAAAUCUUGUGACAUUGCAAAAGCUUAUCGAAACAAUGCCACAGCAAAUGUGCACCAUAAUCAAAUUUUUCCACUAAUUAAAAAAGCUGCUAUGUCUAAGUCUUUAUUUAAUCAACCAUUACACAAAGUGGCCAUCUUAAAAAUGACUCUAUGUGUCUCAAAAUCCUGAAUCGAUCUCCACCUGUCUUUGUGGGAUAGAUCCACAGGCCUUGUUGAUCUCCAUUAUGUGCCUCAAGAAAGUGUUGGGGAACUCCAUGGUUAGUACAUUUUUUCUAUAUGGCUCGUACAUGCUCACUAAUUCUCGUUUUUACUUUUUAGUAUUCUUAUAGAAUACCAAGUGUUUCUUGAAAGAGUUGUGAUUCCAGAUGUAUUGGCUUUCCCACCAUCCUAUAGUUAGAUUGGCAUAUGAAGGUGCUAGUUUCGUCCCCAGAGCGGUCCCAGUUUGAAGAUAAAAUUGGUUAUCAAAGAGUAAGUAGUUAUGUUCCAAAACAAAACUAAUACAAUCCAGUAAGAAUUCAUGUUGGUCUUUAUUUACCUAAUUGAAUCGAUUCAAAAAGUACUUAACUGCUUCCCUCCCAAUUUUGUGUGGAAUACUGGUAUAGAGUGAUGUUACAUCGAGACUCACUAGAUAGAAGUCUUGGGUCCAUUCUAUAUCAGGAAUGAGUUGUAGAAGAUGAGAUGUAUCUUUCCAAUAGGAAUCCUGAUAUAUUACCAUAAUUUGAAGACAAAAGUCCACAUAUGCUGACAUAUUGCUGGUCAGAGAAUCUAUACCCGAUAUGAUGGGUCUGCCAGAAGGAUUAUGUAGGUAUUUGUCGAUUUUAGGUAAAUGGUAGAAGAUAGCUAUUACUGGAUUUUCUUGAUAUAGAAAAUAAAAUUCUUCUUGAUUUAAGAUCCAUUUUCUCUUAGCUUCUAGUAGUAAUAUGAGUAGAUCUCUCUUGAAGUCUUGAGUGGGAGCUACAUCCAAUUUUCUGUAUGUAGCUUGAUCCACCGAUAAUCUAUAUGCUUCUCUGUUGUAUUUGUCUUUGUCUUGUAUGACUAUGGCUCGCCUUUUAUUCGCUUCUCUGAUUUGUAUAGUCAUAUUAUUUUGGAGGUCCAGUAGGGCCCUUUUUUCAUCAUGUGUCAAAUUUGAUUUUAACCUCUUCUUUCGGGCACAUAUGUUCUUUAUGUCUUUAAGUACUAAAUAAUUACAUACUCUAAAGAUUUCCCAUUGUUCAUGACUCAAAUUAAACGUGGAAGUUGGUUUGAAAUUUGAAUGGAUGACCCUGGUUGAAGUUUUUGAGUACUCCUCGAUUUCCUGUAAUGACUUAAGUGUACAAAUCCCUUCCAGAUCUCUUAUUGAGAUAUCCUUUGGGAGUUGCCAUGGAGUAUCCAUUCUAUCAUGUACAGUAUCUUUCCCUUUAUUAAAAUAUCUUAAUGUUAAUUUACGAAUACAUUUCUGUACGUCAAUGAAGAUGGUAAAAUGGUUGGGAGGUUGUGUAGGAGCAAAUUUUAAGUCAUAUUUUAACACCUGUUCUUCUUUGGGAGAUGGAGUUUAUUUAGAAAUGUUAAUAAAAGAAUUUACUUCUCCAAUCUUGCAUUAUUUCUGUUGGAUCCUGGCUCCUGCUCUCUUUCCUCUGUUUCAGGUUUCUUUUUUGUUGCUGUCUGAUUUGAGGGGUAUUGUUUAAAUGUUGGAGUUCCUUGGUCUGUUUUGUAUUUCCCAAAUUUCAGGGAUGUCUGUAUAUUUCUCUUCGGUGUUCUCCUAAAGAAAGAGGAGUGUCAUCAUAUGACUCAGAUCCUCUAUUUCCUCUUCAUUUUGGAAUCGCUCCUUCUUUGGGAAAAUCCCUUACUGAUUGUUUCUCUCUGUCUUUGUUCAUGUAAUGUUUUGUAAAAUUUAUUGGGAGUUCCCUGAGAUCUUCCAGAAUUUUGUGAUCCAUUAUAUUUUCCAAAUGGGUUCUGUUGUUUUCUAGGGUGUAUUCCAUGUUGUACUGGUUGUGGUUUAAAUCGUCUGUUUAGAUCAUAAUCUUCUUUAUCAUGUUUGAAUAUCUUCUGUUUUCGUUGUUGGCGAUCCCUUUCAAUCUUUUUCACUCUUUUUAUAACUUUAUUCUUUAUUUCUAUACUACGAGCAUCCUCCUUAUAUAUAUAUAAGUUUCUCCUGUAAAUCCUCUAUCUUUAUUAUAAGCUUUAUUAUAGCUUAAUUUUGUUCUCUCUAUAUUUCACCAGAAUUUUUAUAAAAGUUUUUGAACGUAAUUCUAGAGCCUCAUCCCAUUCUGUUUGAUAUUCUAUCUCAUAUAACAUAAAGAUAGAUCACUUUUCAUUCUUUCUCUCUGUAUGAUUUAAUAUUAUUUAGCUAACUUCUAAAAAGAAGACAGCUGAGAGUCACUUCCUCCCAUUAAGAGAGGAGUCACACGGGAGGGGGCAGAAAAACUCGUGAGGGAGGAGGGGGCAGGAGGAGUCAUGUGGGAGGAGGAGGCAGUGAGGAUCGGGGCUCCUCACUCCUAUCAGCCUUAGGCACCACACUGGACUCAAAGGGAAGCCACCCUCCCGCAAAAGGUAGGAAACUGGAGGGUGGGUUUAAGAAUUAAAAUUUUACAUGUGUGUCAGUAUGUCUGUCUGUGUGUGUAUCUGUAUCUGUGUGUGUCAGUAUGUCUGUGUGUGUGUGUCAGCAUGUCUGCCUGUGUGUCAGUAUAUUUGUAUGUGUGUGUGUCAGUGUGUCUGUAUCUGUGUGUGUGUCAGUAUAUGUAUGUGUGAGUAUGUCUGUCUGUGUGUGUGUGACAGUAUGUUUCUGUGUGUGUCAGUAUGUCUGUGUGGGUGUGUCAGCAUGUCUGUCAGUGUAUGUGCCUGUGUGUGUCAGUAUUUCUCUCAGUGUAUGUGAAUGUGUGUGUCAGUGUGUCUUUCAGUGUGUCUGCUGUAUGUGCCCAUGUGUGUCAGUGUGUAAGUCAGCAUGUCUAUCAGAGUAUAUGUCUGUAUGUGUCUGUAUGUCUGUCAGUGUAUGUGCCUGUGUGUGUGAGUCAGUAUGUCUAUGUGUCUGUGUGUCAGUAUGUCCGUAUAUGUCCUGUGUGUCAGUAUGUCUGUAUAUGUGCCUGUGUGUCUGUGUGUGUGUGUCAGUAUGUCUGUCAAUGUGCGUCAGUAUGUCUAUUAGUGUAUGUGUCUGUGUGUGUCACUUUGUCUGUCAGUGUAUGUAUCUGUGUGUGUCAGUAUGUCUGUCAGUGUAUGUACGUGUGUGUGUCUGUCAGUGUCAGUAUGUAUGUCAAUGUAUGUAUUUGUGUGUGUCAGCCUGUCUGUCAGUUUAUGUGUAUUUGUAUGUUGUCAGUGUGUGUAUCUUUAUGUAGUCAUUGUGUGUACCUGUGUAUCUGAGCACCAACAUGAAAUACAAAUACACCCCUCCAGUCAAACUUCAACAUUAAAUAAAAACACAGUUCUGCAUUGAAACGUCAACACUACAUACAAACACACCUCUGUGUUAAACACCAAAAUUAUAUAUAAACACACCCCUACAUUCAAAAACCAACACUUCACGUAAAUGCACGUUUGCAUUGAAACUCCAACACCACAUGCAAACACAUUCACACAAACAGACUCCAUACAAAAACAUGCUUACAUUCAAAAACACAAACAUGGCUCAGUGCUAAAUAUAACCAUGCAAACAUGGGAAAUUGGUAGAGCCCAAGCUGUAAAACCAUUGUUGAAGUUGCACAACAGAUAGGGUUCUACCUUUAGUCCAACCUUGCAAUUGGGGUGCCCAAUAAAAUUCUUACACCAGAGCUCUUUCAACUUUAGUUCCAUCACUGCGAUUGGGUGGAUGCCAUGAUUGCAUGCAGGGUAGUGUCCAGGGUCCAAUCAAUAUUAAAGAUGGCCCUGCUGGUAAUCAAACCGUGCAUUUAUCUUGUAUUUGUAUUUGGCAUGUUGACCUUGGCUCAUUAUUGAUUAUUCUUAUUCCUAGUAUCCUUGAUCUAUUGGCCUGUCUACUCAUUCCUGUCUCAUUCUGUAUCUGUAUUCCUGACCUUGGCUUGUCUCUGAACAUUCUAUAUUCACGUUAAGUGUGGCCACUCUAAGGCCCGGUAGUACGUAUAUACAGUCAGGUCCAUAAAUAUUGGGACAUCGACACAAUUCUAAUCUUUUUGGCUCUAUACACCAACACAAUGGGUUUGAAAUGAAAUGGACAAGAUGUGCUUUAACUGCAGACUUUCAGCUUUAAUUUGAGGGUAUUUACAUCCAAAUCAUGUGAAUGGUGUAGGAAUUACAACAGUUUGUAUAUGUGCCUCCCACUUUUUAAGUAAUGGAACAGAUUAACAGUCAUAAAUCAAACUUUCACUUUUUAAUACAUGGUUGCAAAUUCUUUGCAGUCAAUUACAGCCUGAAGUCUAGAAACGCAUAGACAUCACCAGACGCUGGGUUUCAUCCCUGGUGAUGCUCUGCCAGGCCUCUACUGCAACUGUCUUCAGUUCCUGCUUGUUCUUGGGGCAUUUUCCCUUCAGUUUUGUCUUCAUCAAGUAAAAUGCAUGCUCAAUCGGAUUCAGGUCAGGUGAUUGACUUGGCCAUUGCAUAACAUUCCACUUCUUUCCCUUAAAAAACUCUUUGGUUGCUUUUGCAGUAUGCUUCGGGUCAUUGUCCAUCUGCACUGUGAAGCGCCGUCCAAUGAGUUCUGAAGCAUUUGGCUGAAUAUGAGCAGAUAAUAUUGCCCGAAACACUUCAGAAUUCAUCCUGCUGCUUUUGUCAGCAGUCACAUCAUCAAUAAAUACAAGAGAACCAGUUCCAUUGGCAGCCAUACAUGCCCACGCCAUGACACUACCACCACCAUGCUUCACUGAUGAGGUGGUAUGCUUUGGAUCAUGAGCAGUUCCUUUCCUUCUCCAUACUCUUCUCUUCCCAUCACUCUGGUACAAGUUGAUCUUGGUCUCAUCUGUCCAUAGGAUGUUGUUCCAGAACUGUGAAGGCUUUUUUAGAUGUUGUUUGGCAAACUCUAAUCUUCCUGUUUUUGAGGCUCACCAAUGGUUUACAUCUUGUGGUGAACCCUCUGUAUUCACUCUGGUGAAGUCUUCUCUUGAUUGUUGACUUUGACACACAUACACCUACCUCCUGGAGAGUGUUCUUGAUCUGGCCAACUGUUGUGAAGGGUGUUUUCUUCACCAGGGAAAUAAUUCUUUGGUCAUCCACCACAGUUGUUUUCCGUGGUCUUCCGGGUCUUUUGGUGUUGCUGAGCUCACCGGUGCGUUCUUUCUUUUUAAGGAUGUUCCAAACAGUUGAUUUGGCCACACCUAAUGUUUUUGCUAUCUCUCUGAUGGGUUUGUUUUGUUUUUUCAGCCUAAUGAUGGCUUGCUUCACUGAUAGUGACAGCUCUUUGGAUCUCAUAUUGAGAGUUGACAGCAACAGAUUCCAAAUGCAAAUAGCACACUUGAAAUGAACUCUGGACCUUUUAUCUGCUCCUUGUAAAUGGGAUAAUGAGGGAAUAACACACACCUGGCCAUGGAACAGCUGAGCAGCCAAUUGUCCCAUUACUUUUGGUCCCUUGAAAAGUGGGAGGCACAUAUACAAACUGUUGUAAUUCCUACACAGUUCACCUGAUUUGGAUGUAAAUAUCCUCAAAAUAAAGUUGAAAGUUUGCAGUUAAAGCACAACUUGUUCAUUUCAUUUCAAAUCCAUUGUGGUGGUUUAUAGAGCCAAAAAGAUUAGAAUUGUGUCGAUGUCCCAGUAUUUAUGGACCUGACUAUCUAAAGAGUUUACAAUAUAUAUAUAGAUUUACUUAGACACUGCGUGUUGGGUCAUGGAAUAUCCUGACAAUACUUAUAUUAAACAUAUUAUUAUUUUAAACUAGCAAAGAGGUUUACUCCAGGAUGCUCUACAAAUGAAUCUGUCUCAUGAAUUUGAAGGAUAGGAGCAAAAGGUUAAACUACAAAUUCUAGAAGGUUUGAACUGUACUGCCUUCAAAAACCAUUUGAAAAUGGUAAAUGUACAGAUUGUACCAUAGGAAAAAACCCAAUGUAAAUUGACAAAUAAUAUAGAUAAAUAAAAAUCAAUCAUUUUGUCUGGUCUGUAACUAUUCUAGAGUUAAUUUGCACCAAUAAUGGUGUAAUAAUAGUAAUAAUAAUAAUCAUAUUCAUAACAAUAAUUUGGAAGUUCUUUUUGAAAUCUGUAGAACAUGAAUAGUACAGAUACAAAAACAACUUAGAGCAGAACACCAAAACUUAGAAGUAUAAAAAAGCAAAAAUGAUCAGACUCUCUGAUGCAGUGGUUAUAAUGUUUUGCUGGGACACAAAAAUGACUCUCCCUUAAUACUUUUACAGGAUCUCCAUGAUCAGACACAUCAUAUUCAUCAAGCCUAAGGGAUUGCAUUAUGUCAUUUUCUGUAGUGGUUUCCCCAGUGCAGUAAAGGUGACAUGGUAAGAAUCUAGGUAAGCUGUUUUUAAAAAAAAUAUUAUAUUACACUUUCAGAAUAAGUUAAUCCUUCAAUUAUAGAAUUGAUCAUCUAAUAAAUUGUUAAGAACCUCUAAACAUCCAGUGUCCCCAAGUCAGUCUAUUGUACAGAUGCUGAAUCUGGUAAAUGCUGAAUGUAGUAUAUCGUGACAUCACAUGUAUCAGCACAACUCUGCUCACAAUCGCCUCCUUGGCUUAGAUCAUCAGAAUUGCACAUCUUAGCCAAUACAAUGCUUUCCCAAGAAUUGACGAUCGCAGCCAAGGAGGCGGGGUGGGGGCGAAAAAAAACACCCCACUGGUGAAUCAGUAUCUACUCACGGAGAAGCAUUGCAUCAAUGCAUCUCUAUAAGGAAAGUUGAACAUCUCUGUGCUUGAAAUCACUCAUUGUGGCCGUCUGAGUGACUGCCAAUAGACGUGUUACUAGGCAGCAAUGUAAACACUUCCUUUUCUCCUAAAAGGCAGUGUUUACAUUAAAAGGCCUGCAGGGACUGACUACACUCACAAUUAGGCUGUAGUUCUUUUGGUGACUAUAGUGUCCUUUUAAUUAGAACCAAAAGGAGGUGCCUAUACUAUAAUUCUUACAUUCUUACAUGGAAAUAUACAUUUUAUAAACAUUAAAUACCUUAAAUUUAAUGAGCAUCACAGUCAUGAACAACUGGAGAGUUAAUUACCAAUUUGUUGCUUUUACUAUUAGCUAGUACUUGAAAUACAUGCAGUGAUGCAGUUUAAACAGUUAAUGAAAUAUAUAGCUGGUAAUAAAAAUAUAAUAAACAACUAGAGUGGGAACCAUAUAACAUCAACAUUAAGUUCUAAUUGUAACAAAGAGUUAGUGGCUUGACCCCUGAGAACACAAAAAGAAUCAGGUGACCACAAAAACGUCACAAAUCUGUUCCAAACUCCACGCAGGACUACUAAGUCACACUUUACGAUUGCAAUGCUCAUCCCUACAGGAUUCAAAAGUUUAAUUAUUCAAAAGGCUAUAGGAAUCACUUGUCCUACUAUAAAUUAUAAAUGUGGGAUUAUGUAAUGUAUACUGUGCUUCAAUAAUUGGAUCAGAUUGAAUAUUUUUGCUGUGGAUUAAAACAUCAUUUAAUACAUUAUGUGUUAAUGACUUAUACCCACAUGUCAGUGGGGUAAAAGAAAGGAUAACAAAAUCCUUGUGUAAUUAGGCUGCAAAAUUAGAUUCGAAUUAAAGAUCCAUAUACACUGUUAUCUUCUUGAUUUCAGGAAUAAUACUGUACUUUUUUUGUUAUUUAUGUGUAUUUAUUUGAGUCAUUUUUACCUAGAGAAGUAGCACAUUGAUUUACCAGUAUCUGCUGAUUCUUUUUUCACUCUCAAGAAGGGUAUGGACUAGAGUUGAGCGAACCCGAACUGUAAAUUUCGGGUUCAUACCGAACGUAACGAUUUUUUGACCCCAAACCCGGACAUUUCAGUAACAGUUAGGGUUCGAGUUCAGUGUACGGCAAUUUAAUGGCGCGUCCUAACAGAAUGAGAACAGUUUGUCCAUUCGUGUUAGAACGCAAUUCAGGACUUUGUUUGGAUUGCAAUUUCAUCAGAAUGAAUAAAACUCUGAUCCUAUUCAUUGCGGCAGCUGCAUCUUGCAGCCGCUUAGUAGAUAACUGCCUAAUUCCCACAGUAUUAGGGAGCUAUCUACCAAAAGGCUGAAAGACCUAAAUUCGUCUUUCAGACACAUUUAUGAACACGAAGUAAAGAUUAUUUAGUAUUAGUAAAUCCAGCCCCUACUCGCUAUACCGCGGGUAGGGGCAUGUCUAGUAAACAGUGAGCAGCCAGUGGCUGCUCAGUGUAAAAAAAAUAAAACAUUUUUAAAACCUUAUUGGCCCCCCCCCCCUGAGCGGCAGGGGGGGUCCCUAAAUAACAAUGCGGGGGGGGACCUACUGUCCUCCCCCCCGGCCCCUUCCCCCGCACGGUGGGUGGGGGCCCUAAAUACCAAUAAGGGGUGGGGACCUAAAUAAGAAUGAGGGGGGACCUACUGUCCUCCUCCCCAGCCCCCUCCCCUGUGUGGCGGGUGGGGGCCCUAAAUAAAUAUUGGGGGGGACCUAAAUAAAAUUUUUUUUGGGGGGGAACCUACUGUCCUCCCCCCCGGCCCCUGCCCCUGCACGGUGGGUGGGGGCCCUAAAUACCAAUAAGGGGGGGGGACCUACAUUCCAACCCUCCCGGCCCCCACCCCUGAGCGGUGGGUGGGGGCCCUAAAUAAAUAUUGGGGGGGACCUAAAUAAAAAAUUUUUGGGGGGACACCUAAUGUCCUCUCCCCUGGCCCCCACCCAUAGCAAUUAGAGGGGGACCCAAUGUCCUCCCCCCUAGCCCCCACCCCUGAGCAGUGGGUGGGGGCCCUAAAUACCAAUAAGGGGGGACCUAUUGUCCUCCCCCUGGCUCCCACCGCUGAGCGGCGGGUGUGGCCCUAAAUAAAAAAUUAUCCCCCCCUCCCCAGGUGACUAGGGGUCCCCAAACCUCUAGUCACCCACCUACCCAAAAAAAUUAACCCCUACCUAUCCCUCUCACCCUCAAAAUAAUGAGGGGGGACCUGUAAAAAAAAAAAAAUAAAACUUACCAUUUGAUGUUUUCUUUCUUCUAAAAUCUUCUUUUUUCAGCCCCCUAGGCCAAAUAAAAAUCCAUAAGAACCAACGCACUUAAAAAAAUUAAAAAUAAACAAGCGCAAAAACAAUAAUCCAUCUUCACCCAUGGAGGGCUCCGCGCAGACUGAGCUCUGCAGGGCGGGGGAAGGCUUAUAAAGCCCUGCCCUGCCCUGCAAGUAGGCUCAGAGCACUCUGAUUGGUGGGUUUAAGCCAUCCAAUCAGAGUGCUCUGACAAGUAAAUGAAGAGACUCACAGAUAAGUCUCUACAUUUACCUGUUACAGCACUCUGAUUGAUUGGCUUGAAAUCCACCAAUCAGAGUGCUCUGUGUCAAAUUACACAGCAUGGGAAAAUUCCAAAGAACUUUCCCACACUGUGUAAAAUGACACAGAACACCCUGAUUGGUUAGAUUCCAAGCACACCAAUCAGAGUAUUAUGAGUCAAAUUACACAGCAUGGGAAAAUUCCAAAGAACUUUCCCACGCUGUGUAAAAUGACAAAGAGCACUCUGAUUGGCUUAAACCAACCAAUCAGAGUGUUCUUAGCCUAAUUGCAGGGCAGAGCAAGGCUUUAUAUGCCUUCCCCCACCCUGCAGAGCUCAGUCUGCACGGAGCCCUCCAUGGGUGAAGAUGGAUUAUUUUUAGCGUCUGUUUUUUUUUUUGUUUUUUUUUUAAGUUCGACAGGUAUGAAGUUUUUUUAUUUGCCCUUUUUUGGGGCUGAAAAAUUAAGAUUUUAGAAGAAAGAAGACAUCAAAUGGUAAGUUUUAUUUUUAUUUACAGGUUAGUUAUUUUAUUCCCCCCCUCUAUUUUUAGGUUGAGGGGGGUAGGUAGGGUAUAGUUUUUACUAGGGUGGGUGACUAGGGGCUUGGGGACCCCUAGUCACCUUUGAAAUGGGGGAAUUUGUCUUAGGGCAACCACUCGCCACCAAGGGGUGGGGGCCGGGGGGAGGACGGUAGUUCCCACCCUCAUUAUCUUUAUGGCCCCCACCCACCACUCAGGGUUGGGGGCGGGGGGGAGGACAGUAGGUCCCCCCCUAUCAUUAUCUUUAUGGCCCCCACCCACCGCUCAGGGGUGGGGGCCAUGGGGGAGGACAUUAGGUCCCCCCCAAUUUUUAUUUAGGGCCCCCACCCACCGCUCACGGGUGGGGGCCAGGGGAGAGGACAUUAGGUCCCCCCCAAUUUUUAUUUAGGGCCCCCACCCACCACUCAUGGGUGGGGGCAAGAGGGAGGACAUUAGGUCCCCCCCUUAUUUUAAUUUAGGGCUCCCACCUGCCGCUCAGGGGUGGGGGCCAGGAGGGAGGGCAAUAGGUCCCUGUAAAGGAUCCUUCUAUUCGUGCAGGGUUGAUCCUUGCAGCUUCUCCCGAAAUCCAGCUGAAACGAAGUGAUUAUAACUCCCAAUCCCCCAAACAUGAGUCGAGACUUCAUGAAGGGGUAAAACGAUCUGAUUUACUGUGGGCUACCCGCCCGGUAUUUAUGCAGGUCUUCCACCUGGUGGACACUCCCCUAAGGGGACCAGAUGGAAGACUGGGACAAAAGUAACACAGUAGCCAAUCACAGUGGCUAUAGCAUAAGCACUCCCCUUUUACAUAAAUCACUCCCUCUUUUCCAUCCUGGAGAUAAUUAACUUAAGGUAGCAAAGAGAGCCUUAAUUAUCUCCAGGAGGAAAGAAACAUGGCUUUUCUUAUUUUAGCAAAACAGCAUAAAAAUAUAUAACUUUCUUUUUACACAACAUAAACUUUAAGUUCCACAUAUCCCCAGAUAGCUUGGAUCUGAGUGCAUAUUCUAGGCGAAUAGCGCUCAGAUCCCACGAACACAGUUCUCAGAAUCGUCGACUGAAGUUUGACUUUCACCGGCCGUUCGUGUGUUUGUAGCCAACUGCAAGUUCCAUACUAUAGCUAUCUGGGGUUGGUCACUUUCGCAUACUUUCAGCGCACGAAUGAAGUAGUCUCCCCUUCAUUCGUGUGUUUUUCCACCGUAUGAACGAGGAUGGGAGAAGGUAGCAGCGGUGUUCGACAAAACAAGUAGCCGAAAUCAGUUCCAGGGAAUCCUCGCCAUUUACCGCUGCGCAUUCGACAAUACAAAAUGGAGAUUGCCACGUGUUCGGUAAACGAACGCGGACCACCAGCUAUUCCCCAAUUAGUCUGUGGUUAACCGCAACAGUCAGGGUGGUCAAUAGGCGCCACACGACCUCAGUGGGAGGUCGGUGGUUCGGUAGUUUAUUCGCUUUUAUUGCUAUUUCCACGAAAUCCCGCUGUAAUCCUCCAAAUAACCGAACAGGCUUGUUCGUAUGGUCUGUAAAUGGGGGAUUUCGUUACAGUCCCCCCCUUAUUCUAAUUUAGGGCCCCCACCCACCGCUCAGGGGACAAUAGGUCCCUCCCCUUAUUCCAAUUUAGGGCCCCCACCCACCGCUCAUGGGUGUGGGCCGGGUGGGGGCCGGGGUGAGGACAAUAGGUCCCCCCUUAUUUUACUUUAGGGCGGGGGCUCAGGAGGGGGGAACCUUUUUUUUUUGACACACAGACACACACACUCAGAUACACUGACACAAAGAUACACAUUCUGUCACAAAGAUAUACACUCUGUCACAAAGAUAUACACACACUGGCACAUACACACACUCAGAUUCACACACUGACAGAUACACUGGCACAAAGAUACACACACUGGCGCAAAUAUACACACACCCAGAUACACACUGGCACACAGAUACACACACUGGCACACAGAUAUACACACUGGCACACAGAUAUACACACUGGCACAUACAACACUGACAGAUACACUGACACACAGAUAAACACACUGGCACAAAUAUACACACACAUACACACUGGCACAUAGACACACACUAUAAGAUACACUCACACACUGGUACACAUACACAGAUACACACACUGGCACGUAGGCACAAAGAUACACACAAUGACAUGUGACACAUAUACACACUGACACACAGAUACACACACUGGCACAUACACAAACAUACACACUCAGUUACACACACUGACAGAUACACAGUCAUUUUUACACUGGAACAAAGAUAUACACACACUGGCACACGGACACACCGGUAUGUACACACACACAUUGACAGAUAUACUGACAUAUAGAUACACACACAUUGGCACAUACACACACUGGCACAUACACACACACAUACACACACAAACACACUGGCACAUACAAUCACACAGUUGCACACACUUACACACUCACACAUACAGAUACAUACACACACUGACAGAUACACUGACACACAAAUACACACUGGCACAUACACACAAAGAUACACACACUGGCACAUACAAACACUGACAGAUAUGCUGACACAUACACACACACUAACACACAGAUGUAAACACUGGCACAUACACACAUUGUCACACAGAUACUUACAGUGACACGAACACAGAUACACACACACUCACAUAUACACAGUACACAGAUACAUACACACACAUGCAGGUAUUUUCAGUCACCCUCUUGUUAGAUUACCUUUUUUCCUGUAGGAGGGUGACUUGCUUGGAGUGCUGCAGGCUGCUGGCUGAGGCUGGUGUGCUGCUCACUCCUCACUGCUGCAUAUUCUUCCCGUCCCGCUUGGCGCGGUCUGUCUGGGAGGAAGUGACAAGCUGCCAGUUCCUCCCAGCAUUCCAUGCUACAGGGGCCUGGUCGUGGUCUUAAAUGGCCACGGCGCCUGACUGGGCCCCUCUUCAGUGAUGCUGAUUGGGUGGCUCUAAAUGCUCGGGCCACCCGAUCAGCAAAUUGCUGCAGAACCCCAAUUUUGUUCCGCGGAACACCAAUUGGGAAACGCUGCUCUAAGGAAUAUUUAUCAGACUCCCGUUUCUGGGUCUGUUUCAUUGUAAUAGAUUACAAUGAUCUAGUCCAAUCCCAGGGUGGGGUCUGCUCUCAACAAGAUUAGAAAGAAAAAGAUUCACUAAACAGUUACUUUCCAUAUAGACAAUUUAAAAUGGGGAUAUCAAGAGAGUAUUGCCACAUUAAGGAUGAUGCUAAUUAUAGAGAGGGGACUAGGGAUAGUUAUAGGAGGUUACAGCGCCCACACAUUGGAGUCUGAUUCAUUAUCUCUAGAGGGAUUAUUGAUACUCCCAUAACGUUAAUAGACACCCUAAUUUAAUUGGUAAACAGAGUUACACUUUAUGUCAGUUUUCAUUUUGGCACCUAAUAAAUAAAGCCUAAUAAACUACUGAAUAAGUAACACAGUGAAUGACUCUGUUACCACGUUGUAUCUAUUUCCCCUCAUUCUAUCACAGCUGCAUUCACUCUAAAGUGAACUGUAAAGUGUUCCUUGUAAAUACCAAUCUAGGGAUCUCCUCCUGGGAUCUCUUGUAUUCUUUUUACAGACACAUGUUUAUUUGUACAAAGCAAAUAGGAAUGGAUACUUUUUAACAAACUAGGCAAUAUUUUUAGCAUUUUGUAGUGACAUGCAUGGGAUCUUGCAGAGUUUCUUUCUCAUGAAAGAGUGGGACAAUAUCCAACCUUUUCAAGAAUUCACCAAUUCUUGAGAAACUGAAAAGCAAGACUAUUGUCACGAGUACCGAGUAAUUUCACUUCUAUGGAAAAAUAGAUAAACUAUUGCCUCUCUUCAUGGUUUAUGCCUUUUUAUGUGAGGUUUACUUUGUAUUCCUUUAUUUGUCACUCAGUGGAGCUUACCACUUUCACAAUUUCAUCUUAAUAAGUGCGGUUUACUUACUGUGGUACUGAAUACUCAGACGAUUGGUGGGUAUGACAUCACCCAAGCAAGCUGUAUCCCCUGUAUCUGCUAGGACUACAUCACUCCAGUCCUCCACUCAAUCCAAUGCUAGGGUCUGCCAAGCAUGUCACUUUCUGAAGCUCCCUUUGACUACUCUUUAUAGACUGCUUUAUUUAUAUAAAUGUGCACAAACAUGUCAUCCUUGCACAUGCCUCAGAGCACACACGUGGUUAUUAUUAGCUCAUUCCAUAGUGUAGCCUUUGAAUUGUCAAUAUGUAUCCUCAUAUGGAUCCAUAAUGUUGUUUUACUCUUAUUAGUGAAUUAUUGGAAAUUCUGGAAUUUGAUAGUUGUUAUGGAAAGAUGGUUGAUACUCUUAUAAAAACUGCAAAAGGGUCCCCAAAUAGAGUCACUCCACUUUUUCAUUGACCAGAGACUGUGGGUUCUUUUUGGCAUGACUGUAGGUUUUCCUUUCUUGCUAUCAAAUCCUAUGACUAGCCAUAGCGGGGUGGUGGGAUUUAAAUUGGUGGGAUAUUUACUUUGUUCUUCUAGGAGAGGGAUUUCAGACCAGCUCAAAUCAACUUUCCUGCCCUGCCUUAAGUCCCCAUUAUGUUUACCCUCCUUUGCCAUUGUCUAAUGCCCUGUGUUAUAUACAUUUUAUUAUGUAUAUGCACCCUGUGAUCAGGCCUAUUGAUCACUAUAUGUUCCAACUGCACUACGUUCUGGUAUGUAUUGCAAAUGGGGCUUGAGCUGCUAAUUUUCCAGAGUGAUUCCUGUAAAGGUUAACCUGCCAAUUAGAUACUCUUAAGGAACAAUCAUUGCUGCUCAUUUUGGCAUUUGGCAUCAGCAUGUACCGUAGGUGGAUGCCAAAUGCUGUGUUCCUUUAGUAUAGCGUGGAUUCAGUGCUUCUCAAAAGGAAAAAUGGAUUGGUGGAUUGCAAUGAUGGCUUCACAUUCGUCACUUCACUGUGUGUCUUCAAUGCUUCUCUAUCAUCUGACUGGACAAAGGUCAGUAGUCUUGAUCACAUCACUGAGCUGGAUUACAGGUAAGUGUUUUAAUGAUUUUAAUAAUUUAAAAAUAAAGCCCAAUAUUACAAAAAUAAGGAAUACAUGUAAUUAAAAAAGUGUUGCUGUAAAGUUUAAUCACAUAUACAGGUGUCAAGAUUUGCUCUACCUCCAAGACAAUUUGUGAUGUUGUCUGAUAUUCUUCCCCCACAGUCAACUAUGACAGCUACCAACAUACUCACAUACUCUCUGAAACACAUGCACUCAUACACUAAUACCUACAAGUAUAUAAAUGUGCCUAUUCAUAAGCUUUCACUGUGGCACCUACCCAUAUACACUUUAAUGCCUAUCUACUCACACUGGCACCUGGAACACAAAUACCUGCACACUCACACCUAUUCACUAACACUAAAUUGUAUUUAUAUCAGCACACUGCACAUGUCUUCCGCUCUGAAACCUAACUACCAUUUAUGACACUUUCUAACACGUUUGCAAAAGAGGAAAAUUAUUAGGCAGGGCCACGGAGGAGAACAGGGAAUUUGGUGCCUUAAGUAAUGACUUGUAAAGUUCAAGAUUAAAUAGUUGAAUUUGAAAAGAAAAAAAAAUGGCAAAUAAUAACAAUGUUCUUCACAAUUAAUUCCUGAAUAUUAUCCCUUAACAACCCUUCAAAUAUUUUCCCAGCCAUAGAAGUUAAGCUCACAGGUCUAUAAUUUCCAGACAAAGAUUUUGAACCCUUUUUGAAUAAAGGAACCACAUCUGCCUUCCUCCAAUCCUUCGGUACAAUUUCUGAAAGAAAAGAAUCUCGAAAGAUUAAAUACAAAGGUUCACUUAUUUCCACACUGAGAAACAUUAUGCAAUGUCAAUCGACAGUUGCUAAGGCCAGUAAGGUAUUGCCAUGUAUAAAUAGGGGCACUAAUUCUCAGGAUGAGAAUAUAAUUUUGCCUCUUUGUAAAUCACUGGUUAGACCACUUUUCUUACUCUGGGAAAUGUUGGGCACCUGUUUUAAAGAAGGAUUUUAUGGCACUGGCAAAAGUGCAGAGGCAGGCUACAAAAUUGAUAAAAGGAAUGGAGCAUUUUAGUUAUGAAGAAAGGUUAAGACAUUUUAUUUCUUUAGUUUGGUAAAAUUGUGCCUCAGAGGGGAAAUGAUUGCAUUACAAAUUGUCUGGAAAUCUGUUCAUAAACAUGACUAUACUUAGGAUGUAAGGUUAUGCAUUUUGACUGAAAGAAAGGAGAUUAAGUCUCAGGCAAAGGAAAGGUUUUUUUUACAGUAAGAACAAUAAGGAUAUGGAAUUAUUUGCCGGAAGAAGUGGUUUUAUCAGAGUCCAUACAGAUGUUUAAACUGCAAUUGGAUAAAUACUUGCAAAAACAUAAUAUACAGGGAUAUAAUUUUUAAUUAGUGGGGUAAUAGCUUCUUGAUCCAAGAAAACAUCUGACUGCCAGAAUGGGGUCAAGAAAUGAAUUUUUUUCCUGAUUUUUUGUAAAAUUGGAAGCACUUCAGACUGUGUUUUUUUUCCCUUCUUUUGGAUCAACAGCAAAAACAGAUUUGAGAAAGGCUGAACUUAAUAGAUGCAUGUCUCUUUUCAGCUAUGCAACUAUGUAAUAUUACAAUUUCAUAUAAAUAGCUGGAGGGCCAAAGGAAAGGGGUGGGGGUGGUGUAAAAUAAAACUAUACAGUGAGAUUUCUGGAACUUUAUUGUAUAGUCCAUAUAGAAUGUUAAUUGCCUUUCUUUGUCCAAACUAAGUCACUAGAACUUGUUGUAUGGUCAAUAAAUGAAAUUAACAUAGUAGUUUUUCAUAUUUUAACACAGGAAUGUAAAAACGAGGCUCACAUCUUGAAUACCAUUCCCUAAGCAGGGAAAAAAACAGACAUUAAAAAAUGGUGUUUACUCAAGGACAUCUGAAAGUUCUCAUCAUUGCUUAAUUAUUGUCUUCUAAUAUUUCUCUUUACUGCUAACUGCAUUUAUAAUACUUUUGGUUACACCAUAUUGCAUGUUUGUUUAUUUUUUUCCUUUCUUGGUUAAUUUAAUUUAGGCCUAUAACUAAUAUAUAUAUAUUCUCAUUCAAAUAGUUUUAAAACAAUAACGUGGCACAAGGUAUGCCGGGUGUGUAAAGUGACAAUCUUCCAUGUCUCCAUGUGGGUACCUCUCUCUGCUUAAUAUCUUGUUGAAUAUAAUAAGCUUGGAAAUGAGCUGCUAUUAAAUAUACCUGAUUGUAUAUAGCAUGUACUAUGUGAAAUUUAGUUGGUAAUUUUUUAAAAACAAAUGUUUUUGAUAGUUAUUAAUUCACCUAUAUUUACACAUCUCUGGUUAGCAUGUGUAAUAAUCUAAACAAAAUUGUAAAAACUAUCUCAAAAGCAAGCGCAGUACAUUUUAUUAGAGUGUGCUUUCUGUGAUGUUUAUUUUUUUCUUUUCUAUGUAAUAAGCUAUCACUUAUUAAUAGCUUAUUAUAUAUAAAUUCAAAACGAAAAAUCACUGAAAGCACACUCUAAUAAAAUGUACUGCGCUUGCUUUUGUGAUAGUUUUUACAAUUUUGUUGAGAUUAUUACACAUACUAACCAGAGAUAUACAAAUAAACAUUAAUUGGUUAACUUGGCAGGUAUCUAAAUUGUAUUGACAAUUGUUUAAAAAUCUACACAACAAUUUAUAAAGCAGUACGACUGAGUCUUUAAGGUAUACAUUACAGUAAUUAUUUAGUAAAUAUUAUUUGACAUAUUGCUUUUUAUUCAAGUAAAUGUGGCUUAGUUAUUUGGCCAGAAGUGCUCAAGCUAUAUACAUAUAGAUACAAAAAUGGUGCAUGAUGUGGACUGGCUGUGUGUUUAAACUAAAUAAAGUCAACCGUAUACAAUACAGCUAUUGCUAGACUACACAAUGUAUGAUAAUACAUCCUACAGACAUCAGCUCUUUAAAAAAGAUUUAUAACACUAACUAUAGUGUGCAAUCUAGAAUCCCAUCUCAUAAUCUCAAUGCUAGGAUAUGAGAGAUAUAAUCUUUUUCUCUAAAGGAAAUGCCUGUCUGAGUGUUUUAAAUAAAUUGUAAGAACUUUGUCAGAUGGAGAAAUACAAUUAUAUAUUUAUUUUUAUGUAUUAAGUGAUAACUGGUAAAGUAAAAAGAAAAAACUACAUUUGUAUUGAGACAAAGAUAUUUAACUCAUAGAAAUAAGGUUAAGCUACCUAGAGAUUUCAUAUAAAUAGAUCACAUAGAUUGACAUAAAUAAUUUGACAAACAAACAUGUACAUAGCCACAUAUUUAUAUAUAUAUAUAUAUAUAUAUAUAUAUAUAUAUAUAUACACUGCUCAAAAAAAUAAAGGGAACACAUAAAUAACACAUCCUAGAUCUGAAUGAAUUAAAUAUUCUUCUGAAAUACUUUGUUCUUUACAUAGUUGAAUGUGCUGACAACAAAAUCACACAAAAAUUUAAAAAAUGGAAAUCAAAUUUUUCAACCCAUGGAGGUCUGGAUUUGGAGUCACACUCAAAAUUAAAGUGUAAAAACACACUACAGGCUGAUCCAACUUUGAUGUAAUGUCCUUAAAACAAGUCAAAAUGAGGCUCAGUAGUGUGCGUGGCCUCCACGUGCCUGUAUGACCUCCCUACAAUGCCUGUGCAUGCUCCUGAUGAGGUGGUGGAUGGUCUCCUGAGGGAUCUCCUCCCAGACCUGGACUAAAGCAUCUGCCAACUCCUGGACAGUCUGUGGUGCAACGUGAUGUUGGUGGAUGGAGCGAGACAUGAUGUCCCAGAUGUGCUCAAUUGGAUUCAGGUCUGGGGAACGGGCGGGCCAGUCCAUAGCAUCAAUGCCUUCGUCUUGCAGGAACUGCUGACACACUCCCACCACAUGAGGUCUAGCAUUGUCUUGCAUUAGGAGGAACCCAGGGCCAACCGCACCAGCAUAUGGUCUCACAAAGGGUCUGAGGAUCUCAUCUCGGUACCUAAUGGCAGUCAGGCUACCUCUGGCGAGCACAUGGAGGGCUGUGCGGGCCCCCAAAGAAAUGCCACCCCACACCAUUACUGACCCACUGCCAAACCAGUCAUGCUGGAGGAUUUUGCAGGCAGCAGAACAUUCUCCCUGGCGUCUCCAGACUCUGUGACGUCUGUCACAUGUGCUCAGUGUGAACCUGCUUUCAUCUGUGAAGAGCACAGGGCGCCAGUGGCGAAUUUGCCAAUCUUGGUGUUCUCUGGCAAACGCCAUACGUCCUGCACGGUGUUGGGCUGUAAGCACAACCCCCACCUGUGGACGUCGGGCCCUCAUACCACCCUCAUGGAGUCUGUUUCUGACCGUUUGAGCAGACACAUGCACAUUUGUGGCCUGCUGUAGGUCAUUUUGCAGGGCUCUGGCAGUGCUCCUCCUGUUCUUCAUUGCACAAAGGUGGAGGUAGCGGUCCUGCUGCUGGGUUGUUGCCCUCUUACGGCCUCCUCCAUGUCUCCUGAUGUACUGGCCUGUCUCCUGGUAGCACCUCCAUGCUCUGGACACUACGCUGACAGACACAGCAAACCUUCUUACCACAGCUCGCAUUGAUGUGCCAUCCUGGAUGAGCUGCACUACCUGAGCCACUUGUGUGGAUUGUAGACUCCGUCUCAUGCUACCACUAGAGUAAAAGCACCGCCAGCAUUUAAAAGUGACCAAAACAUCAGCCAAGAAGCAUAGGAACUGAGAAGUGGUCUGUGGUCACCACCUGCAGAACCACUCCUUUAUUGGGGGUGUCUUGCUAAUUGCCUAUAAUUUCCACCUGUUGUCUAUCCCAUUUGCACAACAGCAUGUGAAAUUGAUUGUCACUCAGUGUUGCUUCCUAAGUGGACAGUUUAAUUUCACAGAAGUGUGAUUGACUUGGAAUUACAUUGUGUUGUUUAAGUGUUCCCUUUAUUUUUUUCGAGCAGUGUAUAUAUUAAGAAAGGAAAUAUAUAUCUUGAUGAGAGAUUCAGAGUAGCUAUGACCAGUCUAUUCAAUAAGAACAUCUUGUGCUGUAGUGUUGGAACCUAGAUUUUGCAGUAGGUAGCUUUUCUUUUCUGCCAGUAUAUAUAUAUAUAUAUAUUUAUAUAUAGCAAAAAAUCAAUAUCUGCUUGGCACUCUCCUUACUUCCAAAGGUUGAAAAAAACAAAAUAUUUUUUGCCUAGGUGCAACCCGCGUUAAAUAUAUAUAUAAACAGACAGGGGUGCACUCACAGGUCUUGAACAAGAACGACAAUCAAAUUCUUUAAAGUGAACAAGUCUUCAUUAUAGCCGUGAAUAAAUCAACGUUUCGACCCCUAAGGGUCUUUUUCAAGAUCUUGAAAAAGACCCUUAGGGGUCGAAACGUUGAUUUAUUCACGGCUAUAAUGAAGACUUGUUCACUUUAAAGAAUUUGAUUGUCGUUCUUGUUCAAGACCUGUGAGUGCACCCCUGUCUGUUUAUAUAUAUUUAUAUAUAUAUAUAUAUAUAUAUAUCCAAAAUACCAGAGUAUUGCAGUAUGCAAUGAUAUACUUUUUUUAUUGGACUAACAUAAUAUUUAAAAGACAAGAGUUUUCCUCUCUUCUUUGGUUCUGAAGCAAUACUGAUCAAUCUUAUCAGAGUUUAACACUUAAAACAACUGAUGUUAGAGAAGGGAAGGGAGGGGGGUGUCAUAAAUAGCAGAAGAUGUCCGUGAAAGUGAAUGGUUCAGGUUGGCUCAGGUUGGUUCAGAAAAAGUAAAUAAACAGAGGAGAGUCAAUGAGCUAGUUAACCCCUUCAGGACGGAGUCAAUAGUGCACGUUCUGAUCAAAACAAAACGUAAACAAAAACUGGAAUUUGCGCUAUAUGUCUGUCACCGCUGUCACAUUAAGUGCCCUCACACUUAUUAUAUAUCAUUUUGUUCAGGAAAAACAGGGCUUUAAUUUAUCAUUAACUAUUCAUAUAUGGAACAUAAUUUAUUAUGAAUACAAUUUUAAAAAAAUUGAGAAAAUAAGAUUUUUUUAAAAAAAUUGUAUUUCCGUCUGACAUUUUAGCUGUUAAUGUCAUAAUACGGUUUUACUGCAAAAAAAUGCACAUAUUUGUAAUCAGCGAUGUCUCACGAGUACAACAGUACCCCCCAUUAACAGGUUUUAUGGUGUUUUGGAAAGUUACAGGGUCAAAUAUAGAACGUUCCAUUUUCACAUUGAAAUUUGCCAGAUUAGUAAUGUUACCUUUGAGACGGUGUGAUAGCCCAGGAAUGAGAAUUACCCCCAUAAUGGCAAACCAUUUGAAAAAGUAGACAACCCAAGGUAUUGAAAGUGGGGUAUGUUUAAUCUUUUUUAGUAGCCACUUAGUCACAAACACUGGCCAAAGUUAGCGUCCAUAUUUGUUUUUGUUUGAAAAAAGCAAAAAACUAAUAUUUGGCCAGUGUUUGUGACUAAGUGGCUACUAAGAAAGACUGGACAUACCCCACUUGCAAUACCUUGGGUUGUCUACUUUUGCAAAUGGUAUGCCAUCAUGGGGGUAAUUCUCAUUCCUGGGCUACCAUACGCUCUCAAAGGCAACCAAUCUGGCAAAUUUCAAUGCCCUCUAUGUACAGGUUUUAUGGUGUCUUGGAGAGUUACAGGGUCAAAUAUAGUGCUUGCGAAUUAAAUUCUCUGCACUUUCUCCCUGUGUUGUCAGGCAUGUCAAUCAAAUUGUAAUUAAUCAAAUCGCAUAAUUAUGUUAAAAGAUUACUUAAAUAUACACGUAGAAUUUUAAUAUAUAUGCAUUUAUAGGUAUUUAAAUUCUACGUGUAUACUAAUGUAAUCUUUUAUGUAAUUAUAUGUAUUUAUCUAUAUAUAUAUAUAUAUUAUAUAUAUAUUUGCGGUUAUUUGUAUUUUAUAUAUAGAUAGAUAUAUAUAGAAUGUCAUUCUAAGUGUAUUUUGUUACCAAUAUAUAUAUAUAUAUAUUAAUAACAAAAUACAGUUAGAAUGAAAUUGCAUAUGAAUAUAUAAUUUAUAUUACAUUUUGUUUCAAUAUUUUAUUUAUUUAUUUUAUUAUUUUAUUUAUUUAUUAUUGUAAUUAUACGUAUAUAUAUAUAUAUAAUAUAUGUGUAUAUAUCUAUUAUAUAUAUAAUAUAUAUGUAAUGUCAUUCUAAGUGUAAUUUAAUAUUAAUAUAUAUACUAAUAUUAGUAUUAAAAUACAACGUAUGACGUUAUAUAUAUACACAUGUUUAUUUUUAUUUUUUUUUCAUUUCCCACCAGCAGGGGGACUGUCUGAUAUUUCAGACAGUCCCCCUGCUGGCAGAUCCAUAGCUAGCUAUAGGGGGCCAUGUGAUCGGGGGCCUCAUUCGCCGUGGGAGGGCUGCCUGGGCGGUCAGGCAGCCCUCCCGAAUAGGAUCGCGGCGGAGGUAAGUAAAUUGGAGGUCCCCAGGGCUUAAGCCGUUACGGCGUUCUAUGCCGCCGCAACGGCUUUAAAGCCCUUUAAAGCCGCGACGGCAUAGAACUCUGUAACGGCGUUAAGGGGUUAAAAAAAAAAAAAAAAACAGCAGAGCAGGGCAUGCAAGUAUAUAGCUGCAUAUAUGUAUGUAUAUAAAUUGAUCCAAUAAAGGUAAAGCGAAAAUAUUGAAAAAGAACUGUAUAAGACAUUAAGAUGUGUAUUUAUAGAAAGUUUUCGUAGCGUGUGAGAAAUCCAGAAUCUACAUUAAGUCCUUCAUCAUUUUCAUCUCAAAUGUCUUUCUUUCAUGCAAGUCUUUGAAAUUCCCUUUAAGAACUUCAAUCCUGAGGUUUUGGAUGGAGUGAUCAGUCUGGUUACAGUGAUGACCAACAGGGUCAUAUAAUAAUAUAUAUAUAAUAUCCAUUUUCCUUGUGGUUCUUGAUUGAGUGUCUGUGUAGAUUCAUUCUCAGAUGCAGCUUAAGGCAACUUUCUCCAAUGUAGCAACCUUUGUCACAUACUGUACACGGUAUCAUGUACACCACAUUCGUAGAUGUGCACGUAUAUAGUCCCUUAAUGUUGUAUGAUUUGUUAUUGUUUCUAGUUGUAUUAUUGCCACAUAUAUGUUGACACAGUUUUCAGAGUGAUUUGUUGCAUCAUACAGUGCCAUUCUGUGUGAGCUACUGUUCUGUGGUCAAUUUGCCGCGGACCAAUCUCUGUCUCAGGUUAUGCGGUAGGUUGAAUGCUAGUAUUGGGGGAUUCAGGAAAUAUUUCUUUGAGUGUGGGUUCCUCUUAAAUUAACAAAUCAUACAACAUUAAGGGAUCAUAUUCGUGCACAUUUGCGAAUGUGGUGUACGUGAUACGGUGUACAGUGAUCCAUUGAUUCACGAUCUCUUCAGUGAGAGACCUCUAAUGGCAUAUAAGAGUUUAAAAAAUAUUAAACGUUUAGUAUCACCUUCUAGAGUUAGAAUGUCUACUAAGCCUCUUACAACUUGGUUGACACCAAUCAAGGGCAUGCACUGGUGUGGACAUUGCGCCAAUUGUAACAAUGUUCACACAUCCAAGAACAGGUACAAUGUUCACCAAUAAGGAAUUUUUUAAUUGUCAAACAGAUUGCGUGAUUUAUUUUAUCAAGUGUCCUUGUGGACUUGGUUAUGUUGGACAAACUUCUAGACCCUUAACCGUAUGCAUUGGUGAGCAUAAAAGUACCAUUUGCACGAAUAAACGGCAUAUUCCUCUGGCUAAACAUUUCAUUGACUCGGCCACUCUGUGGCUCAAUUGCGAUUUCAGGCUAUAGAACGAAUAAGGAUACCCUAUUCUGGCUGUUCCCCUGCAGAUUUUCUCAAACGGGCAGAACUCCGGUGCAUUUAUCGGUUGGGCACAUUAUUUCCUCGCGGGUUGAAUGAAGAUUGAAACUUCAAUCCCUUCAGGUAAAACCAUUGGAGUUAAUCAUGUGACCCGUCACAUGGAAUGUACUACACCCAUUUUUUUACUUUGUGUGCUUUGAUCACAUUGAGGUUGUUCCUCACUUUUGACCUCUGCCUGUAGUUUGUGGUUUUUGUUGUUUCUUUUGGUAUUACAUGAUUUUAGUCUUUUUUUCUUCUUUUUUAUUAGUCUCUUUUCUUUUGGGAUUUUCUCUACCGGGUGGCCCUUUGAUGAUUCCCUCUUCUCACUAGGUCUGGUAUGUAUUUGUUCUUUGUAUAUAGAUUUAUUUGUGUUGUUAUGAUUCGGUAUAUCAUAUAGCUAUUUACUACACUGGUAUUCAUUCAUUUACUAUAUAUUUCGCUCAUAUGUCAUUUUAUAACUUUUGUCAAUUUCUCUGUACCAUUUGUGUGGGAAUGUUUGCUUUUGCUUUGAUUUAUUGAUACGUAUAAUGAGAUAUCCAUUUGCUGUGGAUCCAUCUAAUAAAGAUUUUUGAAUAUAUUUAUGGUUGUGCUCCUUGCUUUGGUAGUACUUGAAGAUACAUUACAUAGUCAGAUAGGCAGGUGUGAAAGCCUUGAAAAUUAAUUUUUUUGGCGGACCUGGGUUAUUUUUUAGCACUUCUGUUGGGGUGUGUGUAUGUGUGUGUAUAUAUAUAGAUAUACAUGUGUGUAUGUGUGUGUGUGGGUAAGUGUAAUUUAUUUGUGUAACGACAGAUUUGCGCUGACAAAGGGGAAAGCCAAAACAUCUGUUUCUUUUUGGUCCUUCAAAUGAAUUGUUGUUAGCACUCCUUGUGCACACUUAGCAACUAGUUGUACUUUCUUUAUUUCCAGUAGUUGGAUUUAGCCCUGCUUUAAGCAACAUGGUACAAGGCUAGCAGCACAGAGUUAUCUGGUCUUGUUUUGAUUUUUGGGCACUGCAGUAACCCCUCCUCUAUCUCUAUGUGGCUUCAAAUAUGCACCUGGGAAGAUUCUAGUCAGAUAUCAAGAACAAUGCCAUGCAGAUCGUCAAUAUUUGCUUGCACAGGUAAAUGUUAUAGUGCAACGAACAAUCUUGCAUAAUAUAAUCAAGUAUAAUUUAAAUUAGACAGACUUAAACCAAUGAAAUGAAAGCUGAUGCAGUAAGAACUGAUGACUUGUUUGAUCAGUAAAAAUCAUCACAUGAAGCUCCUCUUAAAGUGCAUAUCUUAAUAUUACAGUCAGAACUGUAAAGGAUGUUAAGAAAGGAAAUUCAGAUUCAGGGUAGCUAUGACCAGUCUAUUCAAUAAGGAUAUCUUGUGCUGUACUGUUGAAACCUAGAUUUUGCAGUAGGUAGCUCUUCUUUUCUGCCAAUUUCGGUUUUAUUUUCAGCGUUGUUAAAUAUAAUGCAAUUUCAUUUAACAUCCGGUUAAAAAGAUCAGCGAGUGAAUAUGAUGUCAUCUAUUACAAAAGGACCAUUUAAGGUCAUUGCAGGAAAAAACAAAUUGGACACAACGAUUUGCUUUGAAAAAAUAACUUUGAUAAAUACUUGUUACUCUACUCUAAUACUCUAAUAGAGAAUUUUAAAAUAAAUAAUUCUUGUCUCUGAUAUGCCUGUAAUACAAUAUUGCAGAAUUUCCAACAUAUAUCUGUACCAUGUGGUGCAGAGAGUUACCUACAUGGUUUGGAUGAUAAAGGGAUUGCAUUGGUAGAGUACGCACAUGUGCUGACAUUGGGAGAGUACUCACACAUGCUCACAUUGUGUGUGCAAACAUUGCACAGGUUAUUUAUUAAUCUUCUAGCAGGUUUACUAGUGAUGUUAAAGCAAGCAGCAGAACUGCUACCAAUUAGUGUUAGUAUAAGAAAUACUGCUCUGAACACUAUUGGAAGUGAAACAACGUACUGUAUAUACUCGAGUAUAAGCCGAGUUUUUCAGCACAUUUUCUGUGCUGAAAAAACCCCACUCGACUUAUACUCGAGUCACUGUCUGUAUUAUGGCAACUUACAUUGCCAUAAUACAGACCUGGACCGCUGGUCUCAUUACAAGUCCUGUUGGGGGCUGGCAGUGAGCUGUAACUUACCUUUCCUGCAGCUCCUGUCAGCUCCCUUCUUCUCGGUGCCGGUCAGCUCCCCUGUCAGCUCUCACUGUAAGUCUCGUGAGAGCCGCGGGGUCAGAGCGUUGCCACGGGUUACUGAGACUUACAGUGGAGGAGAAGGGAGCUAACCGGAAUGGAGGUGAAGGUAGCUGACAGGAGCUGCAGGAAAGGUAAGUUACAGCUCUCUGCCAGCCCCCCUCCUGCACAGUACAUCACCAGGGAAUGAGAGCCCCCCUCCCUGGCCAUGUAUCAAGCAGGGAGGGCGGCGAAAAUAAAUAAAUAAAAAUUUAAAUAAUAUUAAAUAAAAAUAAAAAUAUUAAUAAUAUAAAAAUAAAUAAAAAAUAAUAAUAAUUUAAAAAAAUAAUAAAAAUGCCCACCCCCCACCAAGGCUCUGCAUCACAUACACACACUGCAUUCAUACACACACACACACUGCAUUCACACACACUGCACUCAUACACACACACUGUAUUCAUACACACACACACACACACUGCAUUCAUACACACACACACACACACUGCAUUCAUACACACACACACUGCAUUCAUACACACACACACUGCAUUCACACACACUGCACUCAUACACACACACACUGCAUUCAUACACACACACUGCAUUCACACACACUACACUCAUAAACACACACACACACACUGCAUUCAUACACACACUGCAUUCAUACAAACACACUGCAUUAUAUAUAUACACACACACACACACUGCAUUCAUUAUAUACACACACUGUUAAUAAAUAUUCAAUUAAUAUAAUUUUUGGGGGAUCUAAUUUUAUUUAGAAAUUUACCAGUAGCUGCUGCAUUUCCCACCCUAGUCUUAUACUCGAGUCAAUAAGUUUUCCCAGUUUUUUGGGAUAAAAUUAGGGGUCUCGACAUAUAUUUGGGUCGACUUAUACUCGAGUAUAUAUGGUAUAUCAUGACCAGAGCCGGCGCCACCUAUAGGUGAAGUAGGUGCUGGCCUGGGAAACACAUUUGGAAGGGGUACCGCAGCCGCCGAAUGCGGGCAGUGCUUGUACAUGUGCCACGGCUAAGGGGCCCUGGUGCUGCUCUGAAAAGAGCAUUUAAGCGAGAGCCAGAAAUCUAAUUGCAGCACCCGGUUUGUGUGCUGAGUGGCUGCAUAUUAAACCUUGUGGUCUCCACUCACUCCAGCUCCUCCAUCUUGCAAAGAGGAACUGGAAUUUAAUUUAGCUGGGUGCCCUGUCUGUCAAUGCAGGGGGGGCGGGUCAUGCAUAUGACACUCUCACAUGAAUCCAACCCCCUCCCUUUGUUUUUCCCCUCUCCAUCUAUUAGAAUAGAAGGAGGAGGAGUAGGGGGGAGUGCAGACCCUCCCUGCCCUGUUGCUGAUCCAGCCAAAGCCAAACCCUGAACAGUUCCAGUAGGAGAGGGGUCAGGAGUAUUGGCUUGGUGAACAACAAGGUACUGUACCUAUUUUUUUUAACAGACAUGCCCCUUGUAAAUACAGACUAGGGGACAGCAUCAACCUGAUUUAGAGGUUGGGGGUGCUGCAUAAACUUACUUAGGGCCUAACCUCAAAAUAAAGUUGAUGCUGUUCCCAUAACCUCAUAAUUAAAUAUAUGAUGUCCCCUAAUCUCAGGAUUUGAGAUUAAGGGACAUCAAUUAUUUUAUUAUGAGAUUUUGCCGACAGCAUUAACUUUAUUUUGUUGAUGGUUUAAUAAUAAGUUGAUGCUAUCCCCAUAACCUCAUAAUAAAACAAUUGAUGUCCCCAAUAAGGGCCGCCAUCACGGGGUGACAACAGGGGGCCCUGCCAGCACCAUCUUCUUUUUCCAGCUGCUCUUCAUUUCAAACAACCCGAGCCCAGCAGCCGUCAGAGCAUUGCCAUGGGUUAAUAUAGAAACACAGGCCGUUCUCACAAGAGUUACAGUGAGAAGCAGCUGGAAAGACAAGAAGGGCUGGGUCCCUUCUCACCACGUGCUAUGUUGCACUGCCCCCUCUCAUCUCAUCCUGACACAUAACCAGGUACCUCCUUGCACUAUACACACUGCCACUUUUCACUUCACUCUACCACCUUGCAUUUUGUACACUGCCACUGUAUAUACUUCCACUUUACACUGUACACACUGCCACUUUACACUAUACAUACUGUUACUUUACACACUGCCACCUUGCACUAUACAUACUGCCACUUUACACUAAACACACUCUUACCUUGCACUAUACACACUGCCACUUUACACACUGCAUCCACUACAUUAACACACACUCUGCAUCCACUACACACACACACACACACUACAUUCACUACACACAAGUAAACUGCAUCCACUAAACAAACAUACACUCUGCAUACACCACACACACACAUUAAACAUACUCUUACCUUGCACUAUACACACUGCCACUUUACACACUGCAUCCACUACAUAAACACACUGAAUCCACUACCCAAACAUACACUCUGCAUUCACUGAACACACACGGCAUCCACCUUACACUAUAUCCACUAUACACAAGCACUACAGGGAGUGCAGAAUUAUUAGGCAAGUUGUAUUUUUGAGGAUUAAUUUUAUUAUUGAACAACAACCAUGUUCUCAAUGACCCCAAAAAACUCAUUAAUAUCAAAGCUGAAUAUUUUUGGAAGUAGUUUUUAGUUUGUUUUUAGUUUUAGCUAUGUUAGGGGGAUAUCUGUGUGUGCAGGUGACUAUUACUGUGCAUAAUUAUUAGGCAACUUAACAAAAAACAAAUAUAUACCCAUUUCAAUUAUUUAUUAUUACCAGUGAAACCAAUAUAACAUCUCAACAUUCACAAAUAUACAUUUCUGACAUUCAAAAACAAAACAAAAACAAAUCAGUGACCAAUAUAGCCACCUUUCUUUGCAAGGACACUCAAAAGCCUGCCAUCCAUGGAUUCUGUCAGUGUUUUGAUCUGUUCACCAUCAACAUUGCGUGCAGCAGCAACCACAGCCUCCCAGACACUGUUCAGAGAGGUGUACUGUUUUCCCUCCUUGUAAAUCUCACAUUUGAUGAUGGACCACAGGUUCUCAAUGGGGUUCAGAUCAGGUGAACAAGGAGGCCAUGUCAUUAGAUUUUCUUCUUUUAUACCCUUUCUUGCCAGCCACGCUGUGGAGUACUUGGACGCGUGUGAUGGAGCAUUGUCCUGCAUGAAAAUCAUGUUUUUCUUGAAGGAUGCAGACUUCUUCCUGUACCACUGCUUGAAGAAGGUGUCUUCCAGGAACUGGCAGUAGGACUGGGAGUUGAGCUUGACUCCAUCCUCAACCCGAAAAGGCCCCACAAGCUCAUCUUUGAUGAUACCAGCCCAAACCAGUACUCCACCUCCACCUUGCUGGCGUCUGAGUCGGACUGGAGCUCUCUGCCCUUUACCAAUCCAGCCACGGGCCCAUCCAUCUGGCCCAUCAAGACUCACUCUCAUUUCAUCAGUCCAUAAAACCUUAGAAAAAUCAGUCUUGAGAUAUUUCUUGGCCCAGUCUUGACGUUUCAGCUUGUGUGUCUUGUUCAGUGGUGGUCGUCUUUCAGCCUUUCUUACCUUGGCCAUGUCUCUGAGUAUUGCACACCUUGUGCUUUUGGGCACUCCAGUGAUGUUGCAGCUCUGAAAUAUGGCCAAACUGGUGGCAAGUGGCAUCGUGGCAGCUGCACGCUUGACUUUUCUCAGUUCAUGGGCAGUUAUUUUGCGCCUUGGUUUUUCCACACGCUUCUUGCGACCCUGUUGACUAUUUUGAAUGAAACGCUUGAUUGUUCGAUGAUCACGCUUCAGAAGCUUUGCAAUUUUAAGAGUGCUGCAUCCCUCUGCAAGAUAUCUCACUAUUUUUGACUUUUCUGAGCCUGUCAAGUCCUUCUUUUGACCCAUUUUGCCAAAGGAAAGGAAGUUGCCUAAUAAUUAUGCACACCUGAUAUAGGGUGUUGAUGUCAUUAGACCACACCCCUUCUCAUUACAGAGAUGCACAUCACCUAAUAUGCUUAAUUGGUAGUAGGCUUUCGAGCCUAUACAGCUUGGAGUAAGACAACAUGCAUAAAGAGGAUGAUGUGGUCAAAAUACUAAUUUGCCUAAUAAUUCUGCACUCCCUGUACACACUACAUAAAUUACACAGACACUGCGCACACUGCAUCUAUUACACAAACAUACAAUCUACAUUAACCAUAUAAACACACACACUACAUCUAUUACACACACUACAACCACUAUAUAUGCACACCUCAUCCACUACACACACACUAUAGGAGGGGCGGGGUCAAGGGGACGCAAAAUGAGGGUUUGCCUAGGGUGGCAAAAAUCCUUGCACCAGCCCUGAUAAUGACUGCUAUUCAAAAUGUACUAUCGUAUUUAAUCCUUAGGAAUGUCAUACACAUAUCUUUCUAGUUUAAUUAAAAUGACAAAAUAUUCAGUCCACAGCACCUAAGUUAUUAACCCCUUAAGGACACAACUUCUGGAAUAAAAGGGAAUCAUGACAGAAUAUUUCCGUCAUGUGUCGUUAAGGGGUUAAAGGACCACUCUAGGCACCUAGACCACUUCAGCUUAAUGAAGUGGUCUGGGUGCCAGGUCCAGCUGGGGUUAACCCAUUUUUAAUAAACAUAGCAGUUUCAGAGAAACUGCUAUGUUUAUGAAUGGGUUAAGCCUUCCCCCUAAUCCUCUAGUGGCUGUCUCAUUGACAGCCACUAGAGGCGCUUGCGUGCUUCUCACUGUGAUUUUCACAGUGAGAGCACGCAAGCGUCCAUAGGAAAGCAUUGUAAAUGCUUUCCUAUGCGACGGGCUGAAUGCGCGCGCAGCUGUUGGGGGCACCCUCAGGGCACUAUAGUGCCAGGAAAACGAGUAUGUUUUCCUGGCACUAUAGUGGUCCUUUAAGACUGAUUAAUACGUCUUCUCCUUCCAUAUGUAGUAUACCUGUUGUUUUUUUUUAUUAAUUCUUUUUACUCCAUUAUACACACUCAAAUUGCCAUCCAUUAGUACUAAGCAGCUAACAGAUAUACCUAAUUAUCCAUUCCAAGGAGAUGAGUUCUUUAGAACACCAAUUUAGUCCACAAAGUGUAUUGUUUCUUAUAUUAUGUAUAUUGUAUUGUUUAGCUAAAUUCGGAAAUUGCCCACAGAUAUAUACAAAUGAAAAUAAAAAUGAAAACAUCACUUAUUGUUAUUUUUAAAAUAAAGAAAACAUCUUAAAAUAUCACACAGUGAGAAAAAGGUACUAUCGUGAAAAAAUAUAUAUAUGAAUUUGAUAGACCCUAUGGAAAAAAAGAAGAGAGAAAAUAAUAUAUGUUUGGCUGGAUUCUAGUUUGCUCCAGAUCCCUUGUAUUGUAAAGAUUAGCAACAAAUGAAUAUAAAAAACAAAAAUAAACUAGAUAGGAAGAAUAACCCCCUAGGGGGCCAUCCUAAUGGCUGGUAUAGAUAAUAUGUACACCAUAACAUAGCUAAAACUAAAAACAAACUAAAAACUACUUCCAAAAAUAUUCAGCUUUGAUAUUAAUGAGUUUUUUGGGGUCAUUGAGAACAUGGUUGUUGUUCAAUAAUAAAAUUAAUCCUCAAAAAUACAACUUGCCUAUAAAUACUAAAUACCUAUAAACUUCUUGGAAAAAUAUAUAUAAAGUGUAAACAAUGAAAACUCUAGCUUCUCUGGUAUAACUAAGUAUCUUGAGGCGACAAUUAUAUAUAAACAAAAAAACUUAAUUAGACUUGUGCUACCCAGAGGAUACUAUGGUAUCAAUGUAACCAAUAGCUAGUGUCUGUAUUACCCCUAUAUCACAUAGACUUGGUAUAGUAAAAUCACGAUCCAUAGCAGUGUAAAUGCUUGAAAGGUACAAAUGAACAACCAAGAGAAAAAGGGGGGAAUAAUAAACGAGGGAAUAGAUAGACAAAAAAUAAUAAUUAGGUACCCUAUCGGUAUAUAACGGGAUCCUAAGUAGAACAAUAAAUUAAUCAAAUCUAAGACACCGGGGAUAGAGCCUUCUGGUGGAGAGAUAGCAGAGUAUCUAUAAGUUAGUUGCUCCAAAAAGAUAACUAAUAAAUGAAAAACAGCAGCCUCUAACUUGUAAGCGACUAGUGAAUAUUAAAGUCUUAGGAGUAUGGCUACUGGAAACUGGAGUAAAAAAGAGAAAAAUGGCUACUAAAGACACCACUAUGCUAAUACCCUAUAAACUCCUAUUAACACCUUCAUGGGUGUUCUAUGCUAAGGCUAAUGCUUAACCUGGUGUCUUAAAGUCAGUCAGCCCUCGAAAAAGAACUUGAACACGCUUGGACUAAAUACACAAAAAAGGAGUAGCAACCAAAGAAAGGUGUAAAACGAAAAACAAAUCCCUUCAUGUGCAUGGUGAAGUGCUCAAGUGAGAUGAAGGGGUAGUGAGCUGAAACGCCCACUUCAGAUUUGUUUUAUAUACAAUAUCUGGGUUCAAGCCCAUAAUUGGUGGAGCUGGUACCACCAUCCUGACCAAAUUUCCAUAGUCUUCAUUCCAACUUUUUGUUGGUUGGGGAAAAAAGGAAAAUAACUCUACUUCUAUUAGCAACAAAUGUAUCUCGUAGUUGCAACUCAGAGAGAAUAGCAAAAUGUUAUAAAGUAAAUAUAUGCUCAAGGGUAAACGCGCGUCGGGGUUCGGCUCAGAAAAUCACUCAUGUCGGCUUCCUCAAUACUUCAGAGUUGUUAAAACUCCCCCUUGAUGGCACUUUACCGUUUGAGCAGAUGACAUUCAUAGGAGACUGGAGUGCAGCCGUUUUUUUUCUGAGCCAGAAUUACCUGAUUAGAAUUACCUGAUUUACGAUAGGCGCUACCUUGAUUCUAUGUGUUAAGCUUAAACUUAUGAUAUGUGCCCCUGAAGGCACACAGAGACAGCAAGUGUACUGUAUCUUAGACACUUAUUACCUUGAAGGCACAGCAUAGGUAUUUACUCUCUCUCAGACAGCUAGCUAUAUGGGCUGCAUAGUCAGUACCAUAGGUAAGAAUAGAAAAAGGGAAGAGUCUGCGCUGACUCAAUUGAGCAGCAACCCUGAAAGGGAAUCCCUCACAAAACCCUUAUAAGGCAAGAAGAUACAGAAAAAGGAGUUGAGGGCUGCGCUUUACAAAGAAUAAGUAAAAGAGUAAAAAUAAAUAAAGGUAAAAACCAAUGAGUUCAUCCAAAUAUAAAAGAAAUAUAAGUUAAAACAAUCUCACUGAUGUGCAGUAAUAUAAUAUAAGUCCUCAAGUGUCACUCCGUCCUUAUGGUAGGUGGUCCAUAUAUGUGAAGACAAAAAUAAGAAAAAAAGCUUCCAAUGGUGAAAUAUUGUAUGUCCAAAGUGUGAUAUAUAUUCAAAGGAAAGGUAUUUCACUCACAUUUGUUGGAGCUUUAACCAGCUCUCGGAGAAGAGGCACUUAGUGGUUUGAUCCCCACUAUCGGAUAUACUAAACGGUUGGUCCGUCCGUCCGGUUUGAGGAUUCUUUGGUGUAGGCUAGGACCUACUCAGAUGUGCAAUAUUCGUUAUGCUGGGGAGAUGGGUCCGCCUUUCCGGUAUUAGAUGGUAGAUGUCCACGAGAUAUAUAAAACAGCAGAUAGUGCUCUCAGUUUGAACAACACAGUAAUAUGUAUAAAUAAGUUAUACUUACAAAAAUAGAGCAGACAGAUACUGCUCUAUUGCCACAGCGCUGGUGGAAUUAUCCCCACCUCAGGAUUUCUUUAGACGGGAUACACUCCAGUAAUAAAAAAUAAUAAAAUAAUACAAUAGUAAUGUAGAAAUAAAGUAAAAUAAAAAUAAUGGAGUAAUUUUAAAAAUAAUAAUAUAUUAUAAAAAUAUUAUAAAAAAAUGCCAGGAGUAAAAAAUAAAUAAAAGUGUAUGAAGUGCAAUAAAAUAAGUAUAAAAUUGGUCCUAUAGUAAAGGGUAACCAAAAAUAACUUUUAUUGACUAAAAUACACUUAUUACAACCAUUUACGCGUUUCACCUUUAGGGUUUUCUCAAAAUGGUAAAAGAUUUUAUAAUAUAUUAUUAUUUUUAAAAUUACUCCAUUAUUUUUAUUUUACUUUAUUUCUACAUUACUAUUGUAUUAUUUUAUUAUUUAUUAUUUUUUUUAUUACUGGAGUGUAUCCCAUCUAAAGAAAUCCUGAGGUGGGGAUAAUUCCACCAGCGCUGUGGCAAUAGAGCAGUAUCUGUCUGCUCUAUUUUUGUAAGUAUAACUUAUUUAUACAUAUUACUGUGUGUGUUUUUUAAACUUGAAUUUUCAAGUGAGCCCAGCUACAGUUUUAUGGAGACAUUUGCAGCUCUCUGGUAAUUUAGAAAUUCUGGCAAGAAUGAUUUGUUAAGGAAUUCAGGUGAUGACAAUAGAAACAUGGGCUUACUUAAUUCUAUUCUACUUACUUUACAGCUUUAUUCCAUCUGGACAAACUGUAUCCAAAAUUAAAGAUAAGAUUUAUUGUAAAACAUUUUGCUCAUAAAUAAUGGUAUGUACUGAAAUACAAUUAGCAUUAUUUCCUUCUUUUUAAACUCUGUUUAUUUUUGAUGAUGCAGACAACCUGUUUUAGAAGUCUGCUAUAUCAUUUUACUCCAACAACAUCUUCAGUUUUUCUAAUUUGUCUGUUUUAACUUUAUACUUCAUUGCUAUCUUCAAAGUUCUGAAUGCUUAUUGUGAUGCAAUCAUCUUUUUAAGCUUAGUUUUGUUUGUCCCCUUUUGACUAUGAACUUGCCGACAAACCUAAAAGCUUGUUGUUUGCUACCCAAGACACUGAUAUGUAAAUAUGUGCAGAUGUGACACUUUUUAAACCAUAUUAAGUCUGGAAUCUGACUGAAUCUUGAAGUGUUCAGUCCAGUGAUCAAGGUGAAGAACAGAUGCUGUGAUUCAUAACUGCAGAAUGUCCAGUAGACCGGAGUAAGACAUGUUACCACUCCAUCGUGUAUGUGGCUUCUUAUAGUGGCAAUGUUUCCGGCACUAAUGACUUUCUUAACAUUGUGGUUUUUAACAUUUUUGUCUAAUACGCCUUACAUUUGAAUACCUCUUCCUAUACAUGUGCAUUUCGAGAUUUUAAAGCACGUCAAUUUAGGAAGCAAAUGAUCAACUCCAAACGCAAAAAUAUUUGCAACAGCAAUAAAAAACUAUCAACAAAGAUGUAGACCCCAUAUUAUAUAUUUACUAUUUCUGUCAAUGUAGUAGUACCUCUCUUUAUGGUACCUCUAGAAAAAGGCAGAACAAGACAAAGUGGCUGUAGAGCAGAGAUUUUUUUAUUAGUUCCUUUUACAGGUAACCUAAGUCCCUUAGAUCCUUCAGAUACCUUUUUUUUUAAAUUGCAGUCAAUGUGAAAACAUAUCUAAAAUAUACAGAACAUCUUUAGUAAGGUAGCUAGUUACCAAGCAGAAUUCAUUUCUCAGGAGGCCCAGGCCUUGGCAUAGUCUAUAAGGCUUUUCUCGAGUGACCCUUCACAUAAUGAGGUGACACUGACAUUAUAAAGUCCUUUAAUAAGCUUCCAUGAAACACCUGUGAAGAUUAAUUAGUACUCUUAUUAACCCCUUAAGGACACAACUUCUGAAUAACAUAGCAUCACAACGGAAUAUUUCCGUCAUGUGUCAUUGAGGGGUUAAAUGACUACAUAAUAGGCAAAUCAAUUUAGAAUGCUACCUCUCCACUUCUGAUUUGGAUCAUAUUUAACUCAUUGGAGACUUUUAAUAGUGAAAUAUUUGUACAACCCUUUGGUUGGAAAGGAUUAGGGUUUCUGUGUAAUGAUGUAAGUGGCGAGCUGCCUCAUAAAGAGCCAAAGUGUUUUAGAUAGUGUGCAGGUCUGGUGAAGAUAUUUAACCCCUUAAAGGACCACUCUAGGCACCCAGACCAUUUCAGCUUAAUGAAGUGGUCUGUGUCCCAGGUCCAGCUAGGGUUAACCCUUUUUUUUAAUAAACAUAGCAGUUUCAGAGAAACUGCUAUGUUUAUAAAUGGGUUAAUCCAGCCUCUAAAGCAUCUAGUGGCUGUCUCAUUGACAGCCGCUAGAGGCGUUUUCGUGCUUCUCACUGUGAAAAUCAUAUUAUUAAUUCAAAAAAUCAAUUAUAAAUGCUUUCCUAUGAGACUGGCUGAAUGUGCGCGCAGCUCCUGCCGUGCAUGCACAUUCAGCUGAAGAGGAGGAGAGCUCCCCGCCCGGCGCUGGAGAAAGGUGAGUGUUUAACCCCUUCGUCUCCCCAGAGCCCGGCGGGAGGGGGUCCCUGAGGGUGGGGGCACCCUCAGGGCACUAUAGUGCCAGGAAAACGAGUAUGUUUUCCUGGCACUAUAGUUGUUCUUUAAGGACCAAACUUCUGGAAUAGAAGGGAAUCAUGACAUGUCACACAUGUCAUGUGUCCUUAAGUGGUUAAAAGGUAAAAUGUUUCUUUACUGCUUGUUUGAAUAGCAUUGAAAACUGGAGAUGACACUAUCCAAUUUCAGUGAUUUCUAUUUUCUCAGCCUUUCUUAUGUCUUAUCUCCAGAGACUGGCCCUCCCUUUCUGGAGCACCCUGUAGGAUGUAUUCCCCCUUUUUAGUGUGUGAAUUAUACUCUUGUUUCCGUGCAAACAACUAAUGUAAAGGCAAUGAAACAAUCCCUAGUUAUUAAUAAGUACAGUUAAGUAUUGCUUAGUAGGAUUUUGUUGUUGCCAUCUUUGGAAAUGAACUGCAUAUGAAUGCUGUACAUAAAGCAAUGUAAUCUGGAUAAGGCAUAUGACUUUUCAAUGUAAAGACUUUAUUUCAUACUAUGUAGAGUGCAGACCAUGUGUAUUUGUGUUAUAUCAGUUUUUAUUGAUAACAGUUCAGGAAAGAGUUUUCACACGCAGGGGAUGCAGUAUACAUGCAAUAAACGGUAUAUAUAGCAGUGAAAGUUAAGCAGUGUUAAAGGCUUAUGCAAAGGCUUUCGAUUUGGUAGAGCAGUUAAGGCUAUGGUGCAGUUAGCAUGGGACAUGGUUACCGCGGUUAAUGUGGUUUAUUCAUAUUGGUAAUGAGUAUAGGCGUUUAUGAGCAUCGUGGCUGCCUAUGAUUGGAAUAUGUAGCUUAGGGUUGGUUGUUCGUCUGUGACUUGUCAUCCGUUUCCAGGGAUUGUGUAGGGUGGGAGGUGUGGGUCCAUUUCCAUGGAGUAUAUCGGAGAGCUCCCGUCAGGGGUCGUCUACUAUUUGUCUGGUUCUGUGUCAGGGUAGUGGGCUGGGCCCUGGUUGGAGGGUCAGGUGUGAAAAGGUGGAUGGGAAAGAGAGGGAGGGAGAGAGGGUGAGAAGAAGAAGUAGAAGAAGAGAUGGGAAAAAAAGACCCCUCCAGUUUUGCCCCGGUCACUGCCCCAGCCCUCCGUGCCAUGAGGGCUCCCUCAGGGGUAUCUCUUUGGGUGUCCCUCAUCUGCCCUCCGACUGUUCAAGUAGUAGCCAGGAGUUGGACCAUGUGUAUUUGCUUUGAAAUAAAAGUAAUAAAUAUAAAAAAGUCCAGUGAAAAACAAAAAAAUUUCUUUAAUUACUAAGAUAAUGCAUAUUUAAUAAUGUCAUGCAGUUUGUUUUUGCUUAGACAUAAUUUAUGCUUCCCACAUUCUGAAAGGAUUUGGAUAUAAACCUCGUAUAUUAUUAAAGAAGAUGUUUUCUAUGGAAUUAUCAUACAAUAGACAUAAUAUGCAUUGACACAUUUUCAGCUGCUGAAGUUUUUGGUCCUGUGGCUUUACAGUACAGUAGCCCUUUAGUUUCGGUGAUGCUGUUAGUAUAUAAAUUCUCUCCUUUGGAAGUGUUGGUCAAAUAUAUCAGGGUUUUGCCCAUAUUUGGUUUUGCCAAGACUUUAUAUAUAUUUUAAAAUGUACCCUUUACUUAAAGGAAAAAUGAAAUUUUUUUUUGCAUUGCUAUGUAUAAUUUUAUAACGAGCUAAUAACUCUGCUUGGUUUCCUUGAUUUGUGGGGGCCGCCAUUUAUAUUCCUCUUUGGUUAGAGGCACUACCUAUCUGUUAAAACUAUGCAAAGUUGUUUUCCUGGCACUAGAGCACCCUAUAGUGCCCACCUUCCUCCCCUUGGUGCAGAAGGGGUUAUAAACCCCUUCUGUCACGUAACUGAGUCCAGUGCCAAUGUCUUUUGGCUCUGGGUUGGACUCCGCCUCUGCUACUAAUGUGCGUGCAUGCAUGCUAAUGGCUGCACUCACAUUAAGACUUCCCCCAUAGGAAAGAAUUACACAAUGAUUAUGCAAUGCUUUCCUAUGGGGUUUUGGGUGACGCUGGACAUCUUUAUGCAUAGCGUAAGGACAUCCAGCAUCAGUUAGGGUAGACAGCCACUAGAGUUGGAGUUAACCCUGGAUAGUAAUUAUUGCAGUUUCACAUUAACUGAAAUUGUUACUAUUGCAGGGUUAAGGGACCUGGAAAUAUGCACCCAGACCUCUUCAAUGAGCUGAAGUGGUCUGGGUGCCUAUAGUGUUCCAUUAACUGUCCUGCAAGUUGUUUUCCUGGCACUAUAGCUCCCUUUAGUGCCCCUUCUGUCCCCAUGGUGCAGAAGUUGUUAAAAACUCCUUCUGUCAUAUACCUGGAUCCAGCGCCAAUGUCCAACAAAAUGAAGAUAAUGCAGACGUCACAAGUCUCCCAGAAGUUCCGGGUCUUGAAUGUGACUCCUUUACACCCGCAAAUAAUAUCCAAUAUACAGGAAAUCCCAUUCACUCUAAAAUACAAUGUUUUUUAGAUUGUAUGUGAUUUCUUGGAUAUUGUAUAUCCAAGACCAUGCCCCUAAUAUCAGCAGGGAGGGAGGGACAACCCCUCACUUUCUCCCAGCUUAAAAGAUAGCCAAUUACAUGGCGGCAAAGAGGAGCCUGUAGUGAGCUGUUUCUGCAUGCUCACUCCCAACAGCCUCAGCCAGGACCAGAAGACUGAGCAAGCCACCCUCCUAGACACAAAGCUAACAGGAGGGUGACUGCAAAUAACUUGUGAUGGAGCUCCUGGAGUUCGACUGAGUACCUCCGUUCAAUCCUAUUUCUAUUCAUUGGUGUGACAGCCUGGAAUGCUUCAACCCCAGUUUCCGAAGCUUAACUGCUGUCUCUCUGGAGCUUUUCCACCCGAUCGGGCUGCAGCUCUCCUUCCAGGCAGGUAUCGUCCCUUCUGCUUAUUCGGCUGCAGCCCUUCUUCCAGGCAGGUAUCGUCCCCUCUGCCUAUUCCUCUGCAGCUCUGCUUAUAGUGCUUGCUAUUGCCUUUAUAAAGGCACUUGCAGCUCUCAGACCUAGCUGAGUGUGUAUGUGUGCCAGUGUGUGUAUGUUCAGGUGUGUAUAUGAGUGUAUGUUCCAGUGUGUUUAUCUGUGUGCCAGUGUGUGUAUCUAAGUGUGUCAGUGUGUGUAUCUGAGUUUGUUUUGAAAUAUGUGUAUAUGUGUGUGGUGUGUAUCUGAGUGUGUGUUUGUAUGUGCCAGUGUGUGUAUCUGCGUGUCAAGGUGUUCAUACAUGUUUGGUGGAUGUGUGUGUGGGGUGGAGGGGUUGGAACAGAAGCAGGUUCAUCCACCUCCCCGAAAUGCAGUUUUGCAUGUUGGAAUGUCUGAUUAUGAACAUACAAUACAGUGAAUAUAAAAAGGCAGGAAAAGCAAAGCAUUAACAAACUAAAGCCAGUAACAGGUUAGAUUAUCAGCCAGUGGGAAGAAAGUCAGGAAAACUAUGUAACUGGUAACUAUCAAACAAUGGCAACAACUUGGGUUCAGGCAGGUAAUGGAGAAGAGAUCCGCCAAUACAGCAGCCACUAUAUGAAUAACACACAUAAACAGAAGAGGAACCACUGCAAAGCAUGUACAAAUGAGAGCCAGAUUGCAGCAGCAAAUUCUUGGGGAAAUUGUAUUGCAACAUAAAAUAAUUGUGUUGCAUGUAUCAGAUGGACCACACCAAGUCUUUAAAACUUUCACAUGUGUGCUAGAUAGUGAAGGAGAUUAUCAGCACAAUACAGACAGUCUCAGUACUCUGGUGAGGUAGACUGCCAAGCACAAUGGGGCUGUGAUGGAACAUGGUGAGAAGAUACUGCCAAAGCAGCAGAGAGUUCAGUGUGGGUUCUGGAGACAGAUGGAUAGAUAAAAGGAACCGAUUCCUGCAAACUUGACAGUCUGGCUUUUAAAGCUGUAUGGUCCCAUAAACUUUGUUUCCAAUCCCAGUAAAAUUCCCAAUGGAUGUAUAACAGUACAUGGAAUAACUGACUGGAGACAGAGAAACACCAACUAGUCAUACCUGCUGAUUAGCUGACACAAGAGUUCCAUGUCACAUUCUGCCUAAAAAAGACUAUUGACCUUCAUAUAUCCUGCUUUAUGUUUUUACAGAGGCAUACAUUGCUCUCCAAGAUAUACCCAUAUAUAUAAAUAUAUCCAAAAUGUACCUAUUUUUAUAACCCAGCUCUAAGUAUAACCCAUUACAUAAACAACCAUGUGCUUUAUCUGUCUUCACAACAGUCUCUAAAACUGACUACUCUAACAGCUCAUCAAAUAUUAUUGUAAUCUCUAGAAAAAUGACUUCCUUUCCAGUUUUAUACAUUCAGUAAUGUAACACUUUUCAAAUUUCUUCCCUCACUUUUAUGUGUUGAAUAAAGAGUUAUUUCACUUAAAAUUGCUCACUGACACUGUUAUUUAUAAACUAUGCCAUUGAGAAUUUAGCUAUGAAUCCGGUUCUCUUUCCCUAGGGAUAGGGAAAACUGGUGGAAACCAACUUUCCCAGGGCCCAAACCCACAAUCCCCAAACAAACACUCUCAGAUGCCUUGCAUGCGAUACAAAAUUUCCUACAUGACGACAAACCUAGCCAUUUCUAGACAUGUGCAAUUUGUUUCGGUCCGAAUAUGAAUUUGGACGAAUUUCAGGAAAUUCGGACAUUCGGGUACUUCCAAAUGUCCGAAGUGCCGAAUUGCCGAGGUCCCGAAGUUCCGAAAUUACCGAAUUUCCAAAGUGUCGAAGUUCCGAAGUGUCGAAGUGUCGAAGUGCCGAAGCACAGUAUUGCCUAAGUACUAAUAUACUUACCCAGUGAAAGAAGGAGAAUUGUAUACAAUUUUAAAUAAAAAGUAUAGAAACAUAGCCAGGAUUCAGCUGUAAGCAUUUGCAACACUUACAACAAUCAAGUAACAUACAUUCAUAUAAAAUGUAAGUUACUUAGCCAGUCAGUGUAAUGACAGGAAUGAAUAAGUAGAUAACUCACUAAUUCCCACGGUAUUAGGGAGCUAUCUACUAAAAGGCUGAAAGACCUAAAUUGGUCUUUCAGCCAAAUUUACUAAUACUAAGUAAAGAUUACGUAGUAUUCAUAAAUUAUGCCCCUACUCGCUAUACCGUGAGUAGGGGCAUGUCUGUUAAACAGUGAGCAGCCUGUUUAACAUAAUUUACGGGGCAUAAUUUACGAAUACUAAGUAAUCUUUACUUAGUAUUAGUAAAUUUGGCUGAAAGACCAAUUUAGGUCUUUCAGCCUUUUAGGUCCCCCCCUUAUUAGUAUUUAGGGCCCCCUCCCGCCACUCAGGNNNNNNNNNNNNNNNNNNNNNNNNNNNNNNNNNNNNNNNNNNNNNNNNNNNNNNNNNNNNNNNNNNNNNNNNNNNNNNNNNNNNNNNNNNNNNNNNNNNNCAGCCACAAAUUACCUGCGAUGAAUUAUUCAAAUCACUAUUCAGGAGUAGAGUUGACCGAACCCAAACUGAAAAGUUCGGGUUCGUACCGAACAUUACGUUUUUUGNNNNNNNNNNNNNNNNNNNNNNNNNNNNNNNNNNNNNNNNNNNNNNNNNNNNNNNNNNNNNNNNNNNNNNNNNNNNNNNNNNNNNNNNNNNNNNNNNNNNGACCCCGGACUCGAACACGGACAUUUCAGUGUAUGUUCGGGUUGGAGUUCGGUGUUCGGCGAUUUAAUGCACGUUUUGAAAGGCUGCAGGGCAGCCAAUCAACAAGCGUUUGACUCGUGUGCCCUUAGAAGCCAUCACAGCUAUGCCUACUAAUGGCAUGGCUAUGAUUGGCCAGUGCAGUAUGUGAGCCAUAGACAUAGUAUACAUGGACGCCACAUUGACUGCUGAGCGGCGAGAAAUACACACAGAUAAAGAGAUAUCAACUGCCACAAAGGGAUAAUGAGAAUGGCCGUACUCAGUCAGGGCAGGGAUAAUGGGAAUGGCAGUUCUCAGUUAGUGCAGAGCAGGGAUAAUGGGAAUGGUAGUACUCAGUCAGUGCAGGGAUAAUGGGAAUGGUAGUACUCAGUUAGUGCAAAGCAGGGACAAUGGGAAUGGUAGUACUCAAUUAGUGCAACGCAGGGAUAAUGAGAAUGGUAGUACACAGUCAGGGUAGGGAUAAUGGGAAUGGUAGUACUCAGUUAGUGCAAAGCAGGGAUAAUGAGAAUGGUAGUACACAGUUAGGGCAGGGAUAAUGAGAAUGGUAGUACUCAGUGCAGAGCAGGGAUAAUUUGAAUGGUAGUACUCAGUCAGUGCAGAGCAGGGAUAAUGGGAAUGGUAGUAUUCAGUCAGUGCAGGGAUAAUGGGAAUGGUAGUACUCUGUUAGUGCAAAGCAGGGAUAAUGAGAAUGGUAGUACACAGUCAGGGCAGGGAUAGUGGGAAUGGUAGUACUCAGUGCAGAGCAGGUAUAAUGGGAAUGGUAGUACUCAGUCAGUGCAGGGAUAAUGGGAAUGGUAGUACUCAGUCAGUGCAGGGAUAAUAGGAAUGGUAGUACUCAGUUAGUGCAGGGAUAAUGGGAAUGGUAGUACUCAGUCAGUGCAGGGAUAACGGGAAUGGAAGUACUCAGUGCAGAGCAGGGAUAAUGGGAAUGGCAGUACUCAGUGCAGGGAUAAUGGGAAUGGUAGUACUCAGUCAGUGCAGGGAUAAUGGGAAUGGUAGUAUUCAGUGCAGAGCAGGGAUCAUGGGAAUGGCAGUACUCCGUUAGUGCAGGGAUAAUGGGAAUGGUAGUACUGAGUCAGUGCAGGGAUAAUGGGAAUGGUAGUACUCAGUGCAGAGCAGGGAUAAUGGGAAUGGUAGUACUCAGUUAGGGGCAGGGAUGUAUUUACCACAAGGCAAACAAUGAAUUUGCCUAGGGUGACACUUUCAGGGGGGCGCAAAAAAUGCCACCCCAAGCUCCCAGACAAAUGCCUUGUUUGCCUUGUGUUCUGGGGACACACCUUACUGUGAGUGAGUGAGUGUAGCUGCCAGUGUGUGUUUGUGAGUGAGAAUGGGUGAGAAUGGGUGUGCCUGUGAGUGUGUGUCAGUAUGUGUAUGCCAUUUUAUGUGUAUCUGAGAAUGUGUGCCUGUCAGUGAGCUGGUGUGUCAGUGUGUGUCUGUCAGUGAAAGUGUUGGUUAAACAGUGUGUUCCAAUGACUGUAUGUAUGUGGCAAUGACUGUGUAUCUGUCAGUGAGUGUACAUCAGUGCAUGUAUCAAUGAAGGCAUGUGUCUGUCAGUCAAAAAAAUGGCCUUGACACAAAUUGGGGGGGGCAAAUUUAGAUUUUGGGGGUGCCCGAAUUUAGUCGUGCCUGGGGCAGCACAAAUCCAAAAUAUACCACUGGUUAGGGGGCCCUAAAUAACAAUGAGGGGGGGACCUUAGGAGGGCCAGGGGGGAGGACAAUAGCUUCCCCCCCUUAUUCUAAUUUAGGGCCCCCACCCGCCACGCAGGGGUGGGGGCAGGGGGGAGGACAGCAGGUCCCCCCCCUCAUUGUUAUGUAGAGCCCCCACCCACCGCGCAGGGGUGAGGGCCGGGGGGGGAGGACAGGACUGCUCACUGUUUACUAGACACACCCCUACUCGCGGUAUAGCGAGUAGGGGCUGAAUUUACUAAUACUAAGUAAUAUUUACUUAGUAUUAGUAAAUGUGGCUAAAAGACCAAUUUAGGACUUUCAGCCUUUUGGUAGAUAGCUCCCUAAUAGGGAGUUAUCUACUAAGCGGCUGCUUAUUUUAUGUUAUUUUAAGUUAUUUGUAAGUGAUUUCCCUAUCCACAUUUGUUUGCAGGGCAUUUGUCCUACUCUUACCCCCAUUUUACUUCCUUUUGCAGCCCUGUAGCCCUUUCCAGGACUUUUUUAGAGGCAUUUUAGUGCCCAAAAGUUCGGGUCCCUAUUGACUUCAAUAGGGUUUGGGUUCGGGGUCAAGUUCGAGCCGAUCUCGAACUUUUUGACGAAGUUGGGCCGAACUUGGUGAACCCGAACAUCCAGGUGUCUAUAAUAACUCUAUUCAGGAGCAGUAUUUGUAUAAUUCCUGUUAACAUGUGGUUUUGCUGUUGUUUACAGUUCUUGCUUGCACUAAUUUAUNNNNNNNNNNNNNNNNNNNNNNNNNNNNNNNNNNNNNNNNNNNNNNNNNNNNNNNNNNNNNNNNNNNNNNNNNNNNNNNNNNNNNNNNNNNNNNNNNNNNGCUGAGAUCAUCAAACUUGGUGAUCUCACGCAAUCUAAUGCUUUCCCAUAAGAAAGCAUUGGGAGGCUAUUGCGCAUGUGCAACAAAACUGCAAUGCGCCAAUCAACAUCUCCUCAUAGAAAUGCAUUGAAUCAAUGUGUCCCUAUGAGGAAUGUUUAGCGACUUCAUGCAGAGUGUGGGACAUUUUUACGCACUGAACUAGGAAGCAUCUCUAGUGACUGUCUGAGUGAUGGCCACCAGAGGUAUUCCUAGGCAGGAAUAAAAAUGUAGUGUUUACAUUACAAAAAAUCUGCAGGGACUGGCUAUACACACCAGAACACUAUGGUAAGCUGCAGUUGUUCUAAUAACUAUAGUGUCCCUUUAAUUUUCAUUCCUUCUAUGACAUUGUGUAACUUUGCAAUGUCAUUAUAAUUCCAGUGGCCUAUAAUUUCAUGCCAAGUUUGAAUAGCGUGUCUAGAUAGUAAAGUGUAUUGUAUUUUUGAAUUAUGAUUUUUUUUCCAUUUUUGCAAAUUAAUUAAAUUAUGCUUUGUUUAAAGUUAAUUGAUUCUUCAUGACUUAUCUUUAAACUGUAAAUCUUUGCAUCACCUCUAUUCAGUGUCACACCUGAUGUCUUUUCCCCAUAUGUUAGAUCUAUGAUCUGUUAGACCUGUGAGAAUUUUCUUGCCUAAAGGUAUCAUCAAUGCUUUGAAUUUUCUUAUGUUAAUUAUUAUGUGGGAUAUUGCCUCAUGUGUCAACCUUUUGGUAUUAUCCUAUCAAGUUUGUAAUCUUUUAUCUUGAAAAAAAUCUAUUUUGUCUAUUAUCAUAAUUAUGAUACUGUUGCUGCUUGUUCAACUGUGUUUUUUGGCACCUACAUUCUGCAUAUCUAUGUGUAGUGCUGUUGCAGAAGUUACACCACAGUGAUUGUCUGCCAUUUUGACAGAGCACACACUGGCUCUGUGCCUUCAUUGGCCCAAUUAUGACAAGUACCGUAUUUUUCCGUGGAUAAGAUGCCUCCAUGUAUAAGACAACCCCUAUUUUUUGAGCCCAAAAUUAAGAAAUCAAUAUUUUAAAUGUCAAAUAGAACAACUUGGAUAUACCACUACGGCCUGCCGGAUGGUGGGUCUCUCCCAGUGGCCCUGCUGGGGGCGCCCUCCGGUCUGGGUCAUGGGAAUUUAUUGCCCAAAAAGGAGCCUCAGGGCGGGGGCGCCUGGGGUGGGGCCAGGGUCGCACCCACGCCCCGUUGGGAUGGCGUUACGACUGCAGACUACACACAUGAGGAGGUAUCCCUCCCUAGGGAGAGAGCAGUGGGUGGACCUAUGUCCCUUACUCUCCCCUCCCCUCCCAUCUUCGUGACCCUUCACCCUAACCCUGCCUGUAGAUGCUUCUAUGUGGAUAAAAUACUGUCAUUCAGGGGUACCCCAUGGGAAGGCAGAUACCAUAUAGUAGUUUGUCUAUAGGUGAUUGUCACUAAUAAUGGAUACUGUACCAAUAUAUUUAACCUGCCACUGUAAUCAUUAUUUGCAAAGUAAUGUAUGGUACAAGAUGUCCUGAAGUAAUUUUUUAUUAUUUUAUUUUUUGUGGGUGAUACUGAGAUAUGUAACAUGGUUGAUGUUCCAGGAGGGAUACGAAAAAUGGCAAAUGAUUUAGGUAAACUAGAAAAAUGGUCAGAGUUGUGGCAACUGACAUUUAAUGUGGAUAAGUGCAAGAUAAUGCAUCUUGGAUGUAAAAACCCAAGGGAAGAGUACAGAAUAUUUGAUAGAGUCCUAACCUCAACAUCUGAGGAAAGGGAUUUAGGGGUGAUUAUUUCUGAUGACUUAAAGGUAGGCAGACAAUGUAAUAGAGCAGCAGGAAAUGCUAGCAGAAUGCUUGGUUGUAUAGGGAGAUGUAUUAGCAGUAGAAAGAGGGAAGUGCUCAUGCCAUUGUACAGAACACUGGUGAGACCUCACUUGGAGUAUUGUACGCAGUACUGGAGACCGUAUCUUCAGAAGGAUAUUGAUACCUUAGAGAGAGUUCAGAGAAGGGCUACUAAACUGGUUCGUGGAUUGCAGGAUAAAACUUACCAGGAAAGGUUAAAGGAUCUUAACAUGUAUAGCUUGGAAGAAAGACAAGACAGGAGGGAUAUGAUAGAAACAUUUAAAUACAUAAAGGGAAUCAACACAGUAAAGGAGGAGACUAUAUUUAAAAGAAGAAAAACUACCACAACAAGAGGACAUAGUCUUAAAUUAGAGGGACAAAGGUUUAAAAAUAAUAUCAGGAAGUAUUACUUUACUGAGAGGGUAGUGGAUGCAUGGAAUAGCCUUCCAGCUGAAGUGGUAGAGGUUAACACAGUAAAGGAGUUUAAGCAUGCGUGGGAUAGGCAUAAGGCUAUCCUAACUAUAAGAUAAGGCCAGGGACUAGUGAAAGUAUUUAGAAAAUUGGGCAGACUAGAUGGGCCGAAUGGUUCUUAUCUGCCGUCACAUUCUAUGUUUCUAUGUUUCUAUGGUACUCACUGGAUGAUGGAUAUAAAUGAAGAAGUUUAGAGACAGAAGAAUAGUUAAACAUUUUCUUUUUUUUUUUACUAAAAAGGAGGGGAAACUAGAGCGGUACUCUGGGUGUGCAAGAAUUGAACUCUCGGGGGGUGAGGACGACCGCAGCCUCGCCUGUCAGGCUCUUUUGAGGGAAGGCCGGUUGGGGUCACGGCUCGAGCCCACAAAGGAGCCAUGGCCAUUAGACUCUCGGGCGUAUGCUCUAGCAAUGCGGGAUGAGCGGCACAUCCUUCCGAAACCUAUAUGCAGCGCAGUUGGGUUAUGUUCAGUUAUUUCGAGGGAGAAGAAUCUCCGUGCCUACUCAGGCCUACCUAGGUGGUGAAUGGGGUGGACGGCUGCCGCCCUGCUAUCAUGUCUAUGUGCACAUUUUAGAGUGGCCUUUUAUUGUGGCCAGCCUAAGGCACACCUGUGCAAUAAUCAUACUAUCUAAUCAUCAUUUUGAUAUGCCACUCCUGUGAGGUGGAUGGCUUAUCUCGGCAAAGGAGAAGUGCUCACUAACACAGAUUUAGACAGAUUUGUGAACAAUAUUUGCAAGAAAUAGGCCUUUUGUGUUCAUAGAAAAAGUGUUAGCUCUUGAGUUCAGCUCAUGAAAAAUGGGGGCAAAAACAAAAGUGUUGAGUUUAUAAUUUUGUUCAGUGUAUUAUAAUUUAAAAAAUGUGCAGUGAUUCAGACAUGUGUUGUGCUGUUAUAGUUAAUACUUUCUGAUAAUACCCUCUGCAAUGUUUACGUUCAUCUGUGAACUACAAUGAGAAUAAUAAAAAUAAAAAAAGCAGACUUUUCCAUCAUCUUUUUGUAAUGUGAACUGCAAAUGACUAAGCUGAUGUGAAAAAACCCUGUAGUAUCAUUGCAAUUAAUAAUCCAUCUCAUGUGUUUCUCCCGAAUUUCUUAACAUUUCAAGGUUUGUCGCUGCAUUUAAAACAUAGUUCGUUACACUCUCAUUUUUGCCUUUCUGAAGGGACAUUAAUUAUGUACAUAAACUGACUAUUCUAGGCUUACCCUUGCCAACAUAAUAAUCUUUCACUCAUAGUAAGCACUUUCCGUCCAUCAUCAGUUGCCUCCCUCAUUAUUAAACACAGAAUUGUAUCAUCUAGAAAUGGAAUUUGUUCAGCAUAAGCUUCCUCAUUCUUACAUGUGUCUUCCUCAUCCAUGAUAUCAUCUAUCUUCUUUAAGAUUCACCAACUCCAGGUGGCGUAAGAUAACUCAUAGUUUUUUUUUACCUUUGUAGAAAUAUAGCUAGUUUAAUCUGUUUCCAGAUUCCCUUUUGGGCCCAUGACUUGUGGCAAUCUACAUGCUAUGGGUUUGAUAACCAGUUAAAUACACACAAAAUUAAGGACCAAAACCACAAACUGAGUUUAGUGCUUCACUGUUACACUGUUCACACUGUUCACAAUUACUUGUUGUAAUUGUACUGUUUGUCGACUUACAAUGAGAAAGAAAGGAAAUAAAUGGGGGGGGUGGGGAAGAAUGAAAGGAAAGAUCAUUAUAACUUGUCAUAUUGUGUGUGUGUGUGUUUUUUUUUUUUAAAUAACAGAUGAAAAUAGUGUAAAACACUUUGUAUUGGAUUAACAGAAUUAUGUGAAAGCUUUUGGGAGCUUUUAGAAAUGCUUUAGACAUGAGAAAAGGGGUAUCUGAAAGCUUGUUGUUCCAAAAUUCUGUUAUUCCAAUAAAAGGGGUAUUACAAGAUUCUAUUUUCAUCUGUUACUUUACAUCAGCUAUUUAUUGAAAUAUGACUGUAACGGAGCUUCCCGUACUCCGACCGAGUACCCUCCGUUGAUGGACGCUUCCUAGCUUGCGCCGAGGACCACAAGCACCGCACCGGACACCACAAACGCCGUAGCUUAACUGGAGUCUCGCCGUCUUCUGUCCACCCUGGAUCAGCUUCUGUCCUCCUGGACCGUGUGGGGAAGACCUCUUCUCCAGGAGAACGUAACAGGAACAGCUCUUAAAAGAGCUAAGUGAUUAAAAGCUCAAGGGAGAAUGCAGAGCAUAGCAAGCCCCAAUGUGAUUAUAACAGCUCCCUCCAAUAACGAGACAAAGCUACAUUUAGAGGGAUCAAGAAGAACUGUCUAAACUUUUAUUUUACUUGGGCUAGCCCAUAUUGUCAUUACAUUAACAUUGCUGUGAAAACUCAAUAAAAUUACAAACAGUCAAAUCAUAGCAGGCAACAUACAGGGACUUAUUAUAAUACAAUGGCAUAUUUUUAAAGGUGUGGGGGAGACAAUAUUUAACAGAAAAUAUCUCACGUUUCUGCAGAAUUAGCAAUAUGCAAAUCUACCCGAAUAUGCAAAUGAACCAGUCUUGCUAUUCAGGUAGUGCAUAUUGCUGUUGCUACCAACAGAGGACACUAGACAAGCUCCAUAGCCAAAUCCACCUAGUUGGUAGCAAACCUCAGCAGUACAGGAGAGCAGGCAAUACAUUUCACAGUACACACACACUAUAAACAAUUACAUUACACACACCCUGCACCUAUAAUGGGCACAGGGUGACUUAAACAUAAGAGAAAUAAAGCAACCUACAUAAAUAGUCUGUCUGAAGGUAGAAUAGGGGCUUUAAAGCCAAAUACAUCAAAUAGUCAUAGUCACAGGGGAGGAGGCUGGCAAGCAGGCCUCUCCAGGACCAAGUGGCGAAGGGCACUUCGUCACAAUGACCCUUCCAAUUUCCAUAAUAAGGCACCUUUAACGGAGAUUUGUAUUUUGAGCAUCAAGUGGAAUAAUGGGGCUUUUCUAGAAGUUCUGCAUGUAAACAGGGGUCAAGUCCUGUGGAAAAAAGUGUGGGAACUCACCCAAGAUUCCCGCCUCACCCCCCUCCACCCCCCCUUAAAAAAAAAAAAAAUUACAUUCCUAUGCAUAUAGUGCAGUGCAGGGUGUGUAUAAUGAAUGUAGUGUGUUUGUAGUGAAUGCAGAGUAUGAAUAAUAAAUGUAGUGUGUUUGUAGUGAGUGCAGUGUGAAUAAUAAUUGUAGUGUAUUUGUAGUGAGUGCAGAGUGUGUAUAAUGAAUGCAGUGUGUUUUAGUGAGUGCAGAGUGUGUAUAAUGAAUGCAGUGUAUUUGUAGUGAGUGCAGUGUGUAUAAUGAAUGUAGUGUAUUUGUAGUGAGUGCAGUGUGUAUAAUAAAUGUAGUGUGUUUGUAGUGAGUGCAGUGUGUAUAAUAAAUGUAGUGUGUUGGUAGUGAGUGCAGUGUGCAUAGCGAAUGCAGUGUUUUUGUAGUGAGUGCAGAGUGUGUAUAGUGAAUGUAGUGUGUUUGUAGUGAGUGCAGAGUGUGUAUAAUGAAUGUAGUGUGUUUGUAGUAAGUGCAAAUUGUGUCUAAUGAAUUUAGUGUUUGUAGUGAGUGCAGAGUGUGUACAAUGAAUGCAGUGUAUCUAGUGUGUUUGUAGUGAAUGCAGAGUGUGUAUAGUGAAUGUAGUGUGUAGUGAGUGCAGAAUGUGUAUAAUGAAUGCAGAGUGUGUAUAGUGAAUGUAGUAUGUUUGUAGUGAGUGUAUAGUUAAUGUAGUGUGUUUGUAGUGAGUGAAGAGUGUGUAUAAUGAAUGCAGUGUGUGCGUGUGCUGGAUGAUGUGUGUGCUGGAUGAUGUGUGUGUGUGUGAGUGCUGGAUGAUGUGUGUGUGUGUGAGUGAGUGCUGGAUGAUGUGUGUGUGUGAAUGCUGGAUGAUGUGUGUGUGAGUGCUGGAUGAUGUGUGUGAGUGCUGGAUGAUGUGUGUGAGUGCUGGAUGAUGUGUGUGUGCUGAAUGAUGUGUGUGUGAGUGCUGAAUGAGUGUGUGUGUGAGUGCUGGAUGAUGUGUGUGUGUGUGCUGGAUGAUGGGUGUGUGUGGAUUGCAUGAUGUGUGUGUGUGGAGUGCUGGAUGAUGGGUGUGUGGUGAUGUGCUGGAUGAUGUGUGAUGAGUGCUGGAUGAUGUGUGAUGUGUGCUGGAUGAUGUGUGUGAGUGCUGGAUGAUGGGUGUGUGAGUGCUGGAUGAUGUGUGUGAGUGCUGGAUGAUGGGUGUGUGUGUGCUGGAUGAUGUGUGUGUGUGUGAGUGCUGGAUGAUGUGUGUGCUGGAUGAUGGUGUGUGAGUGCUGGAUGAUGGGUGUGUGUGAGUGCUGGAUGAUGGGUGUGUGAGUGUGCUGGAUGAUGGGUGUGUGUGUGCUGGAUGAUGUGUGUGUGCUGGAUGAUGUGUGUGUGUGCUGGAUGAUGGGUGUGUGUGUGCUGGAUGGUGGGUGUGUGAUGUGUGUGUGUGUGUGAUGAUGAUGGUGUGUGUGUGUGCUGGAUGAUGGGUGUGUGUGUGCUGGAUUAUGUGUGUGUGUGUGUGUGCUGGAUGAUGGGUGUGUGUGUGUGCUGGAUGAUGGGUGUGUGAGUGCUGGAUGAUGUGUGUGUGUGCUGGAUGAUGGGUGUGUGUGUGAGUGCUGGAUGAUGGGUGUGUGAGUGCUGGAUGAUGUGUGGGGGGUGGGGGGGGAAGCAUUUUUUUACUUUAUAUAUAAUAUUUAUUUUAUUCCCCCCUCCCUGCUUCUUAGUUUGUCAGGGAGGGGGGAGAUCGCCUGGUGGUCUGGUGGUCUGCUGGAGGGAGGCAGCCGCUGCACAGAGGGGCCAUCACACGCUGUGUUCCCUCUCCAGCUCUAACUCUCGCGAGACUCGCCUGUGCGGAGCAUUGCCAUGGUAACAGCCGCGGGUCUCGCGAGAGUUAUAGCUGGAGAGGGAACACAGCGUGUGAUGGCCCCUCUGUGCAGGUAGCAGGGCCGGUCCUGCAGGACAGGUAACGGGAACGGCGUUCCUGCUUUGGAAAAAGUGCAGGAACGCCGUUCCCAUGCGUUCCUGCAGGACUCGAGCCCUGCAUGUAAACCUCCAUGGAGAUUCUUAACAGCACUAUGGCAUGAUACAUUGACUGAGUGGCCUUCACAAUCUCAGGUAAUCUUCAGAAACCUCAGGAUUUGUGUUGACUUCCCUUUAUAUACUCAAAAUCAGUCUGCAUGUGUACGUUGUCCUGUUUGUCUAUAUAUAUUGAGGUAAAAAGUGUGAAACCACAGCAUCAGGGUACAGAAAGUAAGAGGGUUCCAGUUUUUAUAGCGUUACAAUAUAGCGAAUGUGAUACAAAGAGACAUAAUUCACCUUUGGUACUUUGUUCAUGUUAGGUUUGUUUUGCACUCAUGCUUGACUUGCGUCCCAGUAAGGAUGUAAUUUAGGACGAUUAAAAUACAAUUGUAGUUCUCAGUGUACAUCAGUUCGUAAUAUAUUGAUCUAAGCACCCGAGUACGUAACAUCUUUUUUUUCCUUUUAUUUCUUCUCUUAUCCGCUCCCCCGUCCCCCAUCUAUGUAUACCACCCCUCCACCCGUACCUCAGGUUUUCCAUAAGUAAGGAAAGGAGGGAAAACAUGUAGUAAGUAAACAUAAAAUUAAAGCAAGAAUGAGCAGGGAGAAAGGGAAUGAACUAGAACUGGUGGGUAGUUGUGCAGGUAUGCUAUCUAUUGGCACUAUGAUUUAAUCUAGUCAGUGUGGUCUCUAGAUAACUCUGUUGUAGUAGCGAUCGACUGUAGUAGGUGUCGCAACUCUCUAUUUUGCUUGGGCAGUAUGUGUCGUUAGUGUUGUUCGUGGGCCAUAACUUCAUAAUCGAAGUUCUGAGAAACUUGUCGUACAUGGGCAGAUCUUGUUGGUGUCAUUGUCAUUUUCAAUUCAUAAAGCAGAUGUGUUAGUGAUAUACGGGACAGCCUAACAGGUACUAUAUACCAUCUGUAUUGGAGUUUGCGCAUUAUCUCUAAAUGGGAAGUGCAGCUCGUUCUGCGUUUAUGCACUGCUCCACUGGUCAUUGGCAAAGGUUGUUCCCAGAUCUAAAUGCCCUGCUACCAUGUAUUUGUCAUGUGUCUGCAUUCUUCUUUUGUUCAGUAUAUUUUAUGUUGAGGAUAAUUAAUUUUUUUUGGAGAGCAGAAAUGUCUGCACAUCUGUUCAAAGUAUGAGAUUAUUGUUUCCCUACGUGUUUUAGUAGAUAUUUUAUUUGGAGAUAUGUGAACAUAGUAAAGUGAAGUGCAGACAAGUAAAGUGCUUAUUAGACAUCCAUGUGGGGGGUCCAACUGCAAUGAAGUGGAAUUUAGAAGCAGGUCCAGUCAUAAGGUUUUACCCUCUCAACAAUGUUAAUGCUUGGCUUUGAUUGACAGACAACCUUCUACUGGCGUUUUUUUUUAAAUCAAUAAUACGCUAGGAAUAUUUAAAUAUUAUGAAUCAAUUCCAAGAUAGCAACCUCCCACCUUCCAGUGGUACAGAUAUCUAAAUAUUCCUGUUUAAUGUCCAGGGACAUUCUAAGCACCAUAGCUAUGUCAUCCUAAUGCAGUGGAUCUGUUGCUCAGACAUGAGCACAACAUGAUGCCGCCAAAUGCUGUGAUUCUGAAUGCUUCUCAUAGAGAAACGCUAGAUUAUAUGUUUCUCUAUGAGAAGCAUCUGAUUGGAUGAGGCUGUCACACACCAAGCAUUACCUAUGCUACUCUGAGAAGAAUAGCAAAGAUCAACUGGACAGAUGAUAUCAGAAGAAGAGCAGCUGCUGGACACACAUUUUAUAUCAAGGGUUUGCACCAACAGUGAAACAGCUAUUGUAAGACUAACCCUUAUGAUAUAUCUCUCUUAAAACAUAAAAGGAUCAGGUCAGACUUGAUUAAAAACACAAGUUGAACAAAUCUACAGAUCCUUUGUGGGUGAGAAUUGUGAGAACACAUAAUAGGGAGAACUUGAGGCUCUUUCACAUGCUUUAUUAAGAGUAAAUGAAUGAACAAUGGAACUAAUGAAAUGUGAAGUCUAUAAGAUCUCACAAUUGAGACCCUUCAAUUUCUACCACUUUUCUCCAUCCUAAAUUGCCCCUGCAUUCUUAGAGACGGGACAGAAGGUAAAAUACAUAGAGGAAGUAGAAGGUCCAAAAAGACUGAUUUCAGAGAAACCAUUAGCUCUUGUUUUUUGGGUUUUUUUUUUUGUGUAGGAUAAAAUAAAAACUAAAAAAUAUAUUAGCAUCCUGCAGUAGUUUGUAUUCUCUGUAUUUACUCUGCAAAAUACUCUGCAUUUUUGGUACAUAAAAAAAAAAAAAAACAUGAAUAAAUAGUACGACAAAUAUCAAACUGGAUGUUCCUCUGUGCUCUGUGGAUCAGUCUGGCAGGGAUUGUAUCCAUGCAUCACUUUCCUAUUCAUUAUGAAACAAGACUUACUGAUAUUAUUUAAUUCAAAGAGCAAACAGCCUGUCUGGUAAACAUGGCUGACUUAGAUAACAGUUAUUCUCCCCUAAAACAGGCCUUAAUUAUUGCAAAACCAUCUGUGACAAGACCAAUCUUUUGACUAUGGACCGGCAUUUAAAUACUUUAUUUUCCUAUGCAGAAAGGUCUUUUCAUGUAUUUCUGCCCUGGCGUUCGGUAGAUUCUCGGAUUUACUGAAUUAACUAAUUUAACCCACAUAGCUAUGCCGUGGAGCCUAUUCGUGUAAUAAAAGACUUUGGCUCCAUGGCAAUUGAACUGUAUGUGUGGGGUCUGAGCGCCAUUCAGUAAUAAUGUGCGCUCACACCUAAGCUAUCUGGGGAUAUGUUGAAUGUACCUGUUUUAUGCAAUAGCUGCACAGUUAUAUAUUUUUAUGUAUUUUAUUGUCUUUUGCUGCCAUGUGUUCAAUGGAGUUUUGCCUCUGUCCUUGAAGAUAAUUGGAUUACUUCCCAAUUAUCUCCAGGAUAUAAGACUCUGUGGAACUGGUUUUGGGCAGAAAAGCCAUGCUUCAUUUGGUCACAAAGGACUAAGAUCUAUCUUUUGAACCACUGGACCAAUUUGUAUGAUUUUGACGUAUGUUUUUAUUUGGAGUAUGCUGAUUCUGAAAAUAAUUCUUUAUGUGAAUGUGAUGCAUACUUUUAAAAUUAUGAAUAAUGUGGAAAAACUAUAUGUCUGUGCCUGUGAUAAUUACAUUACCCAUUAUGUAAGGUAAUUGUAUCACAGGCAUAGGGGAGGAUUUUGUGUGGGAGUGUCUGAGUGUAUUGUACAUGUUUAUUGGUUGUUUUCCAAAACCCUGUGGGUGGUACUAUUGUGUAAGAAUGUAUAAAGUAGCAUAUAUAUGUAUAUAAGAACAAUAAACCCACAGCACUGUCUGUUCCUGCUUGACCCUCAAAACGGAGCCUUGUCUCGUUCUUGGAGGGAUUUAUUGUAUGCUGUUCCAGUUUGACUGCUAGGAGUAUAAACCUAUUCAUAUGGUUUUUCCUAUUCGGCUGUUUACAGCAUUCCUGUUCAGGUGGAUUGGUGUCUACAGUAGCUGCCUGUAUAUCUGGAAGGGGAAUAUCUACUAAACGGAUGUUAACCCCCUUUAUGCCUGGGGUGCCGUUACACCAUCAAUUGUCUGAUUACUGUUGCGUUGUUCUCUCAGAUAUUUUAAUUUUGUAUAAUUUUAUAUAGUCAGUAUUCCUGCACCUUAACCCUUGUAAUCGAUGUGAAUGUAGCAAAGCCCUUACAAUUACUGUUUAUGAAAAUCACAGACAAGGCCACUAACAAAUAGUAAGUUAAAUGCAGAAGGAGAGGAGGCGUUGGAGGUAGAGUACAUUAUCAAUCAAAGUCAGCUUUGAAUAUUAAUGUUAUAAUAAUAUAAUCCAGGGUGGUACAAAGGCUUCCUAAAUCACGUCACAUCAGUACUGAUGCACAUGUAGGGAACAUGUUGAAAAUUGUGAUAUGGUAAUGAAAUAUUAGCUGGUUAAUUAAUGAGGAGAUGCGAAAAAGACAUAGACCAGAGCAACAUGAGAAGAUCCACAGGAUUGGGGUGGCGAAGGAACACUAAGGGUAGACACAUGGCUAUUCAAAGAACUAGCAACUUCAUUACAGCAUAGAGUUUGGUCACCAUCAUUUGCUCACUCUUAGGUUAGGAGGCCAUAGGUAGAGAGAGUAAAAAGGGGUAAUGAAAAGAUGUUAAACCAUUAAUAAAAAAAUCUGCACAAUAUAUGAAUGGAUUUUUUAGAAGACAUUGCCAGAGAAAAAUGCACUCCCCAUCGCCCAAUUAGCGGGUAUAGGCUAUCCUACACUAUAUAUAAUGGGAUAGAAUGGUAAAAAGAGCUGCAAUACCACAUUAGCAUUCCAUUUAUAAAAAAAAAAGUUAUUUUCAGGAUGAGCUCUAAUCAAUAAAAUCUUUAAACAUUCUGCUAGCAAAUUUACUCACUGGGUGCAGCAGUGGUCAAGAGUACAGUUACAUGCUGGGGUUUGCACAGCAUUCCCGAUGAUGAUAUCACAUUACGUUAUUGUUACAAAAGAAAUUAUAUAUUGUACAGUAAUGUGAACCAGGAAAAAUGGCCAUUUGCAUCUCAGACUGAUGUCAGCCUGUAUUUUGGAUCUGCUCUGCCCUUUUGGGUGGAAUCAGUCUGAGAUGCAAAUGGCCAGGUUCUCUCUGUAACUGCACAACAUGAGCUAAAACCAGCUUGAGAAUUAAGCAGGGCCUUACUGAAGGGGAGGCCAAUUGAGCUGUUGUCCAAUCUCAGCACUCUCUUGCAACUGUUUUUUUUUUAAUAUAUAGAUAUUAUUGUUUUAAUGUAUUUGUAUGUUAAGGUCACAUGGGUGCAAUCAUGUUUGCUUGACUAUGAGGUAAACUACCUGUGAUUUUCAAGAUCCUCCAUCCUUAUAAAAGGAGAAGACAACAGGAAUUGGUACUUCACUUGAAAAAGCGUAUUUGUGAAGUGAAGCGCAUUUUGUGAGAGUUUUUAGCUGUAUUUUUAAUAGGUUUUUACUAUAAUAUUUUCACAAUAAACUCUUUGAUUAAUAUACAAUUUAUGGUAAAGUAAUUAUUUUAUAAUGUAUAUUUUUUUGCCUGGCUGCAUUGGAGGACCAUCAUCAUAUCCUCUGAACUGUGGGAACAUAUAUCCUUGGUGGGAAUUAUUUCACCUGUGCUGACUUUAUAGAGCAUUAUUUUACUUAUAUAUAUUUUUUUUUUAUUAUUAUUUUUUUUCAUUUAUUUAUAUUCAGAGUGUUGAAAUUACUGCACUAUUGUUGUCUCUUGUUCACGUUUUUUCUCUUUACAUAUCUCAUUGUGAUAGUUUGAAGACACUAGGGAGUUGUAAAUCCACAAGCAGGGAUUUACCACUGGAUACUGUGAUUAUUUCAGCUUGUAUUAAACUUGAUUAUAUGUGCGUGACCAUUCACUGUUAAUUGUAUAUCCAUCUCUUUGCUACUAAACAUACUACUAUUGGACUUCUCUCUUUCUUUUCCAUGACAUAAUGAGGUUGUCAAACAUUUAAGAAUCAAGAUACUACUGAAACUUCAAUUAUUUCCAAUCCAAUCCAGUAUACAGGAUGCCAAAAUACCAGAGUAUUGCGGUAUGCAAUGAUACCUUUUUUGUUGGACUAAGAUAAUUAAUCAUCAUCCAUGAGUUACAGAAUAUGCAUGAAGGCCUAUAACCAGCAAAUUGAUCAACAUUGGAGGGGAGGGGACAGAUUGAGAUCUCUGUCCCAAAGUGAAACCUUUUGGAUACAUAGAUUGCAGACACUAGAGCCGAGGGGAUUAAAUUUGGAGCUUUACUUGGUUUGCUUUCUGUAAAAUGCAACAUUGGUGUCAACAUGGAGAGAGACAAUUUGAAAUUCAAGAGGGAAAUUGACACUCAACAUAUAAAGUCCAUUAUUUUUAUUAUUUAUUUUUAUUUAUUUUGUAUCAUUUAUAUAUUCACAUUUUUUUAAUUAUUUUAAUAUUUUUUCAUUUAAUUAUUUUUUUUUAUUUUUAUUUAUUUACAUAUAUACUUUUUCAUAUUUAUAUAUAUUUAUUUUCAUUUUCUAUUACUAUUUAUUAUUUUUGGUAUUAAUAUAUAUUUUUUUCAUCUUUAUUUUCACAUUUAUAUUUACUUCAUACUUAUUUUUAUCUUUAUUUCAUUUUAUUUUUAUGUUUAUUUUUACUUUCAUUUUUAUUUUAUUUUAUUUUUAUCAUUAUUUAUUUAUUACCGAUAUAUUUAAUUUUAGAAUGAAUAAUUUUUGUCAUAAGGAGCCUAUUUUGGGGCUUAUUAUUUAUUAAAAACUUUUUUUGUAAAAAAAAAAAAAAUAAAUAAAAAUUUGUAAAGAAUUAUGGAUUAUUUCAAAGUGGACAAGUUCCUUACUCUAUGAAUUUCGAUUUGCCAUAAGGGGUCAUUGUGAUAAAAAAGUAAAAACACAAAAAAAUACACACAAUAGAUCAAGUAUAACUACGGUAUUUGCUCUGAUCCAAAUAACAAAGGUUUAAAAAAGUAAAAAUACUGUCGGCUAUUGAGUAAAUUCUUCUCUCUCUAAUAGAUAUUAAACUAUUCCGAGAUUGCUCUGUGAUUACAUGGACAAUAAAGUUUUGUGAACAUUUGGAACGCACAAAAUGGAUUGCAAGCCAGAAGUAUAGCAGCCACAUGGAGUUAUACACGACAGAGAUUAAGAAGAUUACGAUCAGUGGUGUGAAGGAGAAACAAGCUUCAGUGAUUAGUAAAUUAGAAGACAACACCCACGAACACACCAGAAAGAAUCAGGAAGAACCCUAUUUAAAAAGGGGAUGAAAAGGGAAGGGUAGGACAUGAAAUUGUUAGACAUAUUUUUAUGUUUUUAUGAUUGUAUAAAAGGUGGUCCCUGAGGAAGUUUCCAUAGAAACGAAACGCGAAGGACCGGUGCUAUACCACCAAUUUUUAAAAUAUUUAUUUUAUUUAAUUUAUUUGCAAUAAAUCAUUUUUCACCUACCUACCUGAUUCCUGAUUUAGAUCCAAAAGCACCACUCUGACUGUGAAACCAGACCUCCCUUGGGGGGAAGGCAACCUCAAUGCGCUCUUUUCAUCUGAAGUCUGUGAGUUCCAUAUAAAGUGGGGGCACUGCAAACCUUCUCCAACAGUGUUGCACUAUUAUUUGUUAUUUUUUGUUUUAGAUAUCCAUCUAUAUCCCAUUUUCUGAAUAUUUUUAUUUCUAUGUCAAGCAUAACCAGACACACACACGCAAAUGUACAUAUACAUAUACAAAAGUAGUUUAUAUGUACACGUAUACACAAGUACAUACACAAUAUACAUAUAAAUACAACCAAAUGCACUAAUAUAUGUACAUGCACACCUAUACAUACACCAUAUAUUUAUAGGCAUACUCAUACACACAUGAACACAUACAUACACAUGUACAUACAUAUACAUACACACACACACACACACACACACACACAUAAAACCUGUUCCAAAUUAUUAUGCAAAUUCUAUUUAAGAGUCACAAAGAAUAAAUAUUUUGUUUUUCAGUUUAACUCAUGGAUGGCAUUGUGUCUCAGGGCUCUUUUGAUCACUGAAAACAAUCUCAGACACUUGUGAUAAUUAGAUUGCCAGGUGAGCCCAAUUUAAGAAAAAACGACUAAAGGAGGGUGUUCCACAUUAUUAAGCAGAGCACCAUUUUCAUGCAAUAUGGGGAAGAAAAAGGAUCUCUCUGCUGCCGAAAAGAGUGAAAUAGUUCAAUGCCUUAGACGAGGUAUGAAAACAUUAGAUAUUUCACGAAAACUUAAGCGUGAUCAUCGCACUAUUAAGAGAUUUGUGGCUGAUUCAGAGCAGAGAUGGGUUUGUGCAGAUAAAGGCACAUUGAGGAAGAUUUCUGCUAGAUCCAUGCAUCGGAUCAAGAGAGUAGCUGCUAAAAUACCAUUACAUAGCAGCAAACAGAUAUUUGAAGCUGCUGGUGCCUCUGGAGUCCAACGGACAUCAAGGUGUAGAGUCCUCCAGAGUCUUGCAACUGUGCAUAAACCUUCUUUUCGGCCACCACUAACCAAUGCUCACAAGCAGAAACAGCUGCAUUGGGCAGAAAAAUACAUGAAGACUAAUUUUCAAACAGUCCUGUUUACCGAUGAGUGCCGUGCAACCCUGGAUGGUCCAGAUAGAUGGAGUAGUGGAUAGUUGGUGGACAGCCACCCUGUUCCAACAAGGCUGAAUGUCAGCAAGACAGUGGUGGAGUCAUGUUUUGGGCUGGAAUCAUGGGAAGAGAGCUGGUCAGUCCCUUUAGGGUCCCCGAAGGUGUAAAGAUGACCUCUGCAAAGUAUGUGGAGUUUCUGACUGACCACUUUCUUCCCUGGUACAGAAGGAAGAACUAUGCUUUCCAUAAUAAAAUCAUCUUCAUGCAUGACAAUGCACCAUCUCAUGCUGCAAAGAAUACCUUUGCAUCAAUGGCUGCUAUGGGGAUAAAAGGAGAGAAAGUCAUGGUGUGGCCUCCAUCCUCCCCUGACCUCAAUCCUAUUGAGAACCUUUGGAGCAUCCUCAAGCAAAAGAUCUAAGAGGGUGGGAGGUAGUUUACAUCCAAACAGCAGCUUUGGGAGGCUAUUCUGACACCUUGCAAACAAAUUCAAGCAGAAACUGUCCAAAAACUCACUCAAAGUUCAAUGGAUGCAAGACAUGUGAAGCUGCUAUCAAAUAAGGGGUCCUAUGUUAAAAUGUAACGUGAUCUGUUAAAAUGUUUAAAAAGUUAAAAUGUUGUUAUAAGUUUGAUUGAAAUAGCUUUUGAUUUCAGUAAAUAUGCUGCAAACACAACUAAUGAUAAUUUUCAGUUCUUUACAACCUAUAAAGUGUUUUGAAAAUUACUGUGCAUAAUAAGUUUUUUAUGUUUAAAAAAAUACUGUUAUCAUUAGGAGGUUUGUUCAAUACAAUUUGAAUUGUACUCUUAAUAGUUGAUAACAUGAGAAUUAUGCUGACUGUUAUUUACAUCAAUUAUUUAGGUAAAUGAGAAAAAUAUCAUUUGCAUAAUAAUUUGGAACAGGGUGUAUACAUACAUGCACAUGAACUUAUAUAAACAAAUAUAAAAGCACAGCCACAUAUAUAAGCAUACAUGCAUAAGAGUAUGGGAAAGCAUAUGUCUAUACAUAGUAAUUUGUAUAUUGAUAUAACAUGUCAUUGGAAUGCAUUUUACGAUGUGGAUACAUAUGACAGAACAGUGAGAUAAUGCUGUUGGUAAUGUAAAGUGUUGGUAAUGGGACAGGAAACACAAAUCAAUAUUUAGUCCUCUGUUCUUGCUGUUAAGAAAAAUUGGAUCAUUCUGGCUUCAAAAUAUUUUUUUUCUUGGGUAUUUUUAAAAUCCCCUUUUGCUCAGAAAUGCUUGAGACUUGAGAAAGGGAGGUUCUCCCAAAAUCUUGUCAUUACAAAAUUCUGUCCAAUAAAAAAAUAUAUUACAAGAUACAAAUUGUAUCUGUUUUUUACAUCUGCAUCACUGGACUAAAACAUCUACAAUCUAUAUCCAUUAGUAUGAUUCUUCCUUAAAAUGCCUCUAUACCUAUUGAAGAUUUAAACUAUUUAACUCCGGCUUUUUUAAGCAUCAGUACAAACUCUAAAUGCAGCUUGAAAAUCUUGUCACUAGGCAUGCAACAUUACAUAGUACAACAAAUAAGAACAUAAAACCAGAGGGGGAUUUCAGCACUAGUAGUUUACUGGUACAGUUCAAGAGGCAGCUCAAUUACUGAAUCCGGGGUCUCUCUUGUCCGGAAGGGAAAAAUUGAGAAACAGAAGGGUGGUGUAGCGCCAAGUAUGUCCUUAAAAAAGAACAUACGGUUGCAAUAAGAUAACAGUAUGAAACUGUGACGGACCACCUGGCACCCCAACCAGAUACCUCCACCAAUAGCUGCUUCCUUCUAAUCCUUGAGUACCAUAAGCACCGCACUGGACACCAUAACCACUGUAAACCCCACAAACCGCCGCAGCUUGGUUGGGGUCUCACUAUCCUCCACCUACCCUGGACCCAAGACCAGGAUCCAGCUUCCAGAGAGAAAAGCAGGUUGCAAUUGUUGUAAGCCAAGGGAGUAUAGUGAUUAUAGCAAUCCCCAGAGUGAAUAUAGCUCUCCAAUCCCCCAAACAUGAGCCCAGACUUCAUGAAGGGUAAAACUAAUCUGUUUACUGGCAGCCACAAUUGGCCUUAUAUUCUGGUCCCCAUGUGGACCUGAGAGAAGACUACGGUAAAAACAUACACACAAUUACAUUGGCUCUCAGGUCCAGGACACUCCCAUACAAAAUAGGUCAAUCCCUCCCCUGUGUCUGGGAGAUAAUUGAGUCAGCACUGUAUUAGACUCUAUUUUCUCCAGUCACAGAAAACAUAAAUUUUUACAAACCCCCAAAAUACCUUUAAACCCCCACAAACGUUACGUCCCCUGAUAGCCCUGAUCUGGAUGACCAACAUAUCCAAAAAUCACCCAGAUCGGUUCAGGGGUUUAGGAAUUUCCUGGAAGUUAUAAUCUGACCAACCACACUCAUGGUCCCAUGCCCAAAACAGUUCCAGAGAAUCAGGGCUUGCGGUCGGUCUAGUUCGGUAGUUUAAAAACUGAACAAACUGCCGAACAUAGUCAGUGUUCUUACUCUGGAGCUUGUUCACCUUAUUCAUGGGAACGUUUCCACCGAACAGUGCCCUUCUAAGUUAUGUAGAACCAAACAAAGGUGAUCCUGGAAAUCCAACAGUGUUUGAGAGUUUCAGUAUCUGAAAAUAGUUCCAUGAACUUGACGACCAAACACUGCUGCCUGUGUUUGAGUGAACAAGAUGGCCAUCACCUCGUGGUCGUUCAUGCAAACAGAUGCCACCCAGAUGAACACUUAGAACACUGCGGUGGAAAGUGUUACAAACUGUCAAUUAGGCUUAACAAGCUUCCGGGUGGUCUCUGGUUCAAGCGGCUGUUCGGGAACCAAACCAUAUAAUCCCAAUUGCAUUAACAGAGCCUUUUAAAAGUAUUUUUAGCUAGGUCUGUUGCAGGGGGCCAUAGUCCUGUGGCAGGAGGCUGGGUAGCAGGCCCUACAAGAACCCAUGACGAGGUUCAGUUCAUCACAGAAAUAUUCACAAUAAAACAGUAAAACAGAACCAACAGUCAGAGAGAGACUUUAAAUUUAGUGGUAAUACUAGAGAAUGUCCAAAUAAAAGCAAACUUGUAAACACAGCAACCAGAUUUUGUGGAAGAGUUCCUUUUCUUUGUCAGAUCAGGAGAAAGCUGGGGCUCCGUAUGAAAUACAAGAAACAGAGAAACAACCAAAUGGUGUAGUAUAUCACAAUAGUUUCUAGUCCUAUUAGUUCGUAGAUCUUAUGUAAUCGUACUCAUUUUUUUAAGCGCUAAUGCCAGAUCUAGUGUAAAUAGCAUAUAGUUGUAUAAUCCCCAUUUAUAGGAUACGUAUGAAGUAGUAGUCAGCGGAUAUCUCAGCAAUAUGGUGACCCUAAGAACCUAGAAUAAAUAGAAAAGACAACAAAAAUAGUGCUCUCUGUGUAAAUUAAAACCAGGAGUAGUAUAUGAGAAAUUUGUACCCACAUUUGACUGAGCAGACAUAAAGCUCGUUGGAUAAGGCGUGAGUGGUAUAAUCCCCACCUUGGAUUUCUUUGGUAAGGUCCUCACUGGAAAAAUAAAACUUGGUGCCAGGCAAUAAAAUAUAAUUGAAAACAAUAAUAACAGAAAGUGGCACACUCACAAUAUAUAAGAAGACAAAAUCACUUUAUUAAAAUAGUUAAAAUAGAUCCACAACGCGUUUCACCAACACAGGGCUUUAUCAAGUUUUUGUCUCCACUUGAUUGUGCAAUUCCUGCACAAUGAGCACAUUCAUGUUUGAAUUUGAAUGUAUUCAGUCAUUUACACUGCUUCUUAUUAAAUGAUCAAUAUAUUCCAUGUUUCAACACAUUUCCACCUGGGGAUAACUUAAUUAAUCUUUUGGGACAAUAUCAGAUUAAGUCAUAAACCUCUUUCAUGCCCAAUUUUAAGUUUAAGUGCACUAUUAAUUUCUGGUAAAACAGGUCAUCAUAGGAAAACCAACCCAAAUUUCCAAAAUCUUUGCAUGCUUCCAAAAAAAUAUCCCAAUGCUGAAAUAUGCCACUGCAUUUUUUACUGUUUCUCACCAAAAAAACUGCAAACAUGCAAAAAGUAUGAAUCUAGUUGUUGAAGGAUUUAAGUAUGGACCUACGUCUAUUCUCCUCUUUCUCCAUUUUAGAUAAGCAGAAGGACGGAGUGAUAAAAUAUCUAAAUAUUUGCCUUGCCACUCUUCUCCCCAACCUGUUGGAGCAGUUUGUCCAUGCUUCAACAAAGACUUGGAAGUGGCUAGUGGCAGUGAUUACAGUGAAAUGCUUAAACUCUUAUAUCAAAAGGUCCGCUUCUAAGAUAAUCAACACAGUCACGUCAACUGCGCAAUGCACCUCUUUAUAUAGCACAAAUUUGAGCUGUUUUAGUACUGUGGUAACUCCAAUCAGCUCAUAUACUUCAACGUUCCACAGGGCAAACCACUAACCCAAGUCCAAUCAAAAGUCUCUAGAUUACUUUAACCCCUUAAGGACCAAACUUCUGGAAUAAAAGGGAAUCAUGACAUGUCAGACAUGUCAUGUGUCCUUAAGGGGUUAAAGGUUUUAUCAGCAACCUGCCAAAAAAAGGCUGCACUUAACCCCUACACUGCCUAACUGCAAAUCUUCAUAACAUGCUCACUGGAAUUAUAGCCCAGGGCAAUUUAUUAUAUUAUAAUGCUGUAGAAAGUAUUGGAUCCAUAAAAUGUACAAAUAAACAAUUUUAAGCUAAAUCAAAACUAGAUACAUUCAGUAGGAUGUACUUCUUCAAGUUGCCAAUCGCUUGCUUUUUGUAAGAGAUCACUAAUAAUUAGUACUAUUUGCCCGCAGGCAGAGUCCACUGGCAAAUAGUGAAAAAGCCAGCAGGCAAGUUCUAAACAGCCAGACUCAGAUUUCAGCUGUCUAGCAGCAUUUGAUCCAGCUGAAAUCUGUGCAAAAUUCUGGCUUGUGUAGAGCAAGAAUUGCAAAAUCGGUAAAUAAUGUUAAAGAUGUGCAUAUUUUGCUCUUUGAAUGACCUUUACCUUAUUAGUUACAGGUUCAUGCUUGUUUUAUUUUCUGUGGAUUUGUAUGAAAUAUACUUGCAAUUUAGAUAAUAUAGAUAGAGAGAUAUACUUCAUUUUGUAAUUUGUUUAUUUUAUAUUUUUAGACAUUUAACCUAACCAGCGCAGGCAAUCAGAAGUCUACAAAUGAGCCUCUGAAAGCCAAAAUUGAAUCAGUGGUCAGACCGUUGUUUUUUAAUUUUAAAUAUUAUACUUUGAAUGAUAUUUCAAAAUUAUUCUGAAUUUGAAUUUCUAUUUCUAGUCUGUGAAUUUGAUCAUGAAUUGGCUUUUGCUAACAUCUGAUUGACUAUUAUGAAUCCAGACCUUAAUAACAGGAUAUUUGUGGAUUUUGGUGAAUGGUAUGUAGCUUGAAAUUAACAAAUUAAAUAAGCUAAAGCUAAGCACUGCAGAGGUUUACAAACUACAUUUAUCCAGAUGUUUCACCAUGCAGAUAUCCACAUAUGCGGAUGACACGCAAAUCUGUAUGUACUCUUCUUAUAUCUCCCCGCCCCUCUUGACUCGUGUCUCUGACUGCCUCUCUACUAUUUCUAACUGGAUGGCUGCCCACUUCCUUAAGCUCAACUUGUCCAAAACAGAACUUCUGGUCUUUCCUCCCUGAAGUGUUGCUACUCCCGUUUCUGUCUCCCUUUGCAUUAAUGACGCUACCAUCAGCUCCUCCAUGCAGGCUUGCUUCCUAGGUGUUCUCUUUGACGCCAACCUCUCCUUCGCCCCUCAUGUCCCGUCGAUCACCAAAUCCUGCCCCUUCCACUUCAAAAACAUUGCGCACAUCCGCCCCUACUUAACUCCAGAUGCGGCUUAGGUGCAGGUCCAUGCUACUGUCCUCUCUGGCCUUGACUACUGCAAUCCACUUCUCCAUGGUCUUACGUGCUCCCAACUUGCCCCGUUACUGUCUAUAAUGAAUGCAGCGUCAAGGCUCAUCUUCCUGUCCGCCCGCACAUCCCACAGCUAACACCUCUGUUGCCUGCAUUGGCUUCCAGUAAGAUAUAGGGCUCAAUUUAAAAAUCUGGUUCUUGCUUUUAAAUCUCUACAUAAUACAACUCCCACCUAUCCAUCCUCCCUAAUACACAAGUAUCUCAUUGAGCAGGGCCCUCAACCCCUCUGUUCAUGUGCGUCAAACUCUGGUUACAGUUAUAUGUUUGUUAGUCCACCCAUUGUAAAGUGCUAUGGAAUUUGUUGGCACUAUACAAUAAUAAUAAUAAUAAUAAUAAUAAUCAUUGGUUUAAGGUCAACUUAUCAAUUAGUUAGGUGACUUAUACUAUGUAUCACCCAGCAUCGAGCAUUAUUUUAGCCCUGCUUGAUUCUCACCAGCAUACGCCGGGUGAAUUUAGACUAUGACUAUUAUUAUGCCGUAACACGUAUAUUAACUCUCAUUGUCUUUCUCAUUGUCUCACUAUCUCAUCUCAUUAAGUCCACUGUCAUUGGGGCUUCUUUGCAGCUCGGGAUGUCAGCACUGAGUGGCAGCAGUAGUUACUAACAUGCAUUAUGCUUUACUGGAAUGUCAGAAGAUAGAAAUACUAAUUAAUAAAGUUUGUUUCUAGGGAAAAGAAAAAAAAAAUUGUGUUUUUUUUGCAGAGGUUAAAAUCUUUCUGUUCUUGCAGAAGGCUGGAUUUGUUUCUGAAAAACAACAUUUACUGCAGAGUUUGCUAGAUAUUUCUUGUGUCAAGAGGAUCCGGUAUGAGUUUUGAGACAAAAUAUGAGUCUACUGGUUUGGAAACAAACUGAUAAAAAAAAAAAAAAAGAAAGAAAUCAAAUUCAAAGAGUAAACAAAAAAUAUGUUGUUCUCCUCAGAAAAUGUCAACAACAUGAUUCAUUCUAGAGAUCUGUCUAAUGCUACUCUCUUUGUCAGACUACCCACUCUUUUAAAAAUAUAGUAGCCAUAUCUGUCUAUAUUCUUCCUGUCUUGCAUGGAUUAUAUUUCCUACAACACCCUUCCAUAUUUUAGUUAGAAGAUAGUUCUGGGAAAUUAUAAUGCAACAACUUCUCUAGUACCAAGUUUGGACACCUAUGCUCUGGGAUCUGAUUUAGAAGUAAUUUCUGCUAAUUGUAGACUCUUCAUCAACCAGUCAUCAUCAUCUUCCUCUACAUUUAGACCAUUAAUGCUGCAGCACUAAUUUUAGAAACUGCAUCUGGCAUUGCCUAGUUCUGCCAUCAAUGGGGAUUCCCUAAAUGAUACAGUGAAGGAGCAUGUCCUUAUAGUGGGCAAGAUAGUCCUUAAAACAGGCAAACUAAAUAUGUACAAGCAGACAGACAGUAAAUAAGAGACAGGCCGAAGUCUAGAAUAACACAGAUAUACAGAAUCGAUAGUCAAGCCAAGGUCAGGAUAACAGAGAGCAAGAGUGGUCAAACAAGCCGAGGUCAAAGAAUAGUAAAUAGAGCGUGGAGUAGGUAGCAUCUUCUAGAAUGAGUAUAAAGAUGAUGUUGCAAUAGGAUCGGUCUGCCAAGUCUGCUAUUUUGACUGUUCAAGCCUUCCACUUUAUAUUAUAACUUCAUAUCUGAAGAAGGCUAUUAAGGCAGUUGAAGAUGAGUUCUACAGUAUUAUAAUUUAAAUGAAGUGCAAAUAAAAAGAAGUAAAGAAGUGCUUGAAACUGGAGGAUAAAAUGGCAGCUGUGAGUAGGUCUUUGAGGAGGUGAAUGAUAAUGUGGUGUUCUAAAUUAUAAGAAUGUCUGCAAUUUCAGGUACAUUACUCAAGUCUGGGAAUCUAUGGCUCGAUGCUCGUUAGGUCUUCUCUUGUCUUACUGGAAAAAUAAAGAUACAUGCCGAUAGCUGGUACUACAAGAAUUAGAUGUGACUUCUCUUUUACGGAUUACUGGGGAUUUACAGGCUGUGCCUCGGUGCACUCUGAAAUGACGUCUUCUCAUUGCAGCAAACCACCUCCUGUGUAUGUGCUUUAAUCUGUCACUUUACAUUAGUAAGGUCAAUGUCUUUUCACUGGAACAAUAUGUAUUUAUAGCCAUAUUGUUGCAUUGUGUCAAUAUGUUAUUGACAUUUAUUGAUAUUUGCAUAAUAAAUGCAUUCAUUGAGUACGUAUUGUACUAAUUAAUAUCUCGAUGUAGAUGAGUGAAAGUGCCUGCAUAAUGGUAAAAUGAAGCAGAGUCAGAAGAAGAGCAUUAACAAAUCUGCUUUGUUUUAAAUCUUCAAAAGGAUGCUAGAACUAAUCAUAUAUUAUUUUAUUUUUUAUAUAAAUCCUGUUGUCAAUAUUUUGUGUUUGGGGUUUCAGUUGUAUCCCAGCCUAGUCAGCUAGUUUGAUGAUGCAGAGGGAUCUGGAGCAAUGACACAGGUAUUCUUCCAAUGCAUAGCAGAUAGUGAGGUGCUUGACGCUAUUCUCCUAAUUUACUUAGGCCCCUACCACCCCCCAAACACCCCAAUUGCUGUUGCUAAAAAUACAGCCAUAGAAUAUAGGGCAAUGCACAGACCUGUCUUUUAGGGUUCUUGGAUAUGACAGCCCACACGUAAAGCCAAUAGGUGAUAUCAAAAAACUUGUUUACUAUAGAGACUAAGUAUACAUAAGGGACUUAGAACCUGAAAAUUAGUUGUUUUUAAAAUUAAUCCCCAAAUCAUCACACAAGUCAUAGUUAAUUAGCCUAAGGAGGAACCUAUAGAACAAAUCACGCCAGUCACAACGUGCUUUUUCUAAUGCAUGCAUAUUAUUAGUCCUUAGCAUGCUAGAAGAGUUGUUUUUUUUUUUUUGUGUUUUUUUUUGUACCAGAUAUUUAGGGUACAAAUGGACCAGCCUCACUGGAGCAUAGAUAAUUAAAUUCAUACCAUGAUUUAUGCUAUUAUAACACCAAAUCUGUGCUUUGAAAUGAGGCAAGGCAGACCAUUGACAUUGAAAUAUCAAUAAGCAUCCCAUCCCAAGCAACUCCUCUUUUCCCUUUUCACUGACCAUCAAAGAUUUCCAAUCAAUGAAAAAUGUUUCAGCUUUGACAUGGAUGGGAGAAAAUGAUAACCCACCUCUAAUCAAAAAUAAAUUAAAAAGCUAAUAACUAUCACUAUAUUGAUGUAUUAUAAUCAUAACAUCUCUUUCCAUGACUAAAAUUCACAUUUUCCACUGUAGGCAAACCUAAAUUGAUUUCACAAAGUAGAAAAAAAGAGGCUAAAGAAGAGUUGGUUUGGAUUUAACAUGCAGCUUCUGUGGGAUUAAAAUGAACACAAUGAACAGAAGAAUGGAUAAGGUAAAGGUAAAAGCUAAAAGGUGUGAUGGGCAAAAAGAAGGCAAUAUUAAAUGCGCAAGUCAGGGUCAUAGAGGAAAACUGACAAUCAUCAAUGUCUCAUCAUACCAAAAGCAAUAUUCUUGUUUUAAUAUUUUUGUAAAUGCUUUUCAAAUGUCAGGAAAAUGUUUACAAUGAUUUAUCUACAGAAGUCACCAUUAAAGGGAAACUAUAAUGCAAUGAAAGCAAAGUUGGUUUCCUGGUACUAUAGCUACCUAUAGUGCUCUCCUCUGUUGCAGAAGGGGUUAAAAAUGUAAUAGUCACUUACCUGAUUCCAGCGCUGAUGUCUCUUGGUGCUGUUUCAGGCUCCCCCUCUGCUCCUCCACCGCCGAUGUCAGCCUGGCAGGGGAGACCUAAUGCGCAUGCAUGGCAAAGCUUUUCUAUGGGUUUUCGGGUGACUCUGGAUGUCCUCAUAUGUGCAUAGCAUGAGGCCGUCGAGCGUCAGCCGACCAAAAGUCACCUAACAAUCUGGAAGUCCCUCUAGUGGCUGUCUGGAAGACAGCCACGAAAGGCAGCGUUAACCCUCAAAGGUAAUUAGAGCACUUUAUUAAAAACUGCAAUAAUUACCUUUGCAAGGUUAAAAGACUUCAAUGAGUCUAAAUGGUCUGGGUGCCUAUAGUGUCCCUUUAAAGUCUACAAUAUUUUUUGUGGAUGAAUCAUUUGAUACGUUUUUCUAACAGAUUGUGAUCAUUUGAAAAGUUUAUACAAAAAUAUUAAACUGAAGCCAUUGUUUGGAAAUACUUUAAGAAAGGGCUGCCCAGGUAAUUGUGCUGCAUACUGACAAGGAACAUGCCCCAUAAGGAUACAGAAGAAAAGCAGCAGGGUGCAUGUUUGCUCCAUUGGAGCAAACAUAAAUCAGAGGAACAGGAAAGUGGCCACAUAGAAAAAUGUUUUGUGAAACAAAAAUGAAGAGGUGAAGUAAAAUGAAGAUGUGGAUGGCCCAUUCAGUGUUACACAAUCUCAUUUAUCCCAUAAUGUUAGCACACAGAACAACAAAUUUCUCUUCUGGAGUUUUACAAACUGAUUCAUGAAAACUCCACAUUUAUGUUGAAUAACCAACAAUAUAUUUUGCUUCUCCCUAGUAAUUUGUUACAGUAAAUAUGAAAUAUUACAGUGAUUUUCCAUAAUAAACAUGUGUUCAUUAAAGGUGUACUCCGAGUAUCAUAACCACUACAACCCACUGUAGGAGCCUUGCACCAUUUCCAGGGUUAACAGGCAAACCAUUUUGCAACCUGGAUUUGAGCCUCCUCUAAUGUCACCAUGGUCACAACCAGCUUCUACAGAGAUGGAGAAUACAGUUCUACCAGUCAUUCUUUAGCUAAGAGCAUCAGCUGAGUGCUCUCAGCCAGUGAAUGACCCUCAGUGCAAAGAAAUUGCACAGAAUUGACAUUGGCCAAAACAGAAUUCUUGUUCUGUGCUGGCUAAUGAUAUUAACUGAGAUAGCGUUACACUUCUUGCAGCAAUAUAAAAUAUAUCAUACUUAUAAGCAGCAUACACAGAGUCCUUGUACCAUGACAAAUUCAAAACACUGAAGUGGUCAUGUUGUUUGCAAUAAAUGCUACUUAAUGAUACAUUAUAAUGAAUGCACGCAUUUAAUCCUAACAAAAAUCAUAAGAAUGUCAUGUUUACCCUGAAAGGGUCAUAUUCUUAGUCCGUUAGUGUAAUCAUUUUGAGGUAAGAAUGCAGUGCAUUAGCUUUUACCUGGCACUCCCAAUGUUAAAGAACUCCACAUGGGCACAUGAAGUGGUUAAAUCAGUGUUAUGCCAUACAACAAAAUUCUCUGCAUUUUUCAGACAAGAGCGAAAAUUAACUAUAAUAGACUUUGAGUUUUCUCAUGCAUUAUAAUUAUCUACAAAUGAGCUUCUCUGAGCAGCAGCAAACAAAAAUGCUCUAAGCACAGAUAAUAAUAUAAAAACAAUAGAAAGGAGGGGGAUUUUAUAGUGUUUUGCAACAAGACAAUCUCUAGCGAAUGGUGCCAUUGCAUAAUUUUAUCAGAUCAUUCCCACUGUGUAUAUUCCUGGUAUAAACAUGUUGAUCUUAGUAGUUUAAUACAGGACACCUUCUACUAAAUAAACAGAGAAUUAUAUUGAAAGAAAAACCAACAAUAAAAAAAACUACUGGCAUCAUUUAGUAGCCAUUUCCAGACAGAUCAUUACAUUUAAAAGGCUUUUCAUUCAUUUACGGCUAACAAUUGGUGUAUACAUUGAAGUAAACAAACCAGACAAAAGAAGGGGGAUGGGAUCCAUAGACUGAGCAUGGAAAGCAACCUGAAUAUAUUUGUUUUUUACAGGCACCCUUAACCCCUUAAGGACAGAGCCAAAUGUACACAUUGUGAACAAAACAAAAUGUAAACAAAACCUGGCAUUUGCGCUACAUGUCUGUCCAACCGUAAUACACCUCUUUCAUAGUGAAUGCACCCACCCUUAUUAUAUAUCAUUUUAUUCAGGGGAAACAGGGCUUUCAUUUAAUAUCAAAUAUUUAGCUUUGAAACAUAAUUUAAUAUGAAAAAAAAUGGGAGAAAAUACGUUUUUUUUGGAUUUUUUUAGUUCUACAUGACAUUUUAACGGUCAAUGUCAUAAUACUGUUUGCUUUUACUGCAAUAAAAUACACAUAUUUAUAUUCAGUAAAGUCUCACGUGUAAGACAGUACCCCCUAUGUACAGGUUUUAUGGCGUUUUGGGAAGUUAUAGGGUCAAAUAUAGCACGUUACAUUUGAAAUUGAAAUUUGCCAGAUUGGUUACGUUGCCUUUGAGACUGUAUAGUAGCCCGGGAAUGAAAUUUACACCCAUAAUGGCAUACCAUUUGCAAUAGUAGACAACCCAAGGUAUUGCAAAUGGGGUAUGUCCAGUCUUUUUUAGUAGCCAUUUGGUCACAAACACUGGCCAAAGUUAGCGUUAGUAUUUGUUUGUGUGUGAAAAAUGCAAAAAAGCCAAUUUUGGCCAGUGUUUGUGACUAAGUGGCUACUAAAAAAGACUGGACAUACCCUGUUUGCAAUACCUUGGGUUGUCUACUAUUGCAAAUGGUAUGCCAUCAUAGGGGUAAUUUUCAUUCUUGGGCUACCAUAGGGUCUCAAAGGCAACGUAACCAAUCUGGCGAAUUUUAAUGUGAAAAAAAUGAAACGCAAGCCUUAUAUUUGACGCUGUAACUUUUGAAAACACCAUAAAACCUGUACAUGAGGGGUACUGUUGUACUCGGGAGACUUCGCUGAACACAAAUAUUUGUGUUUCAAAACAGUAAAAAGUAUCACAGCAAUAAUAUUGUCCGUGUAAUGCUGUUUGUGCGUGAAAAAUGCAAAAAACGUCACUUUUACUGGCGAUAUCAUCGUUGUAAUACAUUUUACUGUUUUGAAACACUAAUAUUUGUGUUCAGCGAAGUCUCCCGAGUAGAACAGUACCCCCCAUGUACAGGUUUUAUGGUGUCUUGGAAAGUUAUAGGGUUAAAUAUAGUGCUAGCAAAUUAAAUUCCCUUUACUUUCGGCAUGGGUUGUCAGGCAGGUCCCGCUAAUUGUAAUUAAUUAAGAUACCUAAUUAUGUAAAAAUAUUACAUAAAUAUAUAUGUAGAAUUAAUAUAUGUAUAUAUAUACGUAUGUGUAUAUAUAUGUAUAUAUCUAUAUAAUUUUUUUUAAAUAUUUUUAUUUAUAUAUAGGUAUAUAUAUAGUGAUAUAUAUGUAUAUAUUUAUGUAUAUAGAUAUAUAUAUUAUUUCGUUCUACGUGUAUUUUGAUAUAUAUAUAUAUAUAUAUAUUAAUUUCACAAAACAGUUAGAACGAAAUAACACACAUCUAUAUAUUUUUUAAUUAUUUAUUUUUAAUUAUUUUUUUAAUUUUAUUUUUUAACGUAUUUACAUUUUAAUUUUUUUUAUAUUAUAUAUAAAUAUAUAUAUAACAAUAAUUAUAUAUAUAUUUAAUCAGUAUCAGUCUACGUGUAAUUUGAUAUUAAUAUAUAUAUAUAAUUAUAUAUAUAUUAAUAGUAAAAUACACCUAGACGGUGUAUGUGUGUGUAUGUAUAUGUGUAUAUAUAUACUUAGAUCAUAUAUAUAUAAUAUAUACAUAUGAUCUAAGUAUAUAUUAUUAUUUUUUUACACCAAUAAAUUUAAUUUUAAUUUUAUUUCCAGCCAGCAGGGGGACCACCUGUCAUUACAGGCAGCCCCCCUGCUGGCAAUGCAGGAGGCAGCCUACCCGGCCAUGUGAUUGUGGGGACCUCGCUAGGACCCCACUCUCACAUGGCCGGGGAGCACCGGAGGAGAAGGAUCUGCCGUGGGGGGGCUCCCUGGGAGUCCCCCCCACCGCGAUCGCCGGCGUGGGACUGCCGGCAACCGGGUAAGUUAACAAAAACCGGAGGGCGUACAAUUACGCCCGGCGGCGUUUAGAGCCGCCUAUAAUAGGGCGUAAUUGUACGUCCUCUGGUUUUAAGGGGUUAAGGACGGAGCCAAAUGUACACGGUGUGAACAAAACAAAACGUAAACAAAACCUGGCAUUUGAGCUACAUGUCUGUCCAAUCGUAAUUCACCUCUUUCAUAUUAAAUGCACCCACCCUUAUUAUAUAUCAUUUUAUUCAGGGGAAACAGGGCUUUCAUUUGAUAUCAAAUAUUUAGCUAUGAAACAUAAUUUAAUAUGAAAUAAAUGGGAGACAAUAAGACAUUUUGCUAUUCUUUUUAGUUCUACAUGACAUUUUAACUGUCAAUGUCAUAAUACUGUUUGCUUUUACUGCAAUAAAAUACACAUAUUUGUAUUCAGCAAAGUCUCACGUGUAAAACAGUACCCCCUAUGUACAGGUUUUAUGGUGUUUUGGGAAGUUACAGGGUCAAAUAUAGCAUGUUACAUUUGAAAUUGAAAUUUGCCAGAUUGGUUACGUUGCCUUUGAGACUGUAUAGUAGCCCAGGAAUUAAAUUUACACCCAUAAUGGCCUACCAUUUGCAAUAGUAGACAACCCAAGGUAUUGCAAAUGGGGUAUGUUCAGUCUUUUUUAGUAGCCAUUUGGUCACAAACACUGUCACUGUCCUGAUGAAAGCUCCCCAGUGGAGCUGAAACGUCGAAUUUUUCUUCCGCAAUAAAUGGAGAAGUUAUCUUCUGGAAAACCUUGUGUGCCGGUAUUUUCACUUUGUUUAUGAUUAAGCCACCAGAGCACCAGGCACUAUUUUUAUUUCUCUGGUUGGAGUGCAGGGGUAUUUUGUAUUUUUAUAUAUAUAUAUAUAUAUAUAUAUAUUUUUUUUUUAAUAGUAAAAUACACCUAGACAGUGUAUGAGUGUGUAUAUAUAUGUGUAUAUAUACAUAUACUAUAUAUAUGAUCUAAGUAUAUAUAAAAAAAUUACACUGAUUUUAACAUUAUUUUAUUUUGAUUAUCAGCAGGGGGACUAACUGUCAUUACAGGCAAUGCAGCAGCCAGCUAAUCCGGCCAUAUGUUUGUGAGGUCCUCGCAAGGACCUCACUCUCACAUGGCCGGGGGGGGGGAAUGCGGAGGAGGCAGGAUCUGCCACGGGGGACUCCCUAGGAUCCCAGGUGAGUCUCCCCAACUGGGUAAGUAAGAAAAACCGGAGGGCGUACUAUUACGCCCUGCGGCAUUUAGAGCCGCUUAGUAUAGGGCGUAAUAGUACGCCCUCCGAUUUUAAGGGGUUAAACAUUUGUUAUAAGUGUUUUGUCUUCUGCUUGGUUAAUAUUUCAGACUGUGUGUUCAGUGAUGGUAGCCCAUUCAUGCUAUGCUAUGUAUAGGGAUACAUUUUGCACAAUACUGUGUCCAUUUUCUGGCUGGUAUAACCAGGCGUAACUAGAAAAUAACAGGUCCUGGUGCAAAAUAUUCAUCCCCCCCCAACUUCUCCAUGUAUCUCAUUCUUCCUCAUCUCCUCCAUGUGUCACAUUCUCCCCUCCCCAUAUUCUUCCCCCAUGUGUCUACUUCCCCCCCAGCCCCUCCAUUUGUCUUCUUUCUUUCCUCCCUCCCUCCCAGCCUUUCAUGUGUCUCAUACACCCAGCACAUUCAUGUGUCUCCUUUCCCCCAGUCCCUCCAUGUGUCUCUUUUCCUCCCCAGCUCCUCAAUGUGUCUCCUUUCCUCCCCCAGCACCUCCAUGUGUCUCCUCCCUUCUCCAUGUGUCUCUCCCCCAUCCCCUUCCACUUCAUGUAGGCUGACUGAGCGGACCACGAUACACGGUCCGAAAGGAAGUGCUCAUACAUACAGAGACUGGCAUUAGGGGAGCACUGUGCCUGUAGUUAACUAAACCCCUGUUAUUUUUUGCCUAGUUGAGGGUUUUAAAAAAACAAACAAAAAACUAUUACAUUCUGUGAGACUUGAACUUUCUGUUUAGUAAAUAAGUGAGUGCGGUGGAUCUUGUAUGUUGUUUAAAAUGGCCCAGCAGCCCCCUAUAAUGUAUUCAAGUUGAGGUGAGUGCAGCCUCUUGGUUUCAUAUAUAUGUUUGGGAGUCCAUGCCAACUCCCCUGUUUUGCACCUCUCCCUGUCACAGGUGCUGCAUUCACAUGCCCUAUUUAACUUUGAGCUACAGAGAGUCCCAAAAGGAAGAAUGUCCCUAGUAAGUGGAUUAGGUGUUGGUAGGACCUGCCAAGAAUAGGGUGCAUUGAUCUUGUGGCAGGCUUAUGCAAUGUAUGAUCAUAUACUGUAAUUAAAUCACCAUUUUUUUUUCCUACGCGAGUUGUUUUUAAAUAAAACUAUUACAUUCUGUGAGACUUAAAAUAUACGUUUAGUGAAUGAGCAAAUGCGCUGGAUCUUGUAUGUUGUAUGAAUUGGCCCCAGAAGCACCCUAUAACCCUGUACUGUAUGCAUGUUCAGAUGAGUGUAGCCUCUUGGUUUUACAUAUAAAACCAAGAGUGUAGCCUCUUGGUUUUAUAUAUAUCAAAAAAAAUAAAAAAUAAAAAAAAAAUAUAUAUAUAUAUAUAUAUAUAUAUAUAUAUAUAUAUAUAUAUAUACACACACACAGGUGAUACUCGAAAAAUUAGAAUAUCGCGCAAAAGUUUAUUUAUUUCAGUUAUAAACCCCAAAUCCACAAUCUCAGUAAAGUAGAAUAUUACAUGCAAUCAAUAAAACAAGGAGUGUACAUAGAACAAUAUCGGACCUCUGAAAAGUAUAAGCAUGCAUAUGGACUCAGUACUUGGUUUGGGCCCUUUUUGCAGCAAUUACUGCCUCAAUGCGGCGUGGCAUGGAAGCUAUCAGCCUGUGGCACUGCUGAGGUGCUAUGGAAGACCAGGAAGCUUCAAUAGUGGCCUUCAGCUCUUCUGCAUUGUUCGGUCUCAUGUCUCUCAUCUUUCUCUUGGCAAUGACCCAUAGAUUCUCUAUGGGGUUCAGGUCAGGCAAUUUUGCUUGCCAAUCAAGCACAGUAAUCCCACGGUCAUUGAACCAGGCUUUGGUGCUUUUGGCAGUGUGGGCAGGUGCCAAGUCCUGCUGGAAAAUGAAGUCAGCAGCCCCAAGCUCGUCUGCGAUAGGAAGCAUGAAGUGCUCUAAAAUCUCCUGAUAGACGUCUGUGUUGACCCUGGACUUAAUAAAGCACAGUGGACCAACACCAGCAGAUAACAUGGCUCCCCAAAUCAACACAGACUGUGGAAACUUCACACUGGACUUCAAGCAUCUUGCGGUGUGUGCUUCUCCAUUCUUCCUCCAGACUCUGGGUUCUUGGUUUCCAAAUGAGAUGCAAAAGUUGCUCUCAUCAGAAAAGAGGACUUUGGACCACUGAGCAACAGACCAGGUCUGUUUUUCUUUAGCCCAGGUAAGAUGCUUCUGCCAUUGUUUGUUGUUCAGGAGCGGCUUAACAAGAGGAAUACGACAUCUGAAGCCCAUGUGCAGUAUCCGUCUGUGUGUGGUGGCUCUUGAUGGACUGACUCCAGCCUCAGUCCACUCCUUGUGAAAGUCCCCAACACAUUUGAAUGGCCUUUUCCUGACAAUCCUCUCCAGGCUGCGGUCAUCCCUGCUGCUUGUGCACCUUUUUCUUCCACACUUUUCCCUUCCACAUAACUUUCUAUUAAUGUGCUUUGAUACAGCACUUUGGGAACAUCCAACUUCCUUCGCAAUUACCUUUUGAGGCUUUCCUUCUUUAUGGAGGGUGUCAAUGAUGGUUUUCUGCACAACUGUCAGGUCAGCAGUCUUCCCCAGGAUUGUGAUUCCUACUGAACCAGACCGAGAGACCAUUUGAAGGCUCAGAAACCCUUUGCAGGUCUUACUUAGCUGAUUAGAGUGGGACACUGUGAUCCUAGAAUAUUGCACCUUUUCACAAUAUUCUAAGUUACUGAGAUUGUGGAUUUGGGGUUUUCAUGAGCUGUAAGCCAUAAUCAUCGAACUUAUGACAAAUCGCAGCUUGUACUAUCUUGCUUUGCAUGUAAAGUGUCUAUCUCAUAUAUUAGUUUCCCCUUUUACGUUGCAUUACUGAAAUAAAUGAUUUGUACAUAAUUAUGUGAUUUUAUUCAUUAUAAUUUUUAAAUUUGAGGGACCUGUCUGACAACCCAGACAGAAAGUUCAGGGAAUUUAACAUGCAAGCCCUAUAUUUGGCCCUGUAUUUUUCCAAAACUCCAUACAAUCUGUACAUGGGAGUACUGUUCUGAUCAUGAGAUGUAGCUGAAAAGAAAUAUGAGUCUUUUGAGCAGUAACAUGUAUAAUGCCGUGAAAGGGUAGUUUUCAUUGGUGAAAGGGUAGUUUUCUUGAAAAAUGCAAAAAAAACAAACUAAUAUGAACACUAAAUUUGGCCAGGGUUUGUGACUAAAUGGCUAGACUAGACAUAUCAAAUUUUGAAUAACCUGAGUUAUCUAUUUUCGCAAAUGAUAUGCUAUGAUGAGGCUGAUUUUUAUUCAUGCGCUGACAUACGGCAACAAAAGAAUAACAAACCAAUCUGGCAAAUUUUAUUCAAUGUAAAACCAGAAAUGGGGAAAUAUUUUCUCUUCUGUGUGUGAUUUGAAAGCUCUUAUAACUUGCUUAGCCUCUUUCUGACUAAUCUUAUAGAUCUGUCUGUCUUCCUCACUCUGUUUUUUUUUUAUAAUUACUAAAUGCUAACUUAAAUGUUUUACUAUUUUGGCCACAUCUGCGAAGUACCGCAGUGGUUUCUUAAUUUGUUUUGCUUUUACUGACAAGCCUAAUGCAAUUUUCUGUUGCCUUCAGCAGUGCAACUUUUAAAUAAUACCAUUUCUCUUGCACUCCAUUUAAAUUGCUCCAAUCUGAUAAUGACUCCUUUACACAUAUUCUAAUUUCAGAAUAGUCUGUUUUUCUAAAGUCUAAAACUUUUGUUUUUGUGUGGUGUGACUCAGUCACUGUUCCUAUAUUAAACUACACUGACUGAUGAUCACUGGAUCCUAAACUUUCACCUACAGUAAUAUCUGAUACCAAAUCUCCAUUUGUUAACACUAAAUCUAGUAUGGCCUCUUUACGAGUUGGCUCUUCAACAACUUGUUUUAGAGACAAUCCCAGUAGGGAGUUUAGAAUAUGUGUGCUCCUGGCACAAGUAGCUAAUUUUGUUUUCCAAUUCACAUCAGGAAGAUUAAAGUCACCCAUGAUGAUAACUUCCCCCUUCAUUGUCAUUUAGCUAUUUCCUCAACCAGUAGAUUAUCUAACUCUUCAAUUUGUCCUGGGGGCCUAUAAAUCACACCUACACUAGUUACUGUGUGAUUACCAAAUUCUAACGUAACCCAAACGGACUUUAUGUUCGCCUCACUAACUUUUAUUAGGCUAGAUUUUAUGCUAUCCUUCACAUACAGGGCCACCCCUCCCCCUUUCCUGCCUCCCCUGUCUUUUCUAUAUAAAGAGUACCCUGGUAUUGCUAUGUCCCAGUCAUUUUUCUCAUUAUACCAUGUCUCAGUAACAGCGACUAAAUCUGCACUAUCAGUUGCCAUUAUUGCCACAAGUUCAUGGAUCUUAUUCCCUAAACUGCGAGCAUUUGUAGACAUGACUCUAAGCUUAUCAUUUUUUAACACACUUGCUACAGGCACCUUCUGUCUUUGUUUUGGGGGACAAUUGAAUUGAUGUUUUAUCACCCUUUUGCCCCCCCCCCCUCCUAGUUUAAAUACAUCCUAGCAAAACCUCUGAACUGCUCACUGAGAAAAUUUGUUCCCUUUUGAAAAAGAUGCAAACCAUCUCUUUUGUACAGGUUAUUUCCAUUCCAAACAGAGCUACCAUGAAAUAAAGCCAAAUCCUUGCUCCCAACACCAUUCACCAAGCCACAAAUUAAAGUCCCUAAUACGCAUCCGCCUGUCGUUCUGAGUGUUAUGCACAGGCAGAACUUCAGAGAAUGACAGUGUGGAAGCAACCUGCCGUAUAUCAUUGGCAAAAACACUAAAAACUUCCUUAACCUCUGAAACCUCAUUGCAAGCCAAGUCAUUUGUCCCUAGAUGGACAAGUACAUCCAAUUCCCCUUCCUGCUUUGCUUGCUUAACAAUAUUACAGAUACGUCUCCUGUCUCUGUGAGCAGUAGCUCUGGGAAGACACCUCACAAGACCACCAUUGUCCAUCUCCACACCUCUUAUGAUGGAAUCCCCCAACAACAACUGCUUUCUAUUAGGCCUCACCAUAGUCUUUACAAUUACUUCCCUUUGCAGUUUCGCACUUUUGUUGCAGGUGUGAAUGUUCUGUUCAAUUGGUUUGAACAUUCUAAUGGGGCACCGGGGUGGUCCCCUGUUCAGGAGACGAAAAGGUUCUGUUCAUAUGAAUGCUCACGAAUGGGGAACAGGGCAUAAUACAUGAAAAGCUAGGGGAAACACUUUGGAUUUAGCUGCAAUAAGGUCAUUAGUAACUUUGAUAAGAGCAGUCUCAGAGCAGUCUCAGAGUGGAGAGGGCGGAAGCCAGACUGAAGAGGGUCAAGGAGAGAGUUGGAAUUGAGGAUGUGAAACACAUGGGUAAAGACAAGUCUUUCCAGAAGCUUUGAGGAAAAAGGGAGCAGGGAUAUAGGGACGAUAGUUAGAAGGGGAGGAUGGGUCAAGAGAUGUUUUUUUCAGGAUAGGUACUACAGUGGCAUGUUUAAGAUCAGCAGGGACAAUGCCAGAAGAGAGAGAGCAGUUGCAGAUGUGUUAGGGAAGGCACAAGACAAGGGGAGAGAGAUCUGGUGAGGUGGGAUGGGACAGGAUCGAGCGGGCAAGUGGUGGGUCGAAAGGAGAAGCGCAGCCACCUCUUGUUCAGUUGCUGGGGAGAAAGUCUGAAGGGUAGGAAAGGCAUAAUCCAGGUGUGGUUGAGAAAGGGGCAAGGUGGGGAGAAUUCUUUCCUUCUGUUCAAUCUUGUCGGUAACGUAGCAUGCAAAGCUAUAGGCUGUAAGGAUAGUUUGGGGGGUGGCAACAGCAGGGCGGAGAAGAGAGUUAAAGGUGUCAAAGAGAUGCCUGGGAUUGUUGGAGCUUGAACUAAUGAGAGAGGAAAAGUAUGACUGUUUGGCGAGGGCAAGGGCUGCACUGUAUGAACACAAUGUGAAUCUAUAAUGAAGAUAGUCUGCCUGGGUGUGGGACUUCCUCCAGGAAAUUCAGCACAAUGGGAGCAACUCUGCAGAUAGCGUGUUGACUUAGUAUGCCAAGGUUGGGGCGUGUCCUCCUCGAGGUGCAUGUUUGGAGCGGGGCUUCCGCGUUCAAGGCAGAGGUGAGGGUAGUGUUAUAUGUUGAGAUGGCCAGUAAGGGACAGGAGAGGGAAGGGAUGGAUAGCAGUUGUGAAUCAAAUUCAGCUGACAGCUGCUGGAGGUCAAUAGAAUUAUGUUCCUCCUGAGUUGAGGGGGGUUAGGCUGAGGUUGUUGGGUGAGGGGGUAAUCGAGAGCAAGCGAUAAGAGGUGGUGAUCCGAGAGAGGAAGUGGAGUGUUGCAGAUAUUAGAUACUGUACAUGCAUAAGAGAAAAUAAGGUUGAGGGUAUUGCCAGAUACAUGGGUGGGAGAAUUAGCCCACUGCAGUAGCCCGAGGGAGGAAGUAAUUGAAAGUAGUUUAGAGGCUGCUGAGGUCAAAAGUGGGUUAAUGGGAAUAUUGAAGUCUCCAAGAAGUAGGGAUGGAAUAUUAGAAGAGCGGAAGUAGGUUAGCCAGGCAGCAAAGUGGUCAAGGAAGAGGAGAUGGGAACCAGGGGGACGAUAAAUAACGGCAAUGUUAGCAGAGAAGGGUUUGAAAAGGCAAACUGAAUGAAUUUCAAAUGAUAGGAAAGAGAGAGAAGGGGGGGGUGGGCAGAGUUUGGUAAAGGAGCAGUGGGGUGAAAGGAGAAGACCUACACCUCCACCUUUACUCUCUGCUUAAUUAACAAAUACUUGUAUUAUCUUUUGUUUACAUGGAUGUAUUUACUCACUGUCUGGCUCUUUAAACUGACAAUGCAAAUCUUUGAGAAAAACAUCUUGGUUUUUUUUUUCAUUUGAGGCACCUCAUGGCAUAUUAGCUAAAUUCUGUUUUUGCCAUUAUGCGUGUAUUAGUUUUAUCCAACAAUACAUACGUAUUUCCUUUCCUACACAAUAUCUCUGACAGGGCCGAGGGGAGGACAAUAGGUCCCGUCCCCCAUUGUCAUUUAGGGCCAACAACCGCAACUCAUGGGUGGUGUCAUGCCAAAAGCAUGAGUUGGUGUUUGAUGUGUGUUGAUAUAUGUUAAGAGUUGUUUUUGGUAAACCUUGGGAUGACAUUUAUUGUGGUCUUUGAUCUUGCACCAGGCCUAGAUCAUAAAACAUCUAGAUAGCCAUCACCAGAGCUGGACACAAGGAAUUGCAUAGAGUGGGCAAUAAACUGCCAGACAAACCCCCUCUGAUUCUCCACUCCCCUCCCCCCCCCAGGGGUCUGCACACUGAGAAACAACUAAUGUAGAUAUAUCAUGAGGGUGCUGGACUAUCCAAGGAGCUAUUCAUUUUUUCUUUGGUCAGCAACUUCUAGGAGUCCUAUACCAUCUAAAACUCCCACAAGAAUUCUAUAUGGAGUAAAUAUAUGUAAGGAAUUUAUUUUUUUCUCCUAUUUUAUUUUAUGCUCUGUUUUGCAAUUUGUUAUCUGUAUGUCAUUUAUUUCUGUAUUUUGUACUCAGCACUGUGAAUAUUUUUUUGUCAGAUUAAAUGUUUACUUAAUCAGCUUGUGUCUCUGUUCUCUAUGAGCUUCACUCUCCAGAGGAAAGCUCAGGUAAGCACGUUACCAAAAAGGGUUAAUUAUAUGUGUUUGAUCAGUAAAAGUUAAUAGAUGCCCCACCAUGGGGCCAUUUGUUGGAAGGGUGGGAGGUUUUAUAAAAAAAAUGUACAUCAGUGAGCAGCCAGAGGCUGCUCACUGUUUAGUAGACAUGCCCCUACUAGUGGAAUACCCCCACAAGUUCCAUACUCUUACUACAAACAAAUCCAAGGGACUGUCUAUCCCCAUAAGUAGGUGAGGUGCCUUCACACUAGCCAGACAGAUAACAGACCCUUAUGGCAGAUUAAUUUUCCUCAUCUGCUCUCUUGACAAUGAAAGGUAUACAAUAGCAUAUAUUUAUUUCCCAUAUACCAAUCAAAUAAUUUUUUUACAUUAAAUAGUCACAAAAUUAUCUUUUAUUCAUUGUGAUACUGUAAUUAAUUAUAUGUGGAGAUUUCAACCAUUUAAUGCAUCUGAAUUAGGACUCCAGCUAAAAAGUCAGAAAGCCCUGUAAAGUCUUGCCUAAAUCAUUGCCAUGAUUUAAUUUCUAUGACAUAUGACAUUUACAACACCUACUUGAGAAUAGACUGGUUUCUUAUGUAAAACUCCCAUUUAGAUCAGAUAUGUUUCUAUGUUUCUAUAAUGGAUUGCUCUAUUGGUCUGAUCUCACAGUCGGACCCGUACCAGUAUUAACCCACACAGUGUAAAUGUUUUUAGCUAAUUUAACUACUUAAUAUAGAUGCCACAUUUUUGCAAAAAUGUAUGCUCUGUGUGUGGGUGAUAUAUCUCUAACAAAUCUCCAAAGACACUUACAAGAGUAUACCGGGCACAAUUAUUACUAACUAAAUGUGAGCAAAACACAGGAGAUGAGUUUGAGGGUUGAAGAUAGAGUUUAAUGUAGUCUUAAAGAAGCCUUUCCAUUCAACCUAAAUAAUCUAUUCUUAUCCAAAUAUGUCAGACUACUGGGAGAAUUUAAGGGGUUGCUCACAUCAUUUUGAAAAAAAAAAGAAUUUUAAAAGUGUAUCCAAAUAUAUUAAAUCAAGGCCAUAUUAUCAUAUCGCUGGUCAACCUCCAGUACAUUCACCUUUUACACACACAGAAAAGAGUAAUGUCAGGCCUCCAUUAGAAAUUGCAGGGCCCCUUAUGAAACCAUUUGGCAACAAUUCAUGGGGCACACUUCCAGGCAUGCACACAAGCUUAAUACACACUUACAGAUAAACUUUCAAACAAACAAAGAGACACACAGAGAUAACACACACACAAACAUAUACACUGUGACACAGAUACACAUAGAUUUACUCACAUACUUAUACACAGAAUUAUUAUUUUUUUUUAAUCCUGCCUGUUUCCAUACCUUUUGGUGAGUGGCUUCCCUUGUCACCAGUAGGAAUCGGCUGGGGUUCAUUCAGAUUGUAAACUGGCUUCUCCAGCAUGCUGCUCUGUAUGCACUUGGGGAAAGUAAUGUGUGAUCAUCACUUUCUCCCCUACCAUUUGAGUAAGAAAUCAAGCUCUUCAUGUCCAGUUGGUUGGUUGGUUGGAAAAUGUCAGUUUCAGGGAGAUAUUUCUAUCUGACCACAUAGCAUUAGGGCACCAGUGGGCUCUGGAACUUGAAUGGAUAUCUGACAAGAGGACAGUUUUAAUGCCCUGGCAACAACUCUAGCUAUGGUCAGUUACCACCAAUGGUACAGGGGCAAAAUUUUCUGGUGGAACAAUCGAAGUCACAAGUAACACGCAAAGUCACCUGCCACUAACACAACAAGAACCAGUAAGAUAAAUAAUUAUGUGGAAAAGAAAAUAUGUGGGCAAUGAAGAAUUGAAAGGGGAGAGAUACAAAAACAGGAGUACCGCAGGACAGUUUUUAAUUAUAGGAUACAAGGGAUAUAUUAGUUGAUUAGCAUAAAAGCUCUGACAGUGCAUUUUCGGCAGAAGCUUUGAUAACAAAUAAAAUCUGUCCAGAAAGAUAUAAACAGAUUUGCUUUAACCUCUAUGUGUUCCCAAGGUGUAUAUGUGCAGUCUGAGGAUAUGUGCUGCUCCUUCCUUGUGUAUUUAAAUCCAGACCAUGUCUACAUUGACUGCAUAUUGAAAAGGAUAAUGACAUACGUGAACAGAAGUUAAAGACAAGGACAUCACCUUCAAUGAAAGUAAGAGCAGACUAAUGAGCACCUGAAUUAUUACAGUGAAUGCAUGGGCUCGUUUUCAUAAGCAUGUUUUCUUUUUAGCUACUACUACUUUUUUUGUGUAUAUAUAUAUGUUUUAAUUGAAAUGUGUUGUAGGAUAAAUACACAAAAAUAUUGAAACAAAUGAAAAGUUAAAACUUUUAAACCAGUGGGUGUACACCAUAUAUUUAAGUUUUUUUUUCCAUUCCAUUGUUCUACUUUACAGUGCUUAUGAAGAAUAAUCAAAUCCACUUGACACGGUUUGUACUUCAUGGUAUUUUAUACAAACGUGACAAAUGUAGAUUUAAAAAGUGAGCACAAAACAAACAGUUUUCUCAUUACUUAGCAACUUAAGUUUAUCAUGAACUCCUUUUACACAGCACUUCACAAUUUAAAGUGCUAUAAAGAAAACUCAAAGGGUUAUAUUUCUAACAAAAUCUAGACUUGGACAUUCAUUUCGUUACAAACUGCAGUUCAUCCAAAUUUGGGAUAAUCUGUCUCAUUCCCAAAGCCCAAGCCAAAAUGUUAACAACUAUGAACCUGUCAGACUUACCGAAUCUCGAUCCCUCUGAGCUACUUACGGGUUUCGACGUUCAGAACUCCUCCCUCCUAUAUGAAGCGAGCUUUCCCCAACUUAUAGGGAAACCGCGCCAAAAGUUAAAGGCCUAGUCGAUUUUGCUCUUUACUAGGAAACUUCUCCUGCUAAGCUCCCAACUGGACCUCCUAACUGACCUGGCUGACUUCUCCAAUCCUAGACCCGGAAUUGUUUUACCGAUCUUCCUGAGCUCUAUAAACCUCUACCCGGAUUUGCCUUUAGACGUUGCUGUUUUCUCCUGCCCUCAAGACCCGGAUUGUUACACGGCCUCUCUCAAGGUUACAGGAUUCCUUGGCUGAAUAAGUAUUAUUUCAAUCCUCUGCUCUGUUUAUUCUUUGGCUGUAUUUAAUCUAUUGCUACACUCUGUUACUUGGCUGCCUCAAUAACAUUGUUACUACUAUUUGCUACAGUAUCUUAUUACCAGGACUUGCUAUUUUUUUCUCAAUUAAAGGACCACUACAGGCACCCAGACCACUUCAGCUUAAUGAAGUGGUCUGGGUGCCAGGUCCCCCAAGUUUUAACCCUGAAGCUGAAACUGCUAUGUUUACACUGAGGGUUAAUCCAGCCUCUAGUGGCUGUCUCCCUGACAGCCACUAGAAGCCGCUUCUGCGAUUUACAUGGAGUAUAUCGUACUUAUUUUUACCGCUGGAGUCCGUGAGGACGUCCAGCAUCAAAUAAGUGCGAUUUACUCCAUGAAUUGAGUCAUGACUUUCUAUGGGCGGGUUUGAAUACACGCGCACUGCUGGCCGCACAUGCUCAAUCGGCUCCACUCGGAAGCUGACGCCGAUGGAGGAGGAGAGGUCACCAGUGACCACAGAACCCUGCGCUGGAUUAAGGUAAGCAAAUAAACCAUAUAAAGUUAACUAUUUAUUCACGCGGAACGGGGCCCUUGUCACCUAAACGGUGACUAGGGGUCUAUAGCUUUAGGAAUACAUAAUUGUAUUCCUAAUGCUAUAGUGUUCCUUUAAUAUACCUGCGUAUAAUUGCAAGCCUUGCAACCACUAAACUACUGCUACUGGAAAACUGUUAUAAUUUUGUUUCAUAACAUUUUAAGGGAGAGUGUAAUUCCUGUUAAAAAUAUUCAUUUUUUUUCUCAAUUCAAGACUUUCUGAUUUUUUUUCCCAAUUUCGUCGAGAUUCCCUUAAAGGUACAGUCUUCUAAUUCAUUUUAUCUGCAGUUGUGUUUCUUACUAAAGCUUUAUUCUGGAAAUUGCAUAACAUUUGCUACAAAAUGAACCAAACAAAAUGCACACGCUGUGUGUCUUAUACUGCUACCGUAGCAUGCACAACUGAGCUAGUGCCAGGCAGCACGUUACCCCAGAGGAAAUUAUUAGUUCCCUCCCCAGUUUUUACUUUGCUAUCUUAUGUGCCCCCCUUUUUAUUGUUUCUAGAGUCGCUAUUGCCAUGCACAGAUCAAGGCACCUCUUGUAUAAAUUCUGAAAAAGAACAUUAGAGAUCUGUGCAUACUUUUCCAAGAUCAAUAAUGCUUUUUUAUCAGCAACAUUUACUUAUUCAACAUUACUGAAACAUUUAUCAUGGGAAAAAACAGGCCUGGGAGCUGUAAUGGUUGGUAAAUGUUUGCUUGUAAAUAGGCUUUAACGAUUCCAAACAGUGUAAUCAACCCUCCUUUCUCUUUUGUUAUACUCAGCACAAAUGCAUAUGUUUAUCCCUCAUUUCCUAAUGUAUUAAAUCUCAAAUUCCAUGCUCUAUAGAGUGGUCACCUGUGCAGAAAACACAUCUAUAGAUGCUCAGUUAUUGUCUGUGUAGUUACGCUGGUAGUUUCUUUGUUUACAUGGUUCGUUCAACGUGUGUGAUUGACAUCCUUGGAAAAUCAUAAAGUUAUUGUGGUCGUUUUGCUCUGUAAAGCAGCAGACUAUCCUCUGCAUAUUUAAGAUAUGUUUAAAGGGCCCAGAGGUUGGUAAUUCAAGAUUGUUUAAGAGUUAUGUGAGCAGCAGUUGGUAGCAGGAGUUUGUAACCCAAUGCAUCCACAAAAGCUACUAGACAUGUAAAAUGUUCCGUAUUCCCCAACAAAAUAUAAAUAGGGAUAAUAGAGAAACAACAUAGGGAUGGUUCAAUAAGUUUUCUUCAAUUUCUUAGAAAAGGUGUAAUAUUUUAAAAUAAUCAUUAAUCUUUAGUAAAUAAUCUAAUAUUAGUCAACGCAUAUUCAGUCUUAUUUGUAGUGAAAAUGAUACACAUUUUCUAAUUAUGUAGAGGAAGGUUAUUUUAAUACUCACCUUGAGCUGUCAGAAAUUGCUAGGAGAACAUUCCAGGUAGUACAUUAAUUGAAACAACAUUGAAAUGCUUAUUUAAAUUGUAUUCAAUGCUAUUAAAUGGUAAAUUUAAAAAAAAGUCUGUUAAUAGUACAAAAUAUGCAGGAUUUCUUUUUUUCUCCAUCAUUCUAACCUUUCCCUACCUGCUUCUUCUCUAAGAUCUAUUUUUUUGUUGUUGUCAGAGGCUGUCGUGAUAAUACAGUAGUCCAUUCAAUAUCGUUUACGCCCAAUGGUUUUCUGUUAAAAUCAAUAGAAGCAGCACUAGAAAGAGCAGUAUAGACAUGUUUUAGUUCCUAGUUCCCUUUAAUUUGUUUGAUUGGAGUACUGAACAUUCAAUAGGAAUUCCAUUCUUGGAAGAGUUUGAAGCACAAAUGUGGGGCUUCUUGCUGUUUAACAUGCUGUUAGUGAAUGCAAUGAAUGUGUUUAACUAUUCAUUGCAUGUUGAGUUUAAUGAUGUAGCCUCUCUCAAGACUUAGUUCAUUAUAUAUUACUUGGCAGUCUUUCAAGAGGAGAGUUAAAUAUGGCCUUAAAAAUUUUUGAGUACCCAGUGUCACAGAUCCCUUUCGCCACAUUACAUCCCAACAGCGUUCAGCGGAUAUAGGCUACAGAUGGGGGGCACCGAGAACCUGGAUAGUAACACUGAUAGUACCCCACAAUGGUACAGAGUACAGAAUUGGCUAAGCAGCAGAGGCACCAGCAUUCCUAAAGGCAUUGGGCCUACAGGCACCACCCAACAACAAGCCUCGUUCAUCUCACACUUGGGACCCUACCACCAUAGAACCCUUUAGUACCAAGAGCCGGAGGGAUUGCCCCGUCCACCUGACUACACCUAGUCCUUUUACUACUUCUGACAAUGCUACUGGGGUUUCAAUGUUAUCUAUCUGUUUUUGAGCUUGGUUACCUGUUUUUGCAUGCUUUUAUUUUCUUGACAUAUGUCAUAGCAAAAUCAUCCCAAGCUCACAAGCCACUGAAAUAUUUGCGGAGGAUUGACUCCAUUGGUUGGCUACUUGUCCAAACCUUGCCCUAGAUCACACCCUAUCUCACCGCUGGCAAACACGUAACGCCCCCCCCCCCCUCCCCAUGCUGCCCUCCUGGUUAGGGGCACACACAUACAUGAUGACUAUCAUCCCUUGCUGAAAAGGCCUUAGUUAACAUGCUAUGUCCACGUAAUACAUAACCCUGCACCUAGAUCCUAGAGCCAUAUGUAUUGUCUCAUGUUAUUUAAUACAUGAAUAACGCCCAUCCCAAGCCUUAUAUGCGCCCAUGCUGUUCCUAACAUGUUAACUCUUGAAGUCUCGAAAUAUGUUCAACUGUUUUUUCUGUAAAAAAAAAAAAAGUGUUGCAUACAAGACAUACCUAAGGUUGAUAAUCUAUCCGAUACUCUUACCCACUACAAAUGCCUGUUCAGUCUCUGUGAUGUACAUGUUCUAUACUGUGUUUAAUAAUACCAGCACAAGAAAAAUAAAGAAUUUUAAAAACAUGAUUUACAAAAAUUAAAUAAAUGUUGAGCACCAUGCUGAAAAUGUUCAACAGCAUCAUGGAUUUAACCAAAGAACCCAACUUCAAAACUUCAACUGCCUGCAGAGCUGCAUUUGAAAGCCAUAUGCAUUUAAAAUCCAGUGGUAAAGUGUCAAGCAACAGUAUGGUACUAAAUCAGGCAGUUAGUGUAGUUGCAGAGUGAUACAAAAUCAAUUAUACAUUAAGAGUUUGUGUGAGAAGAGAAAGGUUCCCAGCAUUUAAAGGUGUUAGUCACACUAAAAUAAAAUGGAUAUUGACCUGAAAACUCAUUGGAAAUUGCUUGAUAAAGUCAGCUUUUGAAAAGAAUGAAUGGCAUCACACCAAGUGAAAGAUCCAAUGGUCUGGAACCCCUUCAGAGUCAGGUGGAAUUUGUAAAACAUACUCCUUGAAGAGAUGGCGAAGGUGCGCCAGAUCAAAGGUACACUGACGUAGAGGGAAAAAAAGAGUGCAGAUAGUCUACAGAUAGCAUCAAACCAAGGCCAAAGAUGGAAAAAAUACCAGAUUAUAGCUAGAAAAUAGCUAAAAAUGUUCAUCGUCCUACCUCAUUCCAGUUCUUUUAAAUAUACACCGGAAUAUCUAUUCAUAUACAAUGCCCAUUUCCAAACGAGUACGGGUGUAGAAACAAUUCUCCUAAUCAGUAUUGAUAAAUAGCUCUUAGGAAAAAGGAAUCCUUAUGCUUAACAUAAUCCCUAUGCUUAACAUCCAAUGUGUUCAUGUUAACUGCUACACUAUACACUCAGUGUGCACUUCCUGUUAGUCCGGCCGGGUACAGGAGACAGCUGCUCUCUGUACCCGUCGGACCAUGCUGCAGUGAGGGAGCUGACAGGAGCGCUCCCUCCUGUCAGCCUCUCCUCAGGCUGCGCCCGGGCGGUGCGGUCCGCCCUCAUGGACGCACCGCCCGGGCAAAGCUGCAGCCGCCUGAGGCUCUUCACAGAGCGCUCGGGCGGCUGCAGCAUGGGGGGGGGCGGCGGGGCUGGUCAUGGCACCCCCCAUCCUGGUGGCACCCAGGGCGGACCGCCCCCCCCACCCCCCCCACCCCCCCCUUAGUACGCCACUGUGGCACCCCAACUGGUACGGCCAUUGAAGGAUGCUCCUAGCGCUUCCUGAGGGCUACAAGCACUCCAGCCAACACCAUAACCACCGUAGACUCCUUCAGAGAGCAAGACAGGAACAAGCUCUUACAAGAGUUUUGUAGUGAUAUAGCAAGAGAGUAUGACUAGCAUAGCAAUCUCUUGUAGCAGAUUCCCCCAAGAGAUGGCACUCCAAAUUGAGGGUGAAGUAGAACUGAACUUUUUAAUGAAACACUCUCCUUUUAUGCCCAUUCUACACACAUAGUACCCCCCACAGGGUUUUGUAAAACAACCAAUGAAAUACGUACAUUAUAGUAAAACACUCCCAGCAAUUACACACAAAUCCUCCUCUGCCUGUGAUAUAAUUACUGAACACAAUGGGUUAAAGUGAUUAUCACAGGCAGAAAAAAGUACACUUUUUACACAUGUACUGUAACUUAAAAAAUAUACAUUCAAUCUUCAUAAAAUACUACAUAUUAAAACUCAGCACACUUUAAUUACACACAUAUCCAAAAUUCAGCCAAAUCCUUCCAGGGGUUAAAAAGUUAGCUGGAAGUCCUUUAUGACCGACCGCAAGCCCAUUUUCAUGCCCAAAACAGUUCCAUAGAUUUGGGCUGUGCGGUUGAUCUAUUUCACACUGAAAAAAUGACUAAGUCCCAACGCCGAAUGGGACUUAGUCUUAGUGGAGGAGAAUGUAAGGGUCAACGGUGUUCGUGGAAGUGUGUAGGCGAUUUCAGUUUCAUGGAUUUGGCUACACACACCACUGACCGCGUUCGGCAGAAUAUUGCCAGCGGUCGGCAAUUUACCUACAGCAGGCUUCCAGCCUGGGAGGUAAAUUGCCUGCAUGCUUCCACAUCUGGGUGGUCCGCCUGUGUAAUACUUGGUUCAGUAAGCCCCAUUUACUGAACCAAGUGAGAGAAAGCCAGGAACACAGUAUAUUAAAGGUUUGGGGACACUGGGGACACCGUCUUAAAGGGGCGUUGUCCCCAACAAGUCUGGGGACACUGGGGACACCGUCUUAAAGGGGCAUUGUCACAAAAAGUCUCAAUAUGCCCACAUACAGUUCUUAAAGGGCAAUACACAGUCCAAUAGACCAUAAUCACAUGGCAGGAGGCGGGCAAACAGGCCCCUCCAAAAACUCAUGGCAAACUCCCUUAAAUGGGUGAAUUUGCCACAUGUUCCUUUGAAGUUAACGAGCCAGAGGGUGGUCAGGGUUUGGUAGUUUAAAACACUGAAUUAAAGGGAGAAUGGAUUGGGUUUGGUAAUAUGGGGAAAGUUAAAAUAGGGAAGUUCUUCACAGGUAUCCAUGAAACAUUGCAUUUUGGGAACCCCCAUGACAAGACUCUUGAAGCCACUCAUAUUUUAUUUAUUUUUUUCACUUGCCAAUUUUUCUUUUCACAGAGGUCAGGCACUAGUUAUAUUAGUCUUCUAUUUCUGAGCAACCUCAACAGAGGUUACUCACUUGUAAUAUUAUAUUUGGUUAUUGAGCUUCCUUUUUUUCAGAGGACACGUGCUCAUCAAAUACAUUGAGUUACUCAACUGCCCUUAAAGCAGCACUGUCAUACAGAACUUACCUUUCCUCAAUCUCUUCCUCUUCUCCCCCUCUCUCAGGAUCUGUUCUUCUUUUCUUCCUGUCUUCUUUAGUUUUCUUUAAAAUCAUAAGACAAAGUAGGGACUCUUUACCUUAUGGAGGUUUCCUCCGCUUGACCAGCUUUGAUCAGCGGAGGAGCAAAGUGUGCUUCAUUUCCACUGGUCAGAGCAAUUUUCCCAUAAUUCUUACCUUUCCUCUGUGAUCUCGCGAUGCUUCCUGUCAUUUUAGACGAAACUACCGAAUUGCGUUCUAACUGAAUGAGAACAGUAUGUUCGUUUGUUUUAGAACUCAAUUCGGCACUUUGUUCGUAUUGGAAUUUCAUUUGAAUGUAUGAAACUUAGAUUCAAUUUGUGCUGCGGCUGCAUCUUGCAGCCGCUUAGUAGAUAACGCCCUAAUACCAACAGUAUCAGGGAGUUAUCUACUAAAAGGCUGAAAGACCUAAACUGUUCUUUCAGCCACAUUUACUAAUACUAUGUAAAGAUUACUUAGUAUUAUUAAAUUCAGCCCCUACUCGCUGUACCGCGAGUAGGGGCAUGUCAAGUAAACAGUGAGCAGCCUCUAAUAACAAUUAGGGGGGGACCUAAUGUCCUUCCCCCGACCCCCACCCCUGCACGGUGGGUGGGGGCAAUAAUACAAUAAAUGACAAUGGGCGACGGGUGGGGGCCCUAAAUGACAAUGAAGGGGGCCUACUGUCCUCUCCCCUGGCCCCCACCCCUGCGCGGUGGUGGGGGCAAUAAUUCACAAUGGGGGGACCUAUUGUCCACCCCUCCGGCCCCCACCCCUGCGCGGUGGGUGGGGGCCCUAUAUAUGAAUGGUGAGGGACCUACUGUCCUCACCCCGGCCCCCACCGCGGAGCGGUGGGUGGGCGCCCUAAAUAAUGAUAAGGGGGGAUCUACUGUGCUCUGCUGGGCGGGGGAAGGCUUAUAAAGCCUUGCACAGCCCUGCAAUUAGGCUAGUAACACUCUGAUUGGUUGGUUUAAGCCAAUCAGAGUGCUCUUUGUCAUUUUACACAGCCUGGGAAAAGCACUCUGAUUGGUGGGCUUGGAAUCUAAGCAAUCACAGUGCUCUGUGUCAUUUUACACAGCGUGGGAAAGUUCUUUGGAAUUUCCCCACGCUGUGUGAAAUGACACAGAGCACUCUGAUUGGUUAGAUUUCCAGCCAUCCAAUCAGAGUGGUCUGUGUCAUUUUAUACAGCGUGGGAAAGUUCUUUGAAAUUUUCCCACACUGUGUAAAAUGACAAAGAACACACUGAUUGGCUUAAACCAACCAAUCAGAGUGUUCUUAGCCUAAUUGCAGGGUGGGGCAAGGCUUUAUAAGCCUUCUCCCGCCCUGCAGAGCUCAGUCUGCGCGGAGCCCUCCAUGGGUGAAGAUGGAUAAUUUUUUUAGCGUCGGGUUAUUUUCUUUUUUUGUCAGGUUUUUUUUUGUGCUCGGGUUUUUUAUUUCAUUUUAAGUUCGACGGGUAUGAUGGCUUUUUAUUUGGCCUUUUUUGGGGCUGAAAAAUGAAGAUUUUAGAAAAAAGAAGACGUCAAAUGGUAAGUUUAAUUUUUCUUUACAGGUUAGUUAUUUUAUUCCCCCCUCACUAUUUUUAGGGUGAGGGGGAUAGAUAGGGGAUAGUUUUAUUUGGGUGGAGGGAGUGACUAGGGGCUUGGGACCACUAGUCAUCUUGAUUGGGAGGGUGUAAAUUUUCAUUUAGGGCCCCCACCCACCGCUCAGGGGUGGGGGGGAGGACAGUAGGUCCCCCCAACAGCUCAGGGGUGGGUGCUGGGGGGGGAGGACAGUAGGUCCCCCCUUAUUGUUUUUUAGGGCCCCCACUCACUGCUCAGGGGUGGGGGCUGGGGGGGGAGGACAGUAGGUCCCCCAUCCCUAAUUGUUUUUUAGGGCCCCCUCCCUCCUUGUGAUAAACUGAAUGAACAAACGAACACUGAUAUUCAGUGUUAGUUUGUUCGUCUGAAAUUCCUAGUUAUUCAUUUGUCUUUCUGAUGAAUGAAUGAAUAGAUGAAAUUCCUGUUCGCAUGCCCAAGGGUUUAACUGGGCAUGUGCGGGAAUCUCACAGCACUAUCUAGUGUGUGCAGAUGACGUGUCCCACAGGGACUUCCUCUUCCCACACAAUCAAUUCAAUUUUUUUUUUCAUAUAUAAUUUUUAUUGAAAUGUCAUCAAAAUGGUACAGAAUUGCAGUAAGUUCAGGUUAAUUACAACAUACAUUUUCUUGGUCAUGUGAUCGUUAUUUUACAUUUUAUGCAUUUGGAAAUACAACUUGCUUUGUUCUAGGUUGACAUUACCAGCCGUCAUUGGGUUAGGUAUACCUGAAUUUCUAAUUUGUAUUUCACAAAGUGACAUUUUGGGUUUUAUCAUGAACUUUAGGGGAAGGAUGGCUUGUGGAUACAGAAAGGGAAAAAAAAGAAUGGGGGGUUACGAGGGGGAUGGGGGGGAAGUAUGAGUUCAUACACUACCAGUCUAGAUAAUUAUGCAUAGUUUGUACAAUGAGCUAGUUGCAUAGUAAUGUCUAAUGCUUCACUUUGACUCCUGCGACCUCCUACUUGUUUUCCAUCUUAUUUGGAUAACCAAUUGUCCCAUUCCUCUGCAUAUUUCUCCCCACGACCUUGAAGUCUGUAGGCUAUGCUUUCAUAAGAGCUAAUUAUGUCUAAUUUUUGUGUAACAGCUGGUGUGGUGGGGGGGGGGGGAUUUGCUUUUCCAUAGUAAUGCUAUAUUGACUUUUGCUAAUGAAAGUAUAUUAAUGAUCACCUUCCUGUGGGGGUGUCCCACCAAUUUAGGCAGCAUAUGUAGGAGAUAUUGCGCUGGUUUGCGCGGUAGGCGCAUUUGCGUCGUUAGUAUUAGUGACCGCACUUGUUCCCAGUAGCUAUUUAAAUCUAGGCAUUCACAGAAAAUGUGCAGCAUUGUCCCUUUCGCCUUUUCACACCUCCAGCACAAUUCAGAUGUACCUUGGUACAUACGAGCACACCUCAUGACAAUUUAACAGUAUGCCUCCCACAGAGAGAGGCUUCUCGAUGCUUUUUUUUUUCAUCGUCGUUGCCUCGUACCACUGUUCUAUGGGAAACGUUGUUCCCAGUUCCUCUUCCCACUGAUGCAUAUAGGAUAGUUUUGUUUGAGCCAGACCGCCCAGGAUGGCAUUGUAGCAGAGAGAUAGGGGCUUUGUUUGUUUAGGUGAUAGUGCGAGAGUAAGGGUCAAUGCUCCUAUUUGGGUUUUGGCCUGAAGCUGUGUGAAUUUGGUUACUAGUAUAUUUUUUACCCUAAGGUAUAAGAAUAUGUCCCUUGGUGCUAGGGAAUACUGCAGUUGGAGGGUCGGAUAUGCUUUUACAUUGUCUCUCUCAUUUAGGUCUUGUACUGAGUGUACUCCUUUCUCUUUCCAAGUUUUUAUAGCCAGAUCUGGUGAGAGAGCUGUCAGGGAUUCUAUUGGGGCCGCCCGUAGCAGUGCUCGGGCUCCAAGAUACCCAGGAGGAAAAAAAGAAUUUCGUACAUUGUAACAUGCAUGCGUCCGCCGCCCUGGGGAUCAUACUUACCCACAAGGAGUGAGUUAUGUCAUAGGGGCGCAGACAAGCGUUCUCUAGUGACAACCAGAUAGGGCAGUGUCUCGCCUGUGGAGAGUUGAGGAGUCUUAUCCCCUGUGCUAGUGCCGUAGCUCUGUAGUAUGCUCUGAUAUCUGGAAGCCCCAGGCCCCCUUUUGUAUAGGGGAGCCCCAGCGUGUGGCGUGCUACUCUGGGGGGUUUACUCUUCCAAAUGUGUGCAUUUAUCUUGGUUUGGAAUUUGUUCACCAGUUUGUUUGGAAGCGCUAUGGGUAGUGUACGGAAGAGGUAUAAAAUCAAUGGGAGCGUUAUCAUGUUUAGGGCGUUAAUGCAGACUAGCCAUGAACCAGACAGUCAUGGUGUCUGACCAGACAGUCAUUCUGGAUAGUGAAGGGUUUGAAAAAAAAACCUGUGCUGAAUACUUUGACUGAUGGGUUUUGAUAGAGGGCCAUAAUGCUGGAUAUGAAGGAGGCAGGGAAUCCUAUCUUGGUCAGUGUUUGUUCCAUGUACCCCCAGUGUAAUCGAUCAAAUGCGUCUAGAGCCAGUAUCAGUCCCUCCUUUGUGAUGUGAGUUGGUUCAUUAAUUUAAUGUAGUAGUAAUUGGUAAAUCCAUCGGGACCCGGGGAUUUAUGCGCGGGCAGGGAUUUUAUCGCCAAUCUAACUUCUUCCUCUGUGAAAGGUUUCUCAAGAUUAUAUUACUGGUCAAGUGUAAGGUGGGGGAGCUCCACUUGCUCUAAGAAUUGAGCUAUUUCCUCCCUAGAAGGUUGGUGAAUUUCAGGGUCUCUGUGUAGUUGGUACAGGGAUUCAUAGUAAUCGGCUAGUGCAUUGACAAUAUCCUGGGGGUUGUUUAGUUUGUCCCCGUCUUUUGAUGUCAUAUACAGAAUUUUUGUUUGGAGGUGGCGUUGUUUGAGUUUUUUGGCUAGUAAUUUACCUGCUUUGUUCCCUGCUGUGUAGUAGUUUUGCUUUAGGUAUCUCAUCAUUUUCAUUGUCAUUGUCCUGCAGCUGAAGUGAGUACAAGCUGGCUUUUAGUUUUUCUAGCUUGUCGUGAUGUGUUUUGGUUGGGUUGCUCUUAUGUAGAGCCUCCAGGGUGUAGAUUUCGUGUUCUAGUUUAUACUGAUUGGUUUUGUGAGCUUUCUUCACUAAUGAACCUAGUUGUAUUAGGUUCCCCCUCAUCACUGCCUUGUGCGCUAUUGUGGUGAUUGGUAUUGUGCAGUGAAUGUGGUCUGAGAAGUAUUGUGUGACUUGUUUUAUUAUCGUUGCUAGGGAUUUUGGAUUAUCUAACAGGGACUCGUUCAGACGCCAGGUACCUCUGCCUCUGGCUGGAUGAGGCGUUUUCAAGUCGACCAGUACUGGUGCAUGGUCCGACCAGUUGAUGGGGCCUAUAUUUGCUCCUUUCACAAGUGGGAGCGUUCGCCUAUCAGAGAGGCACAAGUCUAUUCUAGAGUAGGUCAUGUGAACUUGAGAGUAGUAUGUGUAGUCCCUCAUUCAAGGAUGGAUACUACGCCAUAUAUCGUAAUAGUCGUGUGUGUGCAGUAGUUUGGACAAGUGGCCUCCUAGGGAUAUGGAUGUGUUUUUGGGAGGUCUGUGCUGGGAUCUGCUUAUGUCCAGGUGCGGAUCUAGGGAGCAGUCAAAGUCUCCGCAGAUUAUAGUAUGUCCUACUUUCACUUGGUCAAUUUUCCUAAAUGCUUUGUUUAGAAACGAUUUUUGUGUGUCAUUUGGUGCCUAUAGGGAUAUUACUGUCAUUUGAAUGCCAUUUAGGGUUCCUACCACUAUCAGGAGCCUCCCAUCCCCACUCGUAUACUCCUUGGACAGUGUGAAAACCCAGUCAUCGUGAAAAUAUAUCGAGACUCCUCUCUUUUUGGAAUUAGCCUGUGCAUGAAAGGCUUGGGAGUAGCGUUUGAACGCAAAUUUGGGGGGGUUGCAUGCACAGAAGUGGGUCUCUUGUAGGCAGGCAAUGGCUGCUUUGAGGUAGUUAUCUCACGCAUCAUGAGCCUACGUUUAUGGGGCUAUUAAGGCCCUUAACAUUCAUAGAGAAGAUUUUAAGGGAGUCAUCCAUUGUCGCAGUAGGUUUUACUUCUAAUCAUGCUCGUUGACAUACUUGGAUUAAUGGUGAUAGUGGUGAGCUCAUAGGGAAGGCGCAGGACAUAAAACAUUUUGGGUAUUAACAACAUAAAAUAUAAAAAAAAGUAUUUACAUAGCGCCCUGAACAUAACUGGCGCUCUCCGUGGAUGAGUCACAAGUCUGGUCAUCCCACCAGCUUGUAUACCCCUCCUUGGGGGUGUUUUAACCGCAUAGUGCUUCCCAAUUGACCCAAAUGAUAGCCGUUGUGCCGUUCAGUAUGGCUCACUCUGUUAUCGGGUGAGCCCGUUAACUAGUGCUAUUAUCUUUGUCCCAUUUGGGUUAUACUGUGUCGUUGCGCUUUGUUGCCCACAGGACCUCGUAUUCCCUGCUCAUGGGGGUUGACCCACUAGUGUAUACACAUCGAUACUUUCUGAAACCACCCGCAGUCUAACUUGCCUCAGAGGCACUACUAGGUGCAUGAGCUUUUUCGUGUUUUUGCUUGAUCCCAUUUGGGCUCAACUGCUAUUCCAAGUAUGCAUCAUAUUAUGGUGCCUGCUAAUUGCUAUUGUAUGCACGUUAAAAAACCCGGUUUAACCAUGGCCCUACAGUAUAUUAGUGUCGUACAGUUAAUUCUAAACAUAAUGUAUAACUUGUUAUUCAACAAUAAAAGAUAUGGUGUCUGAACAAUCAUUGCCCAAAGUUAUAUUAUAAGUCCGUCUUACUGAGUUGCAUGGGGUUAGUCCGCCAUCUACCAGUCUUCUCGUUGUUGUUUCGGUGGUGUGACAGUUCGAUCUUGUGGUUCCCCGUGCGGGAACAUGCCCCAUUCUUUCAGGAGACGCACGCCCACUUCUGGUUCAUUUGCUGUGUAAUAUCUCCCUUGUCGCCAUAUUAGGAGCUUUGUAGAGUAUCAUACAGGGUGUCUGUCAUUACCGUUUCUGGUAUCCCUCGAAAGAGCACAUUAUUUCUUCUGGACCGAUCCUCCAUGUCCGCCACCUUUCGUUUUAUUUGAUUAUUCCUGAGAGGUUUUGUUACUGUGAUGAAUUCUCUGUCAAGCCAUCGUUAACGCUGAUAAGUCUGCAUAUAGCGUAUGGAUCAGGCAUUGUAGUAAUUUUCCUCGCCGCAGCCAAUAGAGCUUCUUUGGUCUUGUAAUAGUGGAAUCUUGCCACUGCGUCUCUCAGGGUGUCGCAGGACAGCCUUUGGGGCUUCGGCAGCAGAUGUGCCCUGUCCAUGAGCCAGUCACCUUCUUUUAUAUCCGGUAAAAGGGUCUUGCAUAGAGUUACCAGGUAGUCAUACAGGGUGUCUGUCGUUACCGUUUCUGGUAUCCCUCGAAAGCGCACAUUAUUUCUUCUGGACCGGUCCUCCAUGUCCGCCACCUUUUGUUUUAGUUGCUGGCGCUCUUCAGUGAGAUUGUGCACCAUGCCCGCUAGCCCAGUGUGCUCCGUGCACAGCUCCUCCGUGCGGGCUUCUAGGCUGUGUGUGCGUUCGCCAAGAUCUGUUACUUCUCGUUUUAGUUCAUUAGUCACCUGUUUAAAAUCCGCUUGUAGUGUGACUCUAAACUCUUGUAACAUCGAGUAUAGUUUUUUUUCCGACACUGGAGCAUCAGUAUAUCGGCUGGUCUCCAUUUCUGAGUCUGAUUGGGCCUCCGAGGUCUGUAGGCCUAUGUCGCCAUCUUGAUUAGGCCUCAUGCGCUCUCCGGGGUCCCGUCUGUUUCGUAGGGGCCAUUCCGCAGUAUGCGUAUUAGGGGGUGGUUGCAGGGUGUUUUAGGCGUAGGUUGCUUCGAGUAACCAGGUUAACGGGUCAUUGGGCCGGGAGCACUCACUCCAUGCGACCUCUCUCCUCGGCAGUUGGCCACGCCCCCCCAUUAAAUUUUAUUAGUCACUGAGCAUUCUUUUUACAGCAUACACAAGCUCAACAAAUUUGUAUUAGUAUUUUCUGUUUCUGAGCUACCUCCAUCAGAGGCUACGAGCUCGUCAAAUUGGUAUUAGUACUUUCUGUUUCCGAGCAACCUCCAUCAGAGGUUAUACACUCAUCAAUUUGGUAUUUGGUUAUUGAGCCUCAGUAUUUUACAGAGGAUACAAGCUUAUCAAGUUCCUCAUCAAGUUUCUUCUUUCACAGAUGUUACACCAUCAUUAAAUUAAAUAUUAGUUACUGGGCAUUCUCUGUCACUCAUCAAAUUUGGAAUUUGUUCUGAACUUUCUCUUACAGAGGAAACAUGAUUGUCAAAUUUGGUAUGUCCUCUUUCUAAGAAGUCACGCACUUAUUAAAUUUAUAUUUGGUCCCAAACUUCCUCUAAUAGAGGUAUGUGCUCAUCAAAUUGUUAUCCUGUAACUGAGCAUCCUAUUUUUUGUGUUGAGCUUCCUCUAAAACAGAGGUCACAUGUUCAUCUAAUUCUUAUGCGGGUACUGAGCUUCCUCUUAUACAAAGGGAUUAGCACCCAUUCAUAUUUGUCACUAUGCUUCUUCUAUCACAGAGGUUACAUGUUCAUCAAAUUAUCAAUUAGUCACUGAGCUUCCUCUUUCUCAGAGGACACAUACUCAGCAAAUGUAUAAUAUUAUUUAUAUUUAGAUUGUUUUAUGAGUUGAAAUUGGUUCUGAACUUACCCCAUUGACGAGGUCACACAAUUUGUAUAUAGCGUUUACAGAUACCUUUUCAAUGGAUACUUGUUCUGUAUAUUCUUUUUUGUGACCUUUAGUCUACAUCUCUUUUAUGGCUUUGUCUAUAAUCUAUCUAACAACACUUUAAGUUGUUACCUUAACAUUGAAGUUGGAUUUGAUGCCUCCUAACACAAAAUUCCUUAAAUAUGUUACUAGGUGGCUGGAGGUCAGCAAUUUAUGCUAGACAUCCUUCACCGAUGCACAUACAUUUGUAGCAUUCUGUGGCAGUGUGGUAUUGUUUUUGAAAAGUAUAAUAUUGCAUUAAAUGUUUUGCUCUCCUUAUUUACAGGCCUAACGCGACCAUUGGUUCCGCCACCCUCCAAUCGACUUUGCCUAAGAUAGUUGUGAUAAGCACGGCCUAUGGUCCCAAACCACAAAUGUUAAGGUCCUAGGCCUGUAGUUGUGGGAGGGGUUUAUUUAACCUUUAAAUCGCCCUGCUGCUUGUACCUCAGGACCACAGGCAUUCCAUAAGUCCACCCUUUCUUGAUUCUCUUCUAAACAAUGCCUCCUAAAACAAUAAUCUGUUAAUAAUAGAUAAUCUGUUACUUAUCUUAUAUUUUGUUAACGAUCAGUAAAGUGUUUGGCAAGCCUGUCUACCCAGCUCUGAACAUUAAGGGUAAGCCAGAGUGCUAGUAAGCAUGUAAGAAUAACUCAUGAGUGGGUAUCCUCAAGGGCGGGACCAUGUAAAAGAAAGGAAAAUACGAAAGAACAGAAGUGUAAUCACAUGAGUAACAGAGAGAAAAAUUAUUAACAUGAUAAACCCUUUAAUCAGUGGGUGGAGCGCUGAAUAAUAGACAAGCAGAUAUUAGCUUACCCCUCUGUAUGGUAAUAUAAUUCUUGAUGUGGAGUGAUACAUAAAAGAGAAAAAAACAUAAAACAAAUCUAGUGCAGAUGGUAUUUGCAAUAUACUAGAUGCAAAAAAAAAUAAAGGUAGACACACUCAUAAUCUUUAGAGCCUGAGGAUAAGGCUCUAUAAUAACGCAGCUGUGCUGUUAAAAGGUAGCACCUCACCUUCUUAGAUAAACAGGAAUCUCAAGGCAAGCAAAACAUAGGUGCAGUAUGUCUGUGUUUAUAAUAAGCUAAAAUCACUUCAUAAAAGAGGACUCUCACUUUAAUAAGAGCCCAUAUGUGCCUUGGCUCUCAGGUGUAAAUGCCUGGUGUUAAUUUGUGCAGUGACACUCCCCAAUCUGGAACCUGGAAUCGGACAGACUACCAAAUAGUACUAAAAUCCACUAUUUAUUAAUAUAAAAUCAAAGGUGAAUAAAAAUACAUAAAAGCAAAAUAAAAAGGGACUUAUCAGUCUAUGGUAGUACAGUCAUUGUAUGCCAAAACGCGUUUUGCUGUGAAAGAUUCUUCAAAUGGCUGUCCAAAGGGACGUUUGUCACAGUCACUAGGCUCAAUAACAAAAAAUGUUGCUUUGUUCUCCAUGUAACUACAGUAGCUGUCGUGUUAUUUUGACACAACUAAAUUAUCAAAAUCGGAAAUGCAGACAUAUUUGAUGCCUGUCUUGUCUGUUAAAUAACAAAUUCUCUGUAAAAACUCCCACACAACAUGGUGAGUUACGCAUGUGUGGAAUAACUUGCAAAAACAUCAAAUUGUCGGUCAGUAUGAAGUCACUCAAACUGUCUUCUUCCAUCCAAUUUUAAUAAAAAAAACAGCUGCUCUAUUGUUAAUGUAUAAUAAACAAUUAUAUACUAAAUGCGCCUAUUAUGAUUGCUACACUGUAUUUUAACGAUACUAUAAAUACUUCCUAUAUUGUCAAUGUGUAUGUGCCCUGUAGAACGGGGGUAGGCAAACUUUGACACUACAGAUGUUGUGGACGCCAUCUCCCCUGAUGCUUUUCAAGCAUUAUGGCUGUAAGACCAUUAAAUGAGAUGCAAUCCACAUCUGAAGUGCCAAAGGCUGCUCUAGGAGAAUGAGAAAAAAUUCAGUGUGCCUUCCUCGUUAUAUAUAUAUAUAUAUAUAUAUAUAUAUAUAUAUAUAUAUAUAUAUAGCGAGGGCUUGCACUCCUGGUGUAAUCCUGUGGUGCCCGGUGCUGGUCUGGCAAGGAUCAUGUAGACAUAGCAGAAAUGACCACACUCCAAGGACUUUAUAGAGAUUUUCAAAUAAAAUGUAACUUUUAUUCAAUCCAUUUAUAAAGUCAACGUUGUAUAUAUACACACACACAUCUUUCUUUUUCUUUCUUUUUAAUAAGCAAAUAUUUAAAAUGUACAGAAUGCUGCUCACAUGCACUUUCCUGGAGGAUGCAAUAGAGUAUAUGUUUUUAUUUUCUUCUGUUCAUUCCAUGGAAGUUAGGGGCCUUGAUUAUUCUCUGGGCUUUAGUACAUAAUAACUGAAAAAAGUAUCAGACUUGGGAACUGUGAAAGUCUGCCCCAGAUAUUCUCCCAAGACAUAAAUUGAUGAUACUAACGCUUAAAAAAAAAAAAAAAAUGUGGUAGAGAAUCACAAUUAGAUGCAUACCAAGGCAUUGUCAUUAACAGUAACUAAUGCACUGCUCAGGGACACAGCAUUCUUGAGUCAGACCUUCCAGGUCAAAUCCAAAACAUACAUCAUAGCUAUGGGAUGCUGUGUCUGUGGGCUUUCUAUAGAGUCAGUGGGCUCUCUGCUGAGUCAGUUGACUCAGCAAUAGGCAUUUGCUAAUAAAAGCUUCAAUGUAGUUUAGAGUACCGUAAUAAGACCAAGAAAACACAAUAAGGCAAUGAGUGGUAGCAUCACUGUAACUCUUGCAAUACAGCUGAACAGAAUCAAUGGCAUAUUGACCAAAGCAGGAAGAUAAGAUUGUUGAUCAAUUAGAAUCAAAUAAGAGAACACAGAGCUACUGUUUGCUUUAUGCCAGAAACUCAGGAGGGAAGGUGGGGGAGGGAAGAUAGAGGGACAGGGGGGAGCUGGCUUUCUCAAUGGUCUUUAAACUUGCACCUUAUUAGCAUCUGCCUGUAAUGUAAUGGCCAUUAACCUCUGCAGUGAAUUUUUUGCUUUUUUUUCAACUUUCACUUUUUGAUUAUUAUUAUUGCGAUUAAUUAUCUAUGCUGUUACUAAAAUCAUCCAGUUGAUGACCAUACCAACUGGUGUUGGGGCAAUGAAAUAUAAAAAAAAACUGCAACUGAAAGCAAAACCAGGACAAUCUGUGUCUAGUAUGAUUUAAUAAAAUGACAUAGUCGGGAUUUACUGUGUGAUAUUAGGAGCAUUUUUCAUUGAAACAGAUGCUACAUAGCAGCUUUCUGUGCUAUAAUUAUUUUCAAAUGUUUUAUUGAAAGUUUUAAAUAUGAUAACAAACCAAACAAUAAUAAUGAUAAUAAUAACAAGCAAACAAUGAAAAGGGGUAAGUAUACAAGUACUAUUAAUCAACCAAUACUAUUUAAAAAUGAAAAAUAAUUAAUAAAUAAUUUAAAGAAAUUGUACAAUAAUAAAUAUAACUUUACCAUUGGUAGUGCCUUAUUUAGCAACCGUAAUGCAGUGUCUGUGUCUGUACAGCCCCAGUGCAUUGUCUCGCAACCAUAAAACAUUUUUAAUAGAACAAGGAAAAAUCUUGUCUGAAUCCAUUUCAAACCAAUGAGGGCAUCCAUGAUCGACAUUAAAUGUAAUCGCCAUAGCAGCGUUAGUUGCCUAAUAGUAAUGAAUAACAUUUGGCAAACCCAUACCUCCACUAACCCUUAGUUUCUGCAUUAUGCUCAUUUUGAUUCUACAUGAUUUUUUAUUCCAUAUGAAUGUCAGAAGGGCAGAAAGAACCUUUCUAAAAAAAAGAUAAAAGUGUGGUGAGGGUGAUUGCUCUGAUAAAAUAUAACAUUUUUGGAAGGAGAGACAUCUUGACCGAAUUAAUCCCACCUAACCAUGAGAUUUCAAGACUACACCAAAUCUCAAGGGUGUCCCUAAUUUUGGUCCAGGUUACAGAUGUCAGGCUUCCCGCUCUCUUGCCUGCUGCCAGAGCUCCGGGUGCAGCGGUCUCCGCCGACAUUCUCACUGACACUGCAAGCUCACGUGCAGGGUAUUUAAAUAGGCGCCCGAUUGACAUAUCAAACCUGGCACUUAGCAAUGACGUUAAGGGUCAUAUUAGCAGGAUUAAACAUCCUCCAUGAAUAGUGAUAAAUUCCAAGUGGAAGUUAACCAAUCACAAGUAGCUCUUGCCUAUAUAUACUCACCUCUCCCAUUUCUUGUUGCCCUGCUGUGGUCUUCUGAUAGCCCAAUAGUGCGUUUACUCUGUCUGAUUGUUGGUUACUGAAUUUUGGCUUUGUCUCUCAUUUAUUCUGUCUUCUUUGAUCUUUGACCUCUCUCUAUUUGCAUAGCCCGGCCACUCUAAGGACUGGUAUUGCAAUUUCCACUCUUGUGAUAUGUCUGUGUGUCUGGUUCCGGAACCAUGACAUUACAACAUGCCCUCAUGGAACCUAUGGACAUAUCCCAAUAACUAGCUAAUCAAGACUCCAGGAUGGAUAGUCUUGAUCAUCACAUGGACCAGUUUGCCCAAGCGCUUCAGGCCAUCUUAGUUCGUACUGCCCAUUUGCAACUUGACGUACAGGAAAAUGCAGCUGUUCCUCCGGUUUCUGUUCCUUAACCAGUACCGGUCAUCCCAGCUCAUACUGUCCACAUGACAACCCUGCAGCAUUAUCGUGGUGACCCAACAUUAUGCCGUGGGUAUCAACGUUCAUCUGGUUAUGAACCCACGUUCAUACCCUAGGUCUAAAAUAGCGCUUUUAAUAAAUCACCUAUUGGGUAGGGCCUUGGCUUGGGCUAACCCCAUAUGGGAGUCUGGUUCCUCCAUGCCUUUAAAAGGAUAUUUGAUCUCUCUGGUAGAGUUACUUCUGCUGGCAAAGCCUUAUUAAGAAUCAAACAAGGGUCAAGAACAGUAGCAGACUAUGCUAUAGAAUUCCAAACCUUGGAAGCAGGGGUAAUAUGGAAUAAUGACACUCUGGCAACCGCUUUUCAGGAGGGAUUGGCUGGUGGGCAAUCCCCAGUCCCCAUUACUCCUGGAUGAUGUCAUAGACUAUUGCAUCGUAAUAGACAAUCAUAUAAGUGUUGUCAUAGAGAGACCCAAAGAAGGUUACAAGCCCAUCCACUCCCUUCUCUGCCCGCAACCAGGGCCGGAUUAACAUAGGGGCUGAUGGAGCUGCAGCUCCAGGCCCAUGCCCAUGAAAUAGGCCCAUUGAUUUAAAAUAUAUAUAUAUAUAUAUAUUUUUUUUUUUUUUUUUUAAAACACACUACUCUUAGGGUUUCCACCUGGCUGGUAUUUCACUGGCACAGCCAGUAAUUUGAGACUUCCUGGCCGGUGCCUACAUUGCAGUCAUACUGACAGUACAAAUGCUGUUUUUUUUCUCAGUAUGGACAGAGAUUACGAUGCAAUGCCAGCACUGGCCAGUAAGGGUCGCUGUGUGUGGAGAGAGGCAGGGAUGGGAAGUUCCAGCAUAUCCUUCCCUGCCUAUUUCUACUCACUGAUCCGCAGGGGAGCAACUACAGAGAGUCCAGAGAGCCACUCCCAGCCUGCAGAGACAGCUUACAGCUCAGGGAAGUGAUGGGGGGAGGGGGGCUGCAAGAAGACAUGGGGGCACUGGGAGAUAUGGGGACAUUGAGACACUAAGGGACAUUGGAAGACACAUAGACACUGGGAGACAUGUCUCCCAGCCAGUGUCCCUGUGUCUCAGUGUCCCCAUGUCUUGAAGUGUCCCUUAGUCUCCCAGUGUACCCAUGUGUCCCAGCCAGUGUCCCUAGUGUCUCAGUUUCCCCAUGUCUCUCAGUGUCCCCAUGUCUCUUAGUGUCCCAAGUAUCUCAGUGUCCCCAUGUCUCCCAGUGUCCCCAUGUCUCCCAGUGCCCCAAGUGACUCAAUGUCCACAUUUCUCUCAGUGUCCCCAUGUCUCUCAAUGUCCCCUGUCUCAGUGUCUUCAUGCCUCCAAGUGUUCCUAGUGUCCUAGUGACAUGGGGACCCUGGGAGACAUGGGGACACAGAAACUAGGGAACACUAGGAGACAUGGGAAUACUGGGGGACACAGGGAGACAUGGGGACUCUGGGCGACAUGGAGACACAAGAGGACACCCGGAGACAUGGGGCAUUGAGACACUGUGAUACAUAGGGACAUUGUGAUAUAUAAGGUCACUGGGAGACAUGGGGACAUGACACUAGGGGACACUGGGAGACAUAGGGCACUGAGACACUGUGAUACAUAGGAACACUGUGAGACCUGAGGUAAUCGACACAUGGAGACACUGAGUCAUGAGGGCACUGGGAGACUAGGGGACACUGGGACACUGGGCGACAUGGGGACUCUGGGAGACAUGGGGAAACUGAUACAUAGGGACACUGAGACAGUGGGAGACUUGAGACACUGGGUGACAGGGAGACACUGGGAGCAAUCCAUCUACACAGCAGAAUCAAACUAAGUAGUUUUUUGGUGAUUUUACAGCAUUUUCUCUUUUUUCACUUGUGAUGUCACCCAUACAUAAUUAAUUAUGCAAAAUAGUAAGGCUGGUAUGUUUUUCUAAAAAAAGGUGGCAACCCUAACUACUUUUCACAUACUCUUGCCUAAGUAUGUAAACUUAAGAGGGAUGUAUGGGAACAAAACUUGUCUCACAGUUUAGUUAAGAUAAUGCUGACUUUGGUCUCUCUAACUCUUUGACAUGUUCAAUUUCUUCUACACUCACUACAUAUAGCUUUUCUCUGUCCCAGACUAUAUGCCAGGAGCUUCUGCCUGCUAGUACGAAGGUAAGGAGACCUUCGUAAGGAGACAAGUGGACCAGCGAGUACUAGGGGACAGUCCUUAGAAAGUGUUGAGCGAGCCCAUCAUUAGACGCAUUUAUGCCAAGCUCAGUUUGCCCUUAGUUGGCUAGCAUGUAUGAUUGGCAGGCAGCUUGACAUGUAUUUAUGCCAGGCUGGCCUUCCAAUUCUUUCGGCAGACAUGACCUCUUUUUGGGCAUGCUCGCCCCUUUUGGCAGGUUAAGUGAUUUGUGUCAGUGGCAGGCACACCCAUUUACCAUGCCCAUUGACUUACUGCUUCACUGGACAUUGCUGUUAGGGGUUACUUAAAAGAUGAAAACAUAAAUUAGUGAGAGAUUAUCAUAGGCAGGGCCGUCUUUAAUAACGAAUGGACCCUGGGCAAGUGUUUGCUUGGGCCCCCUGUGCCCUGCCGCUCUCGCCCCUCACUCCCUGGUAUGCAAUCACGGCAUCCAUCCCAACGCAGUGGCGGUACUAAAGUAGAAUGAAUUUUAUUGGGACCCCCAAUUGCAAGGUUGGACUAAAGGUAGAACCCCAUCUGUCGUGCAACUCCAACAAUGCUUUGACAGCUGGGACUCUACCAAUUUCCCAUGCUUGCAGGGUUGUAUUUAGCACUGAGCCAUGUUAGUAUGUUUGAAUGUAAGCAUGUGUUUGUAUGGAGUAUGUUUGUGUGAAUGUGUUUGUAUGUGGUACUGGAGUUUGAAUGCAAGUGUGCAUUUAUGUGUAGUGUUUGUUUUUGAAUGUAGGAGUGUGCUUGUAUGUAGUGUUGACGUUUCAAUGCAGGAGUGUGUUUUAUAUGUAGUGUUGAAGUUUGAAUGGAGGAGUGUAUUUGUAUUUAAAGUUGCGGCUCAGAUGCACAGGUACACACUCUGACGCACAAGCAGAUACACAGAUACAUACACUGACUACAUACAGAUAAACAGGCACAUACACUGACAGACACACUGACACAGGUACAUAUAUUGACACACACACAGACACAUACACUGGUAGACGUACUGACAGACAUACUGACACAGGCACAUAUACAGACAUACUGACACACAGACACAUAUACCGACAUACUGACACACACACACAGACACAUACACUGAUCAACAUACUGACACACAUACACUGACAGAAAUACUGACACCCACACACUGACAGAUAUACUGACACCCACAUACACUGAGAAAUACUGACACACACACACAGGCACAUACACUGACACACACAGACUGAUAUACUGACACACACACACACAGACAUACUGGCACACAGACAGAUAUACUGACACAUGCAUACACAUGCACUAACAGACAUACUGACGCACUGACAGACAUACUGACACAUACACAUACUGACACACACAGAUAUACACACACAUAUAUACUGACACACAGACAGACAGACAGACAUACUGACACACACACAGACAUGCUGACACACACACACACAUACCCUAACACACAUACACUAACACACAUACACACACACUAACACACAUACACUAACACACAAACACACACACUAACACACAUACACACACACUAACACACAUACACAACACACACACACUAACACACAUACACUAACACACAAACACACACUAACACACAUAAACACACACAUACAUACACUAACACACACAUACAUAACUAACACACACUAACACACAUACACUAACACACACAAACACACACAUACAUACACUAACACACACAUACACACACACACAAACACACACACACACACAUACACUAACACACAAACACACACAUACACACACACAAUACACACACACACACAAACACACAAACACAAACACACAACACAUACACUAACACACAAACACACACACACAUACACUAACACACAAACACACACACCAUACACCAACACACACACACUAACACACAAACACACACACACAUUUUUUUUUUUUGACCCCCAGCCUCCUUACCUUUGAGUGCUGGGGAUUCCCUGGGUCCAGUGGUGCUGCUGGGCUCCUGGGUGGUGGCCGGUCGGCGGGCAGGAAGGCGGGCGCGCGAGGGAGCACUCAGUGCUUCCUCUUCAGCUCCCUCGCGCCGCGUAGGGAUGCCGGCGCCGGAAGAUGACGUCAUCUUCCGGCUCCGGCAUCAGUGCGGUGCGCGAGGGAGCUGAAGAGAAAGCACUGAGUGCUCCCUCGCGCGCCCGCCUUCCUGCCCGCCCGACCGCCCGACCGGCCACCCACCUGCCGGGGUCAGCGGGGCCCACGGGGCAGGUGCCUCGGGCCCCCCAAGAGAAACUGGGCCCGGGGCAGCUGCCCCGUUUGCCCCGCGUUAAAGACGGCCCUGAUCAUAGGGUAUGUGUUUUGUUAUAUCUGCUGUUUUCUUUCCCUCCAGCACCAUUUCCAUCAGAUACAUGAUGCUUGGGAGUGCUUUAGUGUUUGUCGAUAAGAUUCUGUAAUUAGGCCCAUCACAAUUCUCAGCACCAGGCCCACUGGGCUCUUAAUCUGGCCCUGCUCGCUACACCUUUGCUCGUCCUACCUCGACCUAGUCCACCACCCGAACCCAUGCAAUUGGGCUACACUAAGCUAACAGUUUUGUCUUGGUCAGGCAUCACCACAGAAUAUGUCACUAUAUCCCUUUUAUCUAUCACCCUGCAUAUUGCAGAUGCAAAUCUGUCGCUUUCAUGUGUCACCAUGUACAUUGCAAAUUCAUGACUAUGGUCCUACAUUUCUUUGUGCAGCAGUCUAUCACACCCUUUAACUGACUUUUCAUCAGUUGUUGCAGAACAAAAUUUCAUGUGAUUCCAUGUGCUUUCCAAUGUUUCAGAAUUUUUUUAUUGAUGACCACAAAACAGUGACUUUUAGCACAAACACACUCACACCAAAAGAAAAAUGCAUCUGAUAUGAUUUAAUGCCAAAUAGGACAUUUAUACAAACAAGUCAGAUUCACACAUCAGGAUCCACAAACUAGAGGAGCUUAUUGUAAUUGAUGUGCUUUUCCUAGUAAGUCUUUGUUAUUUGCGUUAUUAAAUUCCCCUUUUUUAACAAUAUAAUUUGUUCCUCUCUGAUUCCUCUCUUUUCAUCUGUUCCUACUAAAUGCCCAUUUGAUGAGGUACAUACUCCCAGCUCAUGAGCAACACAAACCAACCUGUGCGUAAAAGGAAAGAAAACCAUUUCAGUGUUUGCAUAGUGUCCUCAUUAGUGAUAUAAUUUUAUACAAUUUCUGACAAAUGGUUUAUUGCAAAGUAACAAAUUGCUGCCCAUCUGCCAGUAGAAGGUGGCUGCGUACACUGUAUAAAGCCUACACAAUAUAUGAAUUUGUUGCUUUUAUUAUCUGUUUUUGCUAAUUAAAUAAGAAAGCAUAUCUAGAUAGCUGCAUAAUAAGAAGAAACAACAGAGAGAACUGUAUUAGCUUUAUUCUGAAGUGGAACAUAUUGCACAUUAAAUGCAUGUUAGCACAGCAGACUCUACAGUGGAUCCAUUUUAAAUAUAUACAAUAUCUGCCAGUUAUCGUAACAGACAGAUUAUGGUUUUCAUCCUGUAUUGCACAGCUAGAUGGACUGCAAUUUUUUCACAUCUUGACUGACCUUCAAACUGUUUCCUUUGUAUAUUUUCCUUAAUGGUAUUUACUGUGAUCUGUACUUUUGUUCUAUUCAUUUCAAGGGACAAUCUAAGCUUAUAAAUAAAUAUAUUUAUUCAUAACAUUCAAGUGUUCCUUUUAUCUAUUAGCUUCAGGGCUCCCACUACACAAUCUAAAAAAGAAAUGUAAUCCAGCAAUAUUCAGUCUCCAUAUAGUAGCCACCAGGGCCAGAGUUGCAUGUAAGGUGUCCCUUGCUUUCCCCUUUCAAACUAAAAAAAAUCAAAUCAAGUGAGUUUAAUUAACUUAUUAAUUGGGAAUUGCAGGCAUACAAUUGUCUAAAAAUAUAUUUUUAUUUGACUACUACAUGUGUAUAUUUAUGUAUGCACAUAUUUCUGCUUGUACUGUAUUGUUUUUGCAUCUGUGAGUAUAGUGUAUGUUGCUUUGUAAAUUCAUACAUAGUUAAAGAUAAUUUUACAUGUAUUUAGGAUAAAGAGGGGUUUAAUGUUCGAGAAAGAUUAACAUUAGCGUUAGAUUACACAGUGUGUUCAAUAUUAAGAUGUUGCAUAGCUUGAAAGAGCUUAAAGUUGUGGUAUAAGGACUGUUCUGGAUUAUUGGGUAUAGCGUUAUAUUUGGUGUCAAUUUAGUUUGAGGGUAUAUGGAGUUUAGUUUUCAAGAACACAAACCUAGGAUUAAGGUAAACAGAUUUUUUUUUCCAAGUUUAGUUUUUGAGUUCUUAAUUCUAGACCCAAAAUUAGGGUUUGUUUAGCUUUUGGGAGGGGUAAAAAAAAUUUAAUUUUGGAAAAAGAGGUGUUUAGGGUACAGACAUAUGUAGAUUGGAGCGUAAUUUACAAAGUCCUCAUUGUCCUCUAAAAGAACAUCAGGAGCUUUUAUACAGCGUGCAUCAUUCAAUGCUGUCAGUUAUCCACCUGGAAGGCAUUUCCUGUUCGUAAGCAGAUGGGAAGUGAUCCCUUCCUUUUCCUGUCCAGACUCACAUACAGGCACUUUUCCUACAGCACUCCUAUCAAGCAUAGGAGGAUGACUGAGCUACAGCUGACACUGGCCAAGGCUACUGAUACUUGUGUCUCCCAACCAGCUGGCUUAUGCUCCAAAAAGACACAUUAUUUGUGCUUAAGCACUUGCCCUCCAACAGUACAUGUGUCAGGGUUCUUACCUGAGGUGGGAGUCUGUAGCACAGAUAUGUUUGCUCACCCUUGCAGAUAGACACAGUCCAAGGUGACCAGAUAAGAAGCCACGUGGACUGUAAAUCUGUGCAUGGGGGCUGGGCAGGAAAGGUGAUUCCAAUGCUAUACUGACAAGGACACAAACAGCAGGAUAGUCGAGGGAUAGAUGAAGUCAAAGGAUGCCAGAGGUCAGGAUAAACAAAGUGUAGCUGAAGUCAAGGGAUGCCAGAGGUCAGAAUAAACAAAGACAUAAGCCGGGGUCGAUAUGGAAUUAAAGUUCAAGAGACUAGAACACAGGAUCACACACAACAGGAUCAAAGACUUGAUCAAGUUCCUAGGGCAAGGUUGAGUUUAUAUUUCCUGCUGAUGACUGAUCUGAGUCAGAAGAAUGACCACAGACGAAGUCCAGCCCUAAGUGCUGCAGACAAGCCAGGUAGAACAGGGCUAGAAAUACUCAAAAGAAUAGGAACUGCUGUGGCUGAAAGGGAGUAUAGCAGGCCCAGGAUAGCAAAGGACUCAGGUUUAAAUCCCCUGUUGGGCACUUCUGGGGUGACCACGUCUGGAUGUCACGGUGAGAACUGUCACGGAGACAACAUGCACUGCCUACUGUAAGUUUCUGAAUGAUGGUGAUCUUAGUUUAAUUCAAUACUCAUUGUGAAGAAUUGUCAGUGUUUGGUGUAAUUAUGCUGUGCAUCGAACUUGAUGAGCUUCUAUUAUAAAGUUGGUCAAGGGGGCAUGCUUGUUGUUUUUGUCUGAUUAAUGUCAGGAUAUACUGGAACCUGAACACACAGACAGAAUCACUAAAGGAAUAAUCUGUAUACCGGUCUUUAGAAUGGCCAGGUUAAUGAGCAAACAGAGUCAAGAUAACAAGCUGAGGUCAAUGGAGUACAGAGGACAGGAUAAAUGUUAGACAAGAGCCAAAGAAAUCACCAGAGGAAUGUGCUAUUGGGCUACCAAGAAACCACAACAGGGCAACGAGGAAUUGGAGAGGUAAGUAUUUAUAGGUAUCACUUAACAUUGAUUGGUUGAAUUCCACUUGGAAUUAACCACUAUUCAUGGAAGGUAUUUGACCUUCCUAAACUGACCCCUGACGUCAUUGAUAUGAGCCGAAUCUUGCAAGCGUGCAGCGUUUGACAGAAUGCCGGAGGAUAUCGCGGCACCUGGUGCCAAGCCAUCCAGUAAGCAGGCAGAAAACAUGACAAUUAACAGUCACCAGAGGCAUACUUUUAGUGAACCCAAUAUUUUUAUUUUGAGUUUAUCUGACCAUAUAUUACCUUGACACCAUAUUAUAGUCACUGUUUCCCAAUCACCCAAAUAUGUAAAUGCUUGAGAAAAGAUCAACCAGCUUGACCAUUUUGACCUAUCAUUUGUAAUUACUAUGUCAAUUCUAAUCCAUUCCCAAUAUAGGGAUUAAUGCUUAUAAAUAGACAAUAAAUGGUUGGAAAUUGACAAGGAAUUUCAAGCGAAAAUCACACAUUUUGAAAUAUGUAGAUGCGGCUAUUUUACUAGUUCAGCAAUUUUUGUCCAAAAUCGGAAAUUCCAGGUCAAUAUCUGAUAAUUCCUGGUUUGUUGAAUAAUCCUGACACUGCUGCAUUUUAUUACCUUUCCCACAUUUUUUGUUUGUUUCUUGUCCACUUUUUCUCUGAACAAAAGUGGGGGCCACAACAAACCUUGAACUUUACAGCUGUGCUUUAAAUGGUAAUUGCACGAGUUUAGGUGAUUUCUUUUAACUAUGUUGCCACUACAAUAAUAAUGGAUUUAUUUUCAGUGUUACUUUACGUUACAUGGUUUGUAUUACCAAAUAAAUGGUUAUAAAAUUCUGCACAAGGAGCAUCUUUCAAUAGAACAAAAAAAUCAUUGGUAAUAAUACAAAAUACGUGAGCCCAGGGAAGACAGUUUUCCAGCAUAACUUACAGAGCCCUCAAUAUUAAUGAUGUUUAUGAAUGUGGGUCAGCUUUUUUGGAACUGCCAACUCUUCAGUGACACUGUUUAGGUUCAUGAAUCAUAUUGAAAUGUACUCAAGAGUCAAAAACAUGUAUAAAUAAACAUAAUAAGCCUUCACCAUGGAAACUGUGGUUGCCAUGGCAAUUGUUUCAAGAGAUCUUUUACAGCAUUUUUCCCUGAUCAGUUUUAGGGACAGUUAGUGGAACGAGGUGAACUGUCCAAAGGAAUGAAGUUUCCUGCCCUGUCAUUAAGUCAAAAACUUUUACCACCAGUCAGACAAGUUAAAGUUUUAUGUUCUCUGUUUGAUUUUUAAUUUUACCACAUGACUGGAGGCUUCAUAUUUUGCAUUAAACUCUCUUUACUAACUCCACAUAGCAGUAAAGAAAAGUAAAAACAUUAACCAAUCAAAGAUGCAGUAGGAGGUAUAGUAUUCACAGUGAUGAGGCUCCUCCCCCUCUUUCCUUACUGCUCCAUCAGCAGACAGAUCAGAGUUUCAGGCNNNNNNNNNNNNNNNNNNNNNNNNNNNNNNNNNNNNNNNNNNNNNNNNNNNNNNNNNNNNNNNNNNNNNNNNNNNNNNNNNNNNNNNNNNNNNNNNNNNNCAUAUCUCAUGCUUAUUAAUUCUAGGACUAUUUCCAAAUAAUAAUGAAUAUUUUUAUCCUAAAAAACAAACUGUGAACAUCUGUGAUCAAGCCCACAAGGUGAAAUGUGAAAGUGGAAACUGNNNNNNNNNNNNNNNNNNNNNNNNNNNNNNNNNNNNNNNNNNNNNNNNNNNNNNNNNNNNNNNNNNNNNNNNNNNNNNNNNNNNNNNNNNNNNNNNNNNNCCACUGGUUUAUGUUGAUGAGAUAAAUCCUAGCAACCAAGCGUCAAUGGAACCUACUGUACAAUGUAAGAGGAUGAUGGAAACAAGGGACCAUAACAAUGUACCAUGAAGAUGGAAAAUAUUAAGAUUUAUUCAUAACAAUAAAAUCAACUUGUGCUCCACAGCCAAAACAAAUUGCAAGUCUUCCUAAUUUAGCCAGAUGAAACCAUGCACCAAAGCCACCUUUCUUGAAUUAAAACUGACCUUGUAACAUAUAGAGAGAAUAAGCUUUUAAAUACAAAAAAAGACACACUUUCAGGCACAUGACACUAUGGCAGAACAAUCUCAAAUGACAUUCUUUGUGGAAGCCUAGUGCAUGAUUGGGAGCUAAAGUAGCCCGGAACAUGGAAGUACAGAGGAGGUUAAUGUGUGUUUUACUGCACUGUUCAACCCAAGAAACAGUGGUGUAGCAUAGGGUGCCUGUACUUAGGACAAGGCUCAUAUUGCUCUAGGGACGACUCAAGACUUUGUGCUGCUCCGUAAGUCCGAGAAAUACUUCUCUCAUCAAGGAGAAUGAGACCAAGGAGAGGUCUGCUCAUGGACCACUGAUUCCGACAGUCUUCAAAUAUAUGAUGAUAUUGAGAACAUUGGAGAGCAUCUACAGGGAUCAUUUUCAGGGUGUUGCUGCAUAAUGUGCAGGAAGCGCUCGCUCUCUUGUGGUGGUGGGGGCUCCUCGUUUCUUACCAGUUCGGGAUAACUGUUUGAAGAGGUAUGUGACUAUGUGGUCCAGACAAGAACAGAACAGCAGCCUGUGCACACCAUUGUGUCCUCCAGAGCUGUAAGCCCCUCAGAGAGAGAGUGGAGUGACAGAGGGCUAAGUGAGGGGUGAAACGUAGGGUGACAGGGGGCUGAGUGAGGGGGUGACAGGGGGCUAAGUGAGGGGUGACAGAGGACUGAGUGAGGGGUGACAGGAGGUUAAGUGAGGGGGUGACAGGGGGCUGAGUUAGUGGGUGACAGGGGGCUGAGUGAGGGGGUGACAGGGGGCUGAGUGAGGGGGUGACAGGGGACUAAGUAAGGGGAUGACAGGUGGCUAAGUGAGGGGUGACAGGGGUCUGAGUAAGUGGGUAAUUGGUGGCAGUGGGAGGGAAGGUGAACAAAUACUUUUUUCCCCUAGUGGUCCAGUAUCCUGGCUCCCUGGUAGUCCGGUGGGCUUCCUAUCCUGUCUGCAGCUCUGCUGGAAGUGAGCUGCAGACCAUGUGAUAGAAGUCUUGCAAACUCCAGAAUUCAGAGCGUUGAUGUGGUAACCUGCGGUAACGCUCUGAUUGGCUGGAGGUUGUGAGACACUUUACAGUCUGCAGCUCACUCCCAGCAUAGCUGCAGACAGUAGGCGCUCCCCUCCCAGGGAAGACUGCUUGGAGGGGGCCUCAGACCCAGCGGCAUUAUGGGCAAGCCGCGGGGCCCACUCCUGAUUUCGGGCCCUCGAGACCCCAGCCAGCAUGAGGCCUUAGGCAGACGCCUAAAUCGCCUAAUUACAGAGCCGCCUCUGCUCCCCCUAAUCCGUGGACCAUUAGCUUCAGAUUUUAGAGAAAUCUUGACAUUUGCUAGUAAUUCUGCUAGCACAGUAUAUAGGUGUAAUGUAAUUUUCUAUUAUUUAAGACUAAACUGCAUUUGUCAUGACAGACAUGCUUUAAAACUGUCUUUGUAGGUGAGUAUACUUGUGCAUAUGUAUAGAAGCAGAAUCUGCUGGAUAAGAUAAGAUGAGAUUUAUGUUCCUCGGUUUACACCAAGCAUGUAAAACUUGAAUAUAUUUGCGGCCCGCCUGCCCUUGGGUCGCUUUGUGCUGUGGCUGCGACCAGCCACAAAACAGGAAAGAUAUUUCCUGUCUGCUUCUUGCCUUCCCUCCAAUGGCCACUCGAGGGUAGAGUGGCUGUCUGUCUGCAGAGCAGGCCAGCCACUCCCCCUUCCCAUCUGCUUGCAGUGCCAGAGAAGCGUCUGCCAUGCUUGCAGAGAAGAACAGGUCUGGAACUGCAGGAGGGUGGCUCAUAUUAAGGUAGGAGAAUAGAGGCUUGGGGGACCUUCCUGUGUAGUGUGUUAAACUGGGCAAGGAGGACUGUGAAUUAAUUUAGGGGAGGGAGGGGCCAGUGUAUUAAUUUGAGGGAGAGAGGAGGCACUGUAUUAAUUUUGGGAAAGGAGGGGGCCAGUGUAUUAAAUUGGGAAAGGGGGCAGUGUAUUAAUUGUGGGGAAGGAGGGGGCCAGUGUAUUAAUUUUGGGGAAGGAGGGGGCCAGUGUAUUAAAUUGGGAAGGGGGGCAGUGUAUUAAUUUUGGGGAAGGAGGGGGCCAGUGUAUUAAAUUGGGAAGGGGGGCAGUGUAUUAAUUGUGGGGAAGGAGGUGGCCAGUGUAUUAAAUUGGGAAGGGGGGCAGUGUAUUAAUUUUGGGGAAGGAGGGGGCCAGUGUAUUAAAUUGGGGGAGGGAGGGAGCUGUGUAUUAAAUUGAGGAAAAGAGGGGUACGGUAUAUUAUAGUGGUGGGAGGUGGGGGGCACUGUGUUUAAUUAGGGGGAGGACAGUAUAUUAAAUUGGGGGAGGGAAGGGGCAGUGUAUUAAAUUGAAGGAGGGCAGUGUAUUAAAUUAGAGUGGUUGGAGUGGGGGCAGUGUAUUAAAUUAGAGUGAAGUGAAGGGACAGGGGGCAGUGUAUUGGAUUUGUGGUAAUGUAUUAGAAUGGAGGGAAACGGCAGUGUGUUGGAUUGGGUCUGCAUGGAGGCGCUGAAUGCUCCCCAUGGAGAUGCUGAUUAGCUGCACAGCUUUUUGCCACACCUGCACAAUAGCCUCCCAAUGCUUUCCAAUGGGAAAGCAUUGGAGUGGCUAGGAUCAUCAAGUUUGAUGAUCUCAGCCAAAGUAAAGUACACUCAUAGAACAAAAUCAACAAGAUAACGUCAUUUGUUUUUUUACAGCUGUGCAACAGCGUACAUUCACCAUUUCAGCCCCAUUACCAAACUUUUCUUGAAAUGUCAAGGUAGUUGGACUGAAACACUGGUUAUAUGCAAAUGUACAUGUCCUUAAAAUAAAUUUGCACUUUUUUUACUUUGAAGCAGUGGCGGAUCCAGAGCCUGAUCUCGGGAGGAGCACUUGUAGAUUAUUUAAAGAAAUAAUCCAGGCACAAUAACCACUACAGGUCAGUGUAGUAGUUAUGGCGCCAGUAGUGCCAGGAUCCCAUCCCAGAGUAAGUACCGUAUAUACUCGAGUAUAAGCCGACCCGAAUAUAAGCCGAGGCCCCUAAUUUUACCCCCAAAAACUGGGAAAACGUAUUGACUCGAGUAUAAGACUAGGGUGGGAAAUGCAGCAGCUACUGGUAAAUUUCUAAAUAAAAUUAGAUCCUAAAAAAAUUAUAUUAAUUGAAUAUUUAUUUACAGUGUGUGUAUAUGAUGAAUGCAGUGUGUGUGUAUGAAUGCAGUGUGUGUAUGAAUGCAGUGUGUGUAUGAGUGCGCAGUGUGUGUAUGAGUGCGCAGUGUGUGUAUGAGUGCAGUGUUUGUGUAUGAGUGCAGUGUGUGUGCAUAAAUGCAGUGUGUGUAUGAGUACGCAGUGUGUGUGUAUGAGUGCAGUGUGUGUAUAAAUGCAGUGUGUGUAUGAGUGUGCAGUGUGUAUAUGAAUGCAGUGUGUGUGUAUGAGUGCAGUGUGUGUGUGUGUGAUGCAGUGUGUGUGUGUGUGUGAUGCAGUGUGUGUUUGUGUUGCAGAGCCUUGGUGGGGGGUGGGCAUUUUUAUUUAAAAAAAAUUAUUAUUAUUUAAAAAAAAAUUUUGUUAUAUUAUUUUUUUUUUAUUAUUAUUUUUAUUAUUUAUAUUUAUAUAUUAUAAAUGUAUUUAUUAUUAUUUUUAUUUAUAUAUUAUUAAUUUAUUUAUUUGUUGUCCCCCCUCCCUGCUUGAUACAUGGCAGGGAGGGGGGCUCUCCUUCCCUGGUGGUCCAGUGGCAUUGGCAGUUCAGUGGGGGGAGGAGGGGGGCUGGCAGAGCUGUUACUUACCUCUCCUGCAGCUCCUGUCAGCUCUCUCCUCCUCCGCGCCGGUCCGUGCAGCUCUUCUCUCAGCUCACACUGUAAGUCUCGCGAGAGCCGCACUAUGACCCCGCGGCUCUCGCGAGACUUACACUGGGAGCUGACCGAGGUGCUGACCGGACCGGCGCGGAGGAGCAGGGAGCUGACAGGAGCUGCAGGAGAGGUAAGUAACAGCUCUGCCAGCCCCCAGUCUGUAUUAUGGCAAUGUAAAUUAAUGUAAAUUGCCAUAAUACAGACUGACUCGAGUAUAAGCCGAGUUGGGGUUUUUCAGCACAAAAAAUGUGCCGAAAAACUCGGCUUAUACUCGAGUAUAUACGGUAGUCAAACCGUUUAAGAACAGUUUCACAACUUACCUGGGGUCUGCUGGGAUAUAGGGCAUAGAAGCAGUGGUAUGUGUUAGGGGUGAGGUGUGUGUGAAAGGUGCAGUGUGUGUUUGUGAGCGGUGAAGUGUGUGUGCGAGUGCGUGAGGGCGGCAGUGUAUGUCAGGGUUGCAGUGUAUGUGUGGGGCAGUGUGUAUGGGGGCAGUGUUUGUGGGGCAGUAUGUGUAUGGGGGGCAGUGUUUGUGGGGCAGUGUGUAGUGUGUGUAUGGGGGGCAAGGCCAGGGGCUGUGUGUAGUGUGUAUGUGGGCAGUGUUUGUGGGCAGUGUGUGUAGAGUGUGUGUAUGGGGGCAGUGUGUGUGUGUGUGUAUGGGGGAGUAGUGUUUCAGGGUCAGUGUGUGUAUGGGGGCAAUGUCAGGGGCUGUGUGUGCAGUGUAAAAGGGGCAAAUGUUUGUGGGGCUGUGUGUGUAGUGUGUGUAUGGUGUAGUGUUUCUAGGGGCAGUGUGUGUAGUGUGUGUGUAUGGGGGGGCAGUGUUUUGUGGGGCAGUGUGUGUGAAAGGGUAUGGGGGGCAGUGUAAAAGCGCAUGGGGGGUGAAGGAGAGUGGGUAGGAGGCUUUUUAAAUUUAAUUAAAAUAAAUAUUUAUGUCCCUCCCUUUUACCUUUUAUUGAGGAGGAGGGGGACAUUUCUCCAUCCCUGGUGGUCCGGUGGGUAAUCCUUGGUGGUCCCAGUGGUGAGUGAACUCUAGCCCCAGUUCGAGGAUAGAGUUCACCUUUCGCUGGACGGGAGCGCUGCUCGGUAACCGCUGCAACGCCCGCGGCUCGCUGGUAUAGGGCGACCCGGAGGAGUUGUAGGCUGAGCCCCGGUCCUUCUUCGCUUCCUCCCCUGUACCGGCCUCCCUCGGGUCCAUUAGGUUAUUGCAGUAAGGCUGGCACUUGGAUUAAUGCCAGCCCUGCAUUAGCUGGCAGGGGAGAAACUCGGGCAACGAUCCUACUAGUGUUUCUAGAAGCCCUACGAGCUUGAUGUCAUCCAGUGCUAGUUAGGCAACUUUUUUUAUACUGUACUUUUUGAAAUAAACCUUUUUUUUAUUAAAACUGAAGUUUUUUUUUUGUGGCCCACAUAAACUUAAACCUUAUUUGGCCCGUGUUAGCCUUUGAAUUUAACAUUCUUGGUCUACACCAGUGGUAGUCAACCUUUUUCUACCUACUGCCCACUAAUGCAUCUUUUUGGUUGAAAACAUUUCCAUACUGCCCACCAGUUUUUGCGCAAGUGCAGAAUAUUUUUUCGAAAGGAGGGUGUUUUAAAAAAAAAUUAUUAUAUUAUAAUUACAUUAUUCUUUUUAUUUCUACUUAAUGCAUGUUUAUAAUGUUUUUAACUUUAUAAAGUUUAAUGAGAAAACAAUAAAGUAAAUUGAAAUUACCUUUACUAGUUAUUAAUGAGAUCCUUGAGGUUGAUGCUGCAAGACUAAAUAUUUGAUAUCUGGUUCAGUUUUCGUAAGGAACAAACGAAGGUCUCCUCUUUUGGUGAUAUUCAGAUGACUUCUCUGUUUGCGCAUAAUAUGAUUUCUCAUCUGUUUGUCAGCUUCCCUCCUCUCCCUCUUCAAUUCCCCUCCCCGCCUUUCCCCCCCCCUUUUUUUACAUUUUUUAACCUUCCUUAUAGCAAUGCCCAAUAGGAAGGCUGAGCUAGGUAUCCCACUUACUAUUACUUACUAUAGCCCACUAUAACAGACAGGCACACAUACAUACAUACAGACACACACACAAGACCAGGGCCGUCUUUAACGCAGGGCAAACGGGGCAGCUGCCCCGGGCCCUGUCCCAGCUGAGGGGCCCAAGACAGCUGCUCCUUUUGCCCUCUGCCCUCAAACUAUGGGGGCCCAUCGGGUGGCCCAUGCACUUAGGGCCACCCGGUGGGCCUGUGUGAGCAGGGGCCCGGUCAGGCGCUGUGGCGCUUUAAAAGCGCGACCGGGCCCUUGCUUUUUCGGCAGCACUGGGAGGAAGUGACAGCCGCGCGUCACUUGCUCCCACAGAAGCAAGAGCCGCGCGGGAGGAAGGAGCUGUUCCGGAGGGGGCCAGCCCGGGAGAGCUUAACUCCCAGCCACCCCAGCCAGCCCACUGGACCCCAGGGAAGCCACCCUCCAGGAAAAGGUAAGAAACUGGAGGGUGGUUAUCAAAUUUUGCAUGAGUGUCUGUGUGUGUGUGUGUGAGAGUAUGUAUGUAUGUCUGUCUGUCUGUCAGUGUGCCAGUAUGUCUGUCGGUGUGUCAGUAUGUCUGUGUGUGUGAGUCUGUCAGUGUAUGUGUGGUUCUGUAUGUCUGUGUUUGUCAAUAUGUCUGUCAGUGUCUGUGUGUAUGUGUGUUUCAGUAUGUCCGUCUGUGUGUAUAUGUGCCAGUAUGUCUGUGUGUGUGUGAGUCGGUCAGUGUCUGUGUGGUUCAGUGUGUAUGUGUGUUUCAGUAUGGCUGUCUGUGAGUGUCAAAAUGUCUGUAUGUGUGUACGUCUGUCAGUGUCUGUGUGUAUGUGUGUUUCAGUAUGGCUGUCUGUGAGUGUCAAAAUGUCUGUAUGUGUGUACGUCUGUCAGUGUCUGUGUGUAUGUGUGUUUCAGUAUGUCUGUCUGUGUGUAUGUGUGCCAUAAUGUCUGUAUGUCUGUCAGUGUGUCGGUAUGUCUAUGUGUGAGUCUGUCAGUGUCCAUGUGGUUCUGUAUGUCUGUGUGUAUGUGUGUUUCAGUAUGGCUGUCUGUGUGUGUCUCUGUGUCAGUACGUCUGUCAGAAUGGGCCUUUGUAUCUGUAUGUUGUCCGUUUGUGUUUGUGUGUGUAUCUAUAUAUAGUCAGUGUGUAUCUGUAUGUGUCCGUGUUUGUAUAUGUAUAUCUGCAUGUGUGUCAGGUUGUGUAUCUGUGUAUCUGUGUGUCUGUAUGUGUGUCAGUGUAUCUGCAUGUAUCAGUGUUUGUAUCUGUGUAUCUGCAUGUUUGUCAGGUUGUGUAUCUGUGUUUGUGUCUAUCUGUGUGUCAGUGCUCUAUAUGUAGUCUGUGUGUAUCUGUAUGUUCUUGUGUGUAUCUAUAUGCGGUCAGUGUGUAUCUGCAUGUGUGUCAGGUUUUGUAUUUGUGUGUAUCUAUAUGUAGUCAGGGGGCCCAAGUUAAUGCUUGCCCAGGGUCCAAUCAGAAUUAAAGACGGCCCUGCACAAGACACACAUACAUACAGACAGACAGGCACACACACACAUACAGACACAAACACAGACAGGCACGCAUACAGACACACACAUACAAAGACACACACAUAAGACAUACAUACAAAGACACAUACACACAUACUGACAGACACAAGACACACAUACAUACAAAGACACAUACACACACAACACAUACAUACAAAGACAAGACACACAUACAUACACACAUAUAUACAGACAGACACACACACACAUAUAUACAGACAGACAGACACACACACACACACAAGACACAUACAAAGACACACACAUACAUACAAAAACACAUACAUAAGACACACUUACAUACACACACAUACAGACACAUACAUACAGACAGAAACACACAAGACAUACAUACAAAGACACAUACACAAACAAACACACACAAAAUAUUUUAGUCACCCUCCUGUUUCCUCCCCGGUCCACAUCUUUUUGGUUGAAAACAUUUCCAUACUGCCCACCAGUUUUUGCGCAAGUGCAGAAUAUUUUUUCGAAAGGAGGGUGUUUUAAAAAAAAAUUAUUAUAUUAUAAUUACAUUAUUCUUUUUAUUUCUACUUAAUGCAUGUUUAUAAUGUUUUUAACUUUAUAAAGUUUAAUGAGAGAACAAUAAAGUAAAUUGAAAUUACCUUUACUAGUUAUUAAUGAGAUCCUUGAGGUUGAUGCUGCAAGACUAAAUAUUUGAUAUCUGGUUCGGUUUUCGUAAGGAACAAACGAAGGUCUCCUCUUUUGGUGAUAUUCAGACGACUUCUCUGUUUGCGCAUAAUAUGAUUUCUCAUCUGUUUGUCAGCUUCCCUCCUCUCCCUCUUCAAUUCCCACCCUCCCCCACCCCUUUUUUUUUUACAUUUUUUAACCUUCCUUAUAGCAAUGCCCAAUAGGAAGGCUGAGCUAGGUAUCCCACUUACUAUUACUUACUAUAGCCCACUAUAACAGACAGGCACACAUACAUACAUACAGACACACACACAAGACCAGGGCCGUCUUUAACGCAGGGCAAACGGGGCAGCUGCCCCGGGCCCUGUCCCAGCUGAGGGGCCCAAGACAGCUGCUCCUUUUGCCCUCUGCCCGCAAACUAUGGGGGCCCAUCGGGUGGCCCAUGCACUUAGGGCCACCCGGUGGGCCUGUGUGAGCAGGGGCCCGGUCAGGCGCUGUGGCGCUUUAAAAGAUGUUUCCUACCUUUUAGGUGCAGGAGGGUGACUUUCCCUGGGGUCCAGUUCCCACUCUGACUCCCUCCACCUUCCUCCCGCGCGGUCUGUGUGAUAGCUGGCAGGAGUGACGUGCAGUCACUUCCUCCCAGCUCUGUGAUGUAAUCACAGGGGGCCCGGUCGCAUUGUUAAAGCGCCCAGCGCUGACAGGGGCCCCCUCACAAUCCACAUCCAUCAGGUGGCCCUGACAGCAUGGGCCCCCCGAUGAACCCCUCCAUGUGCGGCCCCGGUGGUUUGCCGCGCGGGCCGGGGCCGCAAGUGGUGGUGGUGGUACCCGGUCGCAGGGGUACCGCCGGCUCGCGCCCGCCUGCCCACCCAAUCUCUCAAAAUUUGAAAAUCCCUACCGCCCACCUGGAAUCCUGAAACGCCUACUAGUGGGCGGUAGGGACCAGGUUGACGACCCAUGGUCUACACUGAGUUUACUUUUACAGGUAGAACCUACCUGAUUGAUAUGAAUUAUAGAUGACAUUAAAUUAUAAGGAAAAAAAAAGAGGAAAAAAAAUAAAAUAAUGUAUAUAUAUUUGUGACACUUACAGAAAGAGCCGCCAUCAAGGCUGCCCUAUUGUGCAGUUACUUUUCUCCUAUCACAAAACGUCAUGGGGGGGUAAAAAGAGGAAGAGGAAGAGAAGGCAGAAAGAGAGCCUGGACCACCCAGAGCACACUCCAAUCAGCCCCAGCCGGCUUUCACUGGACCCCAGGGAAACCAACCACCAUGGAAAUGAGAGGGUGGCUAAAAAUAUGUAUAUAUUAAGAUAUUGUGAGUUCUGUGUGUAUUUGUAUUUAUAUUAAGAUAUUGUGUGUUUCUGUGCAUGGUGUGUCACCGUGUAUCCGUGCCAAUAUAUGUAUCUGCCCAUCAUUGUGAGUGAAUGUGUGUCUGUAUGUGACAAUUUAAGCAUCAUAGUGUGUAUCUAUGUGCGUGUGUAUGCAUGUCAGCAAAUAUGUCUGUAUUAGUGUCAAAUUUGUGUGUCAGGGUAUGCAUCUAUGUGUCAGGUGUGUAUAUCAGUGUGGGUGGAGGUACAGUACCUUGCAAAAGUAUUCACCCCCCUUGGCAUUUUUCAUGUUUUGUUGCCUCACAACCUGGAAUUAACAUGGGUUGUUUGAGGAUUUUCAUCAUUUAAUUUACAGAACAUGCCCACAACUUUGAAGAUGUUUUAUUUUUUAUUUUUAUUGUGAAGCAAAAAAAACAAAUAGGACAAAAUAACAGAAAAAGUAAAGUCAAUACUUUGUAGAGCCACUUUUUGCGGCAAUCACAGCUCCAGGUCGCUUUGGAUUAGUCUCUAUGAGCUUGCCAUAUCUUACCACUGGGAUUUUUGCCCAUUCCUCCUUGCAAAACUGGUGGAUGGCUUGCGCUUGUGAACAGCAAUCUUUAAGUCUGACCACAGAUUUUCUAUUGGAUUGAGGUCUGGGCUUUGACUAGGCCAUUCCAACACAUUUACAUGUUUCCCCUUAAAACACUCAAGUGUUACUUUAGCGGUGUGUUUGGGGUCAUUGUCCUGCUGGAAGGUGAACCUCCGUCUUAGCCUCACAUCACGCACAGAGUGGUACAGGCUUUGAUCAAGAAUAUCCCUGUAUUUAGCACCAUGUAUCUUUCCCUCAACUCUGACCAGUUUCCCAGUCCCGGCUGCUGAAAAACAUCCCCACAGCAUGAUGCUGUCACCACCAUAUUUCACUGUGGGGAUGGUGUUCUUUGGGUGAUGUGAUGUGUUGGGUUUGCGCCAGACAUAGCAUUUUCUUUGAUGGCCAAAAAGUUUAAUUUUAGUCUCAUCAGACCAGAGCACCUUCCUCCAUACAUUUUGGGAAUCUCCCACAUGCCUUUUCGCAAACUCAAAAUGUGCCAUUUUGUUUUUUGCUGAAAGUAAUGGCUUUCUUCUGGCCACUCUGCCAUAAAUCCCAACUCUAUGGAGCGUCCGACUUAUUGACGUCCUAUGUACAGAUACACCAGUCUCUGAUGUUGAACUCUGCAGCCCCUCCAAGGUUACCUUAGGUCUCUGUCUUGCCUCUCUGAUUAAUGCCCUCCUUGCCCGGUCCAUGAGUUUUGGUGGGUGGCCGUCUCUUGGCAGGUUUGCUGUUGUGCCAUGUUCUUUCCCUUUGGUUAUGAUAGAUUUGAUGGUGCCCCUCGGGAUCAUCAACGAUUUGGAUANNNNNNNNNNNNNNNNNNNNNNNNNNNNNNNNNNNNNNNNNNNNNNNNNNNNNNNNNNNNNNNNNNNNNNNNNNNNNNNNNNNNNNNNNNNNNNNNNNNNAUCUUUUUAACUAAUUCAUCACCCAGACCCAACCGUGCAGCCUCCGUGGCUGCCCCAGUCCUAAACGAGUGGGUACCAAAUUGCGUGGGAUCCGAACCAUCCACAUGCCGAAAAAAGGAACCUUGACCCUUUGGACGGACCUCCAUAUACCACCAUGCGCAGCCCACCGGGCAAACCGCUACCUGAGGUAGCGAAAAUAAUUCCACGGUACAGCCCUUCCCAAAUACAUCUGUCUUCGAACGCCGUAAUCGAAUGGCUACGUGAUCUCCCCCCAAUUCCACAUCCACGAACUGGAGACCCCCUUGCCGAACCCUAUUGCCACUCACAAUUUCACUCACCCGAAAAGCCCAGAAAAAAAGCCAAUACAAAGGCAACCGCAAAUAACAUAGACCUGGCAGGACUCCCAACAGCUGUUGAAGUAUUGCAAAAGACACCGGUCUCCUAGUGUCAGGUUCCGUCUUACCCUUGCGAUAACCCUUCACUGCCUGUCGUAAUAGAAAAUACUUUGUCGAAUCUUCCCACCCAUUUAGCUUGAAAAGAAACACCAAAGCUGAAAGGUUCCGGCCGAUUACUGCCGGAGAAGCCCCUGCCGCGAACAAGCGGCAAAGAAACCAUAAGAGAGUAUCGAGACGUACCUCUGCGGAGACCCGAUCCCCCGUACAGCUUCAUCCCAACUGUUCCAUACUUUACUCCACCCAAGUGCCCUGAGCCUACAAAUCUCUGAUCAGUCCUCCAAGCAAGAAGUCCCAAGCCGCCACAUGUGAUCCGGACAUGUGAAUCCGCAAUUACGUUUAAGAAUCCCGGGACAUGACGUGCACAAAAAACAAUAUUCAACUGCAUACAAUACAAGACAAAUCGACGAAGAAGUCGAACCACUGGAACAGAAGAAGCCGAAAGAUUAUUCACAGCCCCCACUCCAUAUUGUCCGUAAAGAAAAUCACUCUCCUAUCACGAAAAACCUGACCCCAUAAUGAGAGCGCUACUACUAACGGGAAUAACUCGAAGAAGGCCAAGUUCCGAAUAAGUGGGCUGUCCAGUGUUCAGGCCACUUCUCCGCACACCAAUGCCCCGCAAAGUAAGCCCCAAAACCCACGCUUCCUGAUGCGUCGGUAAAAAGUUCCAAAUCGGACAAUGCAAUAACCAUAUCCCUAAAGAAAACACAUCCAUUGAAGUCCUUCAGAAAUGUCUCCCAUACACCUAAAUCCUCCCUCAUCGGAGCUGUGACCCUGAUAAAGUGAUGAGGGGACCACUAGUCACCCCCCCUCACUGUCACUAGUCACACCCCCUCACUAGUCACCCCCCCUCAUUGUCACUAGUCACCCCCCACUGUGUCACUAGUCACCCCUUACCUCACUCACUUUCACCCCUUCCCUCACUCACUCUGUCACCCCUUCCCUCCCUCACUUUGUCGCUAGUCACCCAUUCCCUCCCUCAUUUUGUCACUAGUCACCCCCUCCCUCUGUCACUGGUCAUCCCCUCCCUCACUCUGUCACUAGUCACCCACUCACUCUAGUGACAGAGUGAGGGAAAGGGUGACUAGUGACAGAGGGAGGGGGUGAAUAGUGACAGAGUGAGGGAGGGAGUGACUAGUGACAGAGGGAGGGAUGGGGUGACACAGUGACAGAGGGAGGGGGUGACUGGUGACAGAGUGAGGGAGGGGAUGACUAGUGACAUAGUUAGGGAGGGAGUGACUAGUGACAGAGGGAGGGAUGGGGUGACUAGUGACAGUCACAAUCUCCCUCCCUCUGUCACUAGUCACCAUCUCCCUCCCUCUGUCACUAGUCACCCCCUCCCUCAUUCUGUCACUAGUCACCCCCUCCCUCACUAGUCACCCCCCCUCACUCUGUCACUGGUCACCCAUUCCCUCCCUCAAUCUGUCACUAAUCACCCCCUCACUCUGUCACUAGUCACCCUCUCCCUCACUCUGUCACUACUCACACCCUCCCUCACUCUGUCACUAGAGUGAGGGGAUGACUGGUGACAGAGUGAGGGGAUGACUGGUGACAUAGUGAGUUAGGGGGUGACUAGUGACAGAGUAAGGGACGAGGGAGGUGACUAGUGACAGAGUAAGGGACGAGGGAGGUGACUAGUGACAGAAGGAGGGAUGGAGUAGUGACAGAGGGAGGUGGUGACUAGUAACAGAGUGAGGGAGGUGGUGACUAGUGACAGUUACCACCUCCCUCACUCUGUCACUAGUCACCCCUUCCCUCACAUUGUCACUAGUCACCCCCUCACUCUAGUGACAGUGAGGGAGGGUGUGACUAGUGACAGAGUGAGGGAGGGAAGUGGUGACUAGUGACAGCGUUAGGGAGGGAAGGGGUGACUAGUGACAGAGUGAGGGGUGACUAGGGACAGAGUGAGGGAGGUGGUGACUAGUGACAGUCACCACCUCCCUCACUCUGUCACUAGUCACCCCCUCCCUCUGUCACUGGUCACCCACUCCCUCCCUCACUCUGUCACCAGUCAACCCUUCCUUCCCUCUGUCACUAGUCAACCCUUCCCUCACUCUGUCACCCCCUCACUCUGUCACCCCCUCACUCUGUCACCCCCUCACUCUGUCACUAGUCACCCCCCUCACUCUGUCACUAGUCACCCCCUCACUCUAGUGACAGAGAGAGGGAGGGUGUGACUAGUGACAGAGAGAGGGAGGGGGUGACUAGUGACAGUGAGGAAGGGUGUGACUAGUGACAGAGAGAGGGAGGGGGUGACUAGUGACAGAGUGAGGGAGGGGAGGGGGUGACUAGUGACAGUCACCACCUCCUUCACUCUGUCACUAGUCACCCCUCUCUCACUCUGUCACUAGUCACCCCCUCCCUCACUCUGUCACUAGAGUGAGGGGGUGACUAGUGACAGAGUGAGGGGGUGACAGAGUGAGGGAAGGGGAUGACUGGUGACAGAGUGAGGGAGGGGAUGACUGGUGACAGAGUGAGGGAGGGCGUGACUAGUGACAGAAGGAAGGAGGGAGUAGUGACAGAAGGAAGGAGGGAGUAGUGACAGAGGGAUGUGGUGACUAGUGACAGAGUGAGGGAGGUGGUGACUAGUGACAGUCACCACCUCCCUCACUCUGUCACUAGUCACCCCUUCCUUCCCUCACUCUGCCACUAGUCACCCCUUCCCUAACUCUGUCACUGUGUCACCUGCUCCCUCACUCUGUCACUAGUCACCCCCUCCCUCACUCUGUCACUAAUCACCCCCUCUGUCCUUAGUGACAGAGUGAGAGAGGGGGUGACUAGUGACAGAGUGAGGAAGGGGGUGACUAGUGACAUAGUGAGGGAGGGGGUGACUAGUGACAUAGUGAGAGAGCGGGUGACUAGUGACAGAGUGAGGGAGUGGGUGACACAGUGACAGAGUUAGGGAUGGAGUGACUAGUGACAGAGAGAGGGAUGGGGUGACUAGUGACAGAGAGAAGGAUGGAGUGACUAGUGACAGAGUGAGGAAGGGGGUGACUAGGGAGAGAGGGGGUGAUUAGUGACAGAGUGAGGGAGGGGGUGACUAGUGACAGAGUGAGGGAGCGGGUGACACAGUGACAGAGUUAGGGAGGGAGUGACUAGUGACAGAGAGAGGGAUGGGGUGACUAGUGACAGUCACCCCCCUCACUCUGUCACCAGUCAUCCCCUCACUCUGUCACUAGUCACCCCUUCCCUCCCUCACUUUGCCACUAGUCAUCUCUUCCCUCCCUCACUCUGCCACUAGUCACCCAUUCCCUCACUCUGUCACUAGUCUCCCCCUCUCCUUCCCUCUGUCACUAGUCACCCACUCCCUCACUCUGUCAUCAGUCACCCCCACUCACUGUGUCUCCCCCUCACUCUGCCACCACUCAACCCCUCCCUCCCUCACUCUGCCACCAGGUACCCCCUCACUCUGCCACCUGUCACAACCUCCCACACUCUUCCACCUGUCACCUUCUCCCUCACACACUCUGUCACCUGUCACAUAUGCAUUCACACAGACACUAUAUACAAAAAAGCACAUGUAGUCAUCCAGACAUGCACAAGUGCAUUCACACAGACUCAAAUACAAACAUGCAUUGAUACACAGGUCUUCACAAUACACACAUCCAAAGGAAUGCCGUAUUUUGAAUUAUAUUUAACAUUUAUUAAAAUGCACAUAUAUUUGGCCUUCAAAGGGCCUGGGAUCUAAUUUUGCCCGGGGGCCCCAAAGGCUCUCAGUCCACCCCUGUAUG
rnacentral:lncRNA from 1 species